AACUUAGAUCUAUUCCACCUAAGCAUGAUAUCAAUGAGUCUCCCAAAUCCAUGAGAAUUUCCAUUGAUGAGUGCAAAGAAAGAACCGCUAGGAUGCGUGCUAAAAAAGAUUGCUUUGUGAAAGCGUGUUCUUCUAGUUUUCAUGAUAAUAAUGAUGAAGAUCUAAAAGUGAUUGAUGUGUCCCCUAUUAAAUCUUUGUUUUCCAAUAUAAAUCUUGAUAAAGAUGGGACUGGAAAUGAGUCAGCUUUAGUUAAAAGGCGUCCCGAUGAUUCGGAGUUUUUAGAUCUUGAUGCAAAAAUUGGUAAAAGUGGGAUUGAAGAGGUUAAAACUUUACAUAGCAAUGAACCCACUAUUUUGGAUUUCAAGGAAUUUAAUUAUGAUAAUUUCUCUUUAUAGAUUGUAUUUCCUUGUUGCAAUCCGUGUUAAAUUCUCCUCAUGCUUAUAGUCAAAAUAAAGCUUUUACUAAACAUAUCGUUGAUGCUUUAAUGCAAUCUUAUGAAGAAACUUGAAUUAGAAGUUUCUAUCCCUAGAAAACUUUAUGAUGAGUGGGAACCUACUAUUAAAAUUAAGAUUAAAGAUCAUGAAUGCUAUGCUUUGUGUGAUUUGGGUGCUAGUGUUUCCACGAUUCCAAAAAAUUUGUGUGAUGUGCUAGGUUUCCGUGAAUUUGAUGAUUGUUCUUUAAAUUUGCAUCUUGCGGAUUCCACCAUUAAGAAACCUAUGGGAAGAAUUAAUGAUGUUCGUAUUGUUGCAAAUAGGAAUUAUGUGCCCGUAGAUUUCAUUGUUCUUGAUAUAGAUAAUCCUACAUGUCCUAUUAUUCUUGGUAGACCUUUCCUUAGAACGAUUGGUGCAAUUAUUGAUAUGAAAGAAGGAAAUAUUAGAUUCCAAUUUCCAUUAAGGAAAAGCAUGGAACACUUUCCUAGGAAGAAAAUUAAAUUACCUUAUGAAUCUAUUAUGAAAGCCACAUAUGGAUUGCAUACCAAAGAUGAUAAUACCUAGAUCUAUUCUUGUUUUUAUGCCUAGCUAGGGGCGUUAAACGAUAGCGCUAGUUGGGAGGCAACCCAAUUUUAUUUUUGUUCCUUGCUUUUUGUUCCCGUUUAGUAAUAAAUAAUUCAUCUAGUCUCUGGUUAGAUUUGGUUUUAUGUUUUAAUUAGUGUUUGUGCCAAGUAAAACCUAUAGGAUCUUCUUGGAUGAUAAUUACUUGAUCUUGCUAAAAAAGUCAGAAACUUUCUUAAUCACUAGAACGUGAUAAAAUACUUAUUCCAAUUGUAGUAGAUCAAUAAACAAAUUAUCUAGGCCAUCCUAUUUUUGCAGAAUCUUUUGAGUUACAGAAGUAUGCGUUUGAUACAGAUUACUACAGACUGUUCUGUUUUUGACAGAUUCUGUUUUUCGUGUGUUGUUUGCUUAUUUUAAUGAAUCUAUGGCUAGUAUCGGGGGGUAUGAACCAUAGAGAAGUUGGAAUACAGUAGGUUUAACACCAAUACAAAUAAAUAAUGAGUUCACUACAGUACCUUAAAGUGGUAGUUUGUUUUCUUACACUAACAGAGCUCGUGAGAUUUUCUGUUGAAGUUUUGUGUUGUGAAGUUUUCAAGUUUUGGGUAAAGAUUUGAUGGAUUUUGGAAUAAGGAGUGGCAAGAGCCUAAGCUUGGGGAUGCCCAAGGCACCCCAAGGUAAAAUUCAAGGACAACCAAAAGCCUAAGCUUGGGGAUGCCCCGGAAGGCAUCCCCUCUUUCGUCUUCAUCUAUCGGUAACUUUACUUGAGGCUAUAUUUUUAUUCACCGCAUGAUAUGUGUUUUGCUUGGAGCGUCUUGUAUGAUUUGAGUCUUUGCUUUUUAGUUUACCACAAUCAUCCUUGUUGUACACACCUUUUGGGAGAGACACACAUGAAUCGGAAUUUAUUAGAAUACUCUAUGUGCUUCACUUAUAUCUUUUGAGCUAAAUAAUUUUGCUCUAGUGCUUCGCUUAUAUCUUUUUAGAGCACGGUGGUGGUUUUAUUUUAUAGAAAUUAUUGAUCUCUCAUACUUCACUUAUAUUAUUUUGAGAGUCUUUUAGAACAGCAUGGUAAUUUGCUUUGGCUAUAAAAUUAGUCCUAAUAUGAUAGGCAUCCAAGAUGGGUAUAAUAAAAACUUUCAUAUAGAGUGCAUUGAAUACUAUGAGAAGUUUGAUACUUGAUGAUUGUUUUGAGAUAUUGAGAUGGUAAUAUUAAAGUUGUGCUAGUUGAGUACUUGUGAAUUUGAGAAAUACUCGUGUUGAAGUUUGCAAGUCCCGUAGCAUGCACGUAUGGUAACCGUUGUGUAACAAAUUUGAAGCAUGAGGUGUUUCUUUAAUUGUCCUCCUUAUGAGUGGCGGUCGAGGACGAGCGAUGGUCUUUUCCUACCAAUCUAUCCCCCUAGUAGCAUGUGUUGGGGAACGUAGCAGAAAUUCAAAAUUUUCUACGCAUCACCAAGAUCAAUCUAUGGAGUUUACUAGCAACGAGAGGGAAGGAGUGCAUCUGCAUACCCUUGUAGAUCGCGAGCGGAAGCGUUCAAGAGAACGGGGUUGAUGGAGUCGUACUCGUCGUGAUCCAAAUCACCGAUGAUCCUAGCGCCGAACAGACGGCACCUCCGCGUUCAACACACGUACGGAGCAGCGACGUCUCCUCCUUCUUGAUCCAGCAAGGGGGGAGGAGAGGUUGAUGGAGAUCCAGCAGCACGACGGCGUGGUGGUGGAAGUAGCGGGAUUCCAACAGGGCUUCGCCAAGCGCUGCGGGAGGAGGGAGAUGUGUCACGGGAGGGAGAGGGAGGCGCCAGGGCUUAGGUGUUUGCUGCCCUCCCUCCCCCCCACUAUAUAUAGGGCCAAGGGAGAGGGGGGGCAGCCUUGGCCCUUCCUCCAAGGAAGGGUGCAGCCAGGGAGGAGUCCAUCCUCCCCAAGGCACCUCGGAGGUGCCUUCCCCCUUUAGGACUCUCCCUUUCCCUUAUCUCUUGGCGCAUGGGCCUCUUGGGGCUGGUGCCCUUGGCCCAUAUAGGCCAAGGUGCACACCCCUACAGCCCAUGUGGCCCCCCGGGGCUGGUGGACCCCCGGACCCCUUUCGGCACUCCCGGUACAAUACCAAUAAUGCGCGAAACUUUUCCGGCGACCAAAACAAGACUUCCCAUAUAUAAAUCUUUACCACCGGACCAUUCCGGAACUCCUCGUGACGUCCGGGAUCUCAUCCGGGACUCCGAACAACUUUCGGGUUACCGCAUACUAAUAUCUCUACAACCCUAGCGUCACCAAACCUUAAGUGUGUAGACCCUACGGGUUCGGGAGAAACGCAGACAUGACCGAGACGACUCUCCGAUCAAUAACCAACAGCGGGAUCUGGAUACCCAUGUUGGCUCCCACAUGCUCCUCGAUGAUCUCAUCGGAUGAACCAUGAUGUCGAGGAUUCAAUCAAUCCCGUAUACAAUUCCCUUUGUCAAUCAGUAUGUUACUUGCCCGAGAUUCGAUCGUCGGUAUCCCGAUACCUUGUUCAAUCUCGUUACCGGCAAGUCUCUUUACUCGUUCCGUAACACAUCAUCCCGUGAUCAACUCCUUGGUCACAUUGUGCACAUUAUGAUGAUGUCCUACCGAGUGGGCCCAGAGAUACCUCUCCGUUUACACGGAGUGACAAAUCCCAGUCUCGAUUCGUGCCAACCCAACAGACACUUUCGGAGAUACCUGUAGUGCACCUUUAUAGCCACCCAGUUACGUUGUGACGUUUGGUACACCCAAAGCAUUCCUACGGUGUCCGGGAGUUGCACAAUCUCAUGGUCUAAGGAAAUGAUACUUGACAUUAGAAAAGCUCUUAGCAAACGAACUACACGAUCUUGCGCUAGGCUUAGGAUUGGGUCUUGUCCAUCACAUCAUUCUCCUAAUGAUGUGAUCCCGUUAUCAACGACAUCCAAUGUCCAUGGUCAGGAAACCGUAACCAUCUAUUGAUCAACGAGCUAGUCAACUAGAGGCUUACUAGGGACAUGGUGUUGUCUGUGUAUCCACACAUGUAUCUGAGUUUCCUAUCAAUACAAUUCUAGCAUGGAUAAUAAACGAUUAUCAUGAACAAGGAAAUAUAAUAAUAACCAAUUUAUUAUUGCCUCUAGGGCAUAUUUCCAACAGUCUCCCACUUGCACUAGAGUCAAUAAUCUAGUUCACAUCACCAUGUGAUUAACACUCACAGGUCACAUCACCAUGUGACCAACAUCCAAAGAGUUUACUAGAGUCAACAAUCUAGUUGACAUCACUAUGUGAUUAACACUCAAUGAGUUCUGGUUUGAUCAUGUUAUGCUUGUGAGAGAGGUUAUUAGUCAACGGGUCUGAACCUUUCAGAUCCGUGUGUGCUUUACGAAUAUCUAUGUCAUCUUGUGGAUGCUACCACGCGCUACUUGGAGCCAUUUCAAAUAACUUCUCUACUAUACGAAUCCGGUUUACUACUCAGAGUCAUCCGGAUUAGUGUCAAAGUUCGCAUCGACGUAACCCUUUACGACGAACUCCUUUUCACCUCCAUAAUCAAGAAAAUUCCUUAGUCCACUAGAUACUAAGGAUAAGUUCGACCGCUGUCAUGUGAUCCAUUCCCGGAUCACUAUUGUACCCCUUGACCAACUCAUGGCAAGGCACACUUCAUGUGCGGUACACAACAUAGCAUAUUGUAGAGCCUACGUCUAAAUCAUAGGGGACGACCUUCGUCCUUUCUCUCUCUUCUGUUGUGGUCAGGUCUUGAGUCUUACUCAAUACUCACACCUUGUAACACAGCCAAGAACUCCUUCUUUGCUGAUCUACUUUGAACUCUUCCAAAAUCAUGUCAAGGUGUGCGUUCUUUGAAAGUAUCAUCAGGCGUCUUGAUCUAUCUCUAUAGAUCUUGAUGCCCAAUAUGUAAGCAGCUUUAUCCAGGUCUUCCUUUGAAAAACUCCUUUCAAACAACCCUUUAUGCUUUCCAGAAAUUUUACAUCAUUUCGGAUCAACAAUAUGUCAUUCACAUAUACUUAUGAGAAAUGUUGUAGCGCUCCCACUCACUUUAUUGUAAAUACAAGUUUCUAACAAACUUUGAUCACUCCAUCAAAGCGUAUAUUCUGACUCCGAGAUGCUUGCUCUAGUCCAUGGAAGGAUCGCUGGAGCUAGCAUACCUUUUAGCAUCCUUAGGAUCGACAAAACCUUUCUGAUUGUAUCACAUACAACCUUUCCUUAUGAAAACUGGUACGGAAACUUGUUUUUGACAUCCAUCUGCCAGAUUUCAUAAAUGCAGCUAAUGCUAACAUGAUUCCGACGGACUUAAGCAUCGCUACGAAUGAGAAAAUCUCAUCGUAGUCAACUCCUUGAACUUGUGAAAAUACUCUUUGCCACAAGUCGAGCUUCAUAGACGGUAACAUUACCGUCCAUGUCUGUCUUCUUCUUAAAGAUCCAUUUAUCUCAAUGGCUUGCCGAUCAUCGGGCAAGUUCACCAAAGUCCAUGCUUUGUUCUGAUACAUGGAUCCUAUCUCGGAUUUCAUGGCUUCUAACCAUUUGUCGGAAUAUGGGCCCACCAUCGCUUCUCCAUAGCUCGUAGGUUCAGUAUUGUCUAACAACAUGAUAUCUAAGACAGGAUCACGUACCACUCUGAAGUAGCACGCAUCCUCGUCGUCCUACGAGGUUUGGUAGUGACUUGAUCCGAAGUUUCAUGAUCACUAUCAUAAGCUUCCACUUCAAUUGGUGUAGGUGCCACAUGAACAACUUCCUGUGCCCUGUUACACACUAGUUGAAGUGACGGUUCAAUAACCUUAUCAAGUCUCCACCAUCCUCCCACUCAAUUCUUUCGAGAGAAACUUUUCCUCGAGAAAGGACUCAUUUCUAGAAGCAAUUAAUUUUGCUUCCAGAUCUGAAAUAGGAGGUAUACCCAACUGUUUUGGGUAUUCUAUGAAGAUGCAUUUAUCUGCUUUGGGUUCGAGCUUAUCAGCCUGAAACCUUUUCACAUAAGCAUCACAGCCCCAAACUUUUAAGAAACGACAACUUAGAUUUAUCUAAAUGGUGUCGUCUCAACGGAAUUGCGUGGUGCCCCUUUUAAAGUGAAUGCGGUUAUCUCUAAUGCCUAACCCAUAAACGAUAGUGGUAAUUCGAUAAAAGACAUCAUGGUAUGCACCAUAUCCAAUAGGGUGCAGUUAUGAUGUUCGGACACACCAUCACACUGUGGUGUUCCAGGCGGUAUUAAUUGUGAAACACUUUCCACAAUGUCUUAAUUGUGUGCCAAACUCGUAACUCAGAUAUUCAUCUCUAUGAUCAUAUCACAGACAUUUUAUCCUCUUGUCACGACGAUCUUCAACUUCACUCUGAAAUUACUUGAACCUUUCAAUAAUUCAGACUUGUGUUUCAUCAAGUAAAUACACUCAGCAUCUACUCAAAUCAUCUGUGAAGUAAGAACAUAACGAUAUCCACUGCAUGCCUCAGCACUCAUUGGACUGCAUACAUCAAAAUGUAUUACUUCCAACAAGUUGCUCUCUUGUUCCAUCUUACUGAAAAGGAGGCCUUUCAGUCAUCUUGUCCAUGUGGUAUGAUUUGCAUGUCUCAAGUGAUUCAAUAUCAAGUGAGUCCAAACGAUCCAUCUGCAUGGAGUUUCUUCAUGCAUAUAUACCAAUAGACAUGGUUCGCAUGUCUCAAUCUUUUCAAAAACGAGCGAGUCCAAAGAUCCAUCUACAUGGAGCUUCUUCAUGCGUUCUAUACCAUUAUGACUCAAAUGGCAGUGCCACAAGUAUGUGGUACUAUCAUUACUAUUUUGUAUCUUUUGGCACGAACAUGUGUAUCACUGCGAUCGAGAUUCAUUUUAGGUGCAAGACCAUUGAAGGUAUUAUUCAAAUAAACAGAGUAACCAUUAUUCUCCUUAAAUGAAUAACCGUAUUGCGAUAAACAUAAUCCAAUCAUGCUCAACGCAAACACCAAAUCUCGAUGGUAGAGGGAGCAUGCGAUGCUUGAUCACAUCAACCUUGGAAACACUUCCAACACAUAUCGUCAUCUCACCUUUAGCUAGUCUCCGUUUAUUCCGCAGCUUUUAUUUCGAGUUACUAACACUUAGCAACCGAACCGGCAUCUAAUACCCUGGUGCUGCUAGGAGUACUAGUAAAGUACACAUUCAUAUAAUGUAUAUCCAAUAUACUUCUGUCGACCUUGCCUGCCUUCUCAUCUACCAAGUAUCUUGGGUAGUUCUGCUUCAGUGACCGUUCCCCUCAUUGCAGAAGCACUUAGUCUCGGGUUUGGGUUCAACCUUGGGAUUCUCCACUAGAGCAGCAAAUGAUUUGCUGUUUCAUGAAGUAUCCCUUUUGCCCUUGCCCUUCUUGAAACUAGUGGUUUUAUUAACCAUCAACAAUUGAUGCUCCUAUUUGAUUUCUACUUUCGCGGUGUCAAACAUCGCGAAUAGCUCAAGGAUCAUCAUAUCUAUCCCUGAUAUGUUAUAGUUCAUCACGAAGCUCUUAUAGCUUGGUGGCAGUGACUAUGGAGAACCAUCACUAUCUCAUCUGGAAGAUUAACUCCCACUCGAUUCAAGCGAUUGUGGCACUCAGACAAUCUGAGCACAUGCUCAACGAUUGAGCUUUUCUCCCUUAGUCUGCAGGCUUAAGAAACUUGUCAGAGGUCUCAUACCUCUUGACGUGGGCACUAGUCUGAAAUCCCAAUUUCAGUCUUCGGAACAUCUCAUAUGUUCUGCGACGUUUCAAAAACCGUCUUUGGUGCCACAAUUUUAAACCGUUAGCAUCACACACUGAACUAUCACGUAGUCAUCAAAACGUGUAUGUCAGAUGUUUCGCAACAUCUACAGACGACGCUGAGGUUCAGCACACCGAGCGGUGCAUUAAGGACAUAAGCCUUUUGUGCAGCAAUGAGGACAAUGCUCAGUUUACGGACCCAGUCCGCAUAAUUGCUACUACCAACUUUCAACUAAAUUUUCUCUAGGAACAUAUCUUAAACAGUAGAACUAAAGCGUAAGCUAUGACAUAAUUUGCAAAGACCUUUUGACUAUGUUUAUGAUAAUGAAGUUCAUCUGAUUAAUGAACUCCCACUCAGAGAGACAUCCCUCUAGUCAUCUAAGUGAUACAUGAUCCGAGUCAAACUAGGCCGUGUCCGAUCAUCAGGUGAGACGGACUAGUCAUCAUCGGUGAACAUCUCCAUGUUGAUCGCAUCUACUAUACGACUCAUGUUCGACCUUUCGAUCUCUUGUGUUCCGAGGCCAUGUCUGUAUAUGCUAGGCUCGUCAAGUCAACCUAAGUGUUUCGCAUGUGUUCCGAGGCCAUGUCUGUACAUGCUAGGCUCGUCAACACCCGUUGUAUUUGAACGUUAGAAUCUAUCACACCCGAUCAUCACGUGGUGCUUCGAAACAACGAACCUUCGCAACGGUGCACAGUUAGGGGGAACACGUCUCUUGAAAUUUUAGUGAGGGAUCAUCUUAUUUAUGCUACCGUCGUUCUAAGCAAAUAAGAUGUAAACAUGAUAAACAUCACAUGCAAAUCAUAAAGUGACGUGAUAUGGCCAAUAUCAUCUUGCGCCUUUUGAUCUCCAUCUUCGAGGCGCGGCAUGAUCACCUUCGUCACUGGCAUGACACCAUGAUCUCCAUCAUCAUGAUCUCCAUCAUCGUGUCUUCAUGAAGUUGUCUCGCCAACUAUUACUUCUACUACUAUGGCUAACGGUUAGCAAUAAAGUAAAGUAAUUACAUGGCGUUAUUCAUUGACACACAGGUCAUACAAUAAAUUAAGACAACUCCUAUGGCUCCUGCCGGUUGUCAUACUCAUCGACAUGCAAGUCGUGAUUCCUAUUACAAGAACAUGAUCAAUCUCAUAAAUCACAUAUAUCAUUCAUCACAUCCUUUUGGCCAUAUCACAUCACAUAGCAUACCCUGCAAAAACAAGUUAGACGUCCUCUAAUUGUUGUUGCAUGUUUUACGUGGCUGCUAUGGGAUUCUAGCAAGAGCGUUUCUUACCUACGCAAAAGCCACAACGUGAUAUGCCAAUUUCUAUUUACCCUUCAUAAGGACCCUUUUCAUCGAAUCCGAUCCGACUAAAGUGGGAGAGACAGACACCCGCUAGCCACCUUAUGCAACUAGUGCAUGUCAGUCGGUGGAACCUGUCUCACGUAAGAGUACGUGUAAGGUCGGUCCGGGCCGCUUCAUCCCACGAUGCCGCCGAAUCAAGAUAAGACUAGUAACGGCAAGUAAAUUGACAAAAUCGAGGCCCAUAACUACUUUGUGUUCUACUCAUGCAUAGAAACUACGCAUAGACCUAGCUCAUGAUGCCACUGUUGGGGAACGUAGCAGAAAUUCAAAAUUUUCUACGCAUCACCAAGAUCAAUCUAUGGAGUUUACUAGCAACGAGAGGGAAGGAGUGCAUCUACAUACCCUUGUAGAUCGCGAGCGGAAGCGUUCAAGAGAACGGGGUUGAUGGAGUCGUACUCGUCGUGAUCCAAAUCACCGAUGAUCCUAGCACCGAACAGACGGCACCUCCGCGUUCAACACACGUACGGAGCAGCGACGUCUCCUCCUUCUUGAUCCAGCAAGGGGGGAGGAGAGGUUGAUGGAGAUCCAGCAGCACGACGGCGUGGUGGUGGAAGUAGCGGGAUUCCAACAGGGCUUCGCCAAGCGCUGCGGGAGGAGGGAGAUGUGUCACGGGAGGUAGAGGGAGGUGCCAGGGCUUAGGUGUUUGCUGCCCUCCCUCCCCCCCACUAUAUAUAGGGCCAAGGGAGAGGGGGGGCACAGCCUUGGCCCUUCCUCCAAGGAAGGGUGCGGCCAGGGAGGAGUCCAUCCUUCCCAAGGCACCUCGGAGGUGCCUUCCCCCUUUAGGACUCUCCCUUUCCCUUAUCUCUUGGCGCAUGGGCCUCUUGUGGCUGGUGCCCUUGGCCCAUAUAGGCCAAGGCACACACCCAUACAGCCCAUGUGGCCCCCCGGGGCUGGUGGACCCCCUUGGUGGACCCCCGGACCCCUUUCGGCACUCCCGGUACAAUACCGAUAAUGCGCGAAACUUUUCCGGUGACCAAAACAAGACUUCCCAUAUAUAAAUCUUUACCUCCGGACCAUUCCGGAACUCCUCGUGAUGUCCGGGAUCUCAUCCGGGACUCCGAACAACUUUCGGGUUACCGCAUACUAAUAUCUCUACAACCCUAGCGUCACCGAACCUUAAGUGUGUAGACCCUACGGGUUCGGGAGACACGCAGACAUGACCGAGACGACUCUCCGGUCAAUAACCAACAGCGGGAUCUGGAUACCCAUGUUGGCUCCCACAUGCUCCUAGAUGAUCUCAUCGGAUGAACCAUGAUGUCGAGGAUUCAAUCAAUCCCGUAUACAAUUCCCUUUGUCAAUCGGUAUGUUACUUGCCCGAGAUUCAAUCAUCGGUAUCCCGAUACCUUGUUCAAUCUCGUUACCGGCAAGUCUCUUUACUCGUUCCAUAACACAUCAUCCCGUGAUCAACUCCUUGGUCACAUUGUGCACAUUAUGAUGAUGUCCUACCGAGUGGGCCCAGAGAUACCUCUCCGUUUACACGGAGUGACAAAUCCCAGUCUCGAUUCGUGCCAACCCAACAGACACUUUCGGAGAUACCUGUAGUGCACCUUUAUAGCCACCCAGUUACGUUGUGACGUUUGGUACACCCAAAGCUUUCCUACGGUGUCCGGGAGUUGCACAAUCUCAUGGUCUAAGGAAAUGAUACUUGACAUUAGAAAAGCUCUUAGCAAACGAACUACACGAUCUUGCGCUAGGCUUAGGAUUGGGUCUUGUCCAUCACAUCAUUCUCCUAAUGAUGUGAUCCCGUUAUCAACGACAUCCAAUGUCCAUGGUCAGGAAACGUAACCAUCUAUUGAUCAACGAGCUAGUCAACUAGAGGCUUACUAGGGACAUGGUGUUGUCUAUGUAUCCACACAUGUAUCUGAGUUUCCUGUCAAUACAAUUCUAGCAUGGAUAAUAAACGAUUAUCAUGAACAAGGAAAUAUAAUAAUAACCAAUUUAUUAUUGCCUCUAGGGCAUAUUUCCAACAGCAUGCGCGUAGUGCUUGGUUUUUGAUGACUUGUAGAUUUUUGCAAUAAGUAUGUGAGUUCAUUAUGACUAAUGUUGAGUCCAUGGAUUAUACGCACUCUCACCUUUCCAUCAUUGUUAGCCUCUUCGGUACCGUGCAUUGCCCUUUCUCACCUUGAGAGUUGGUGCAAACUUCGCCGGUGCAUCCAAACCCUGUGAUACGAUACGCUCUAUCACACAUAAACCUCCUUAUAUCUUCCUCAAAAUAGCCAGCAUACCUACCUAUUAUGGCAUUUCCAUAGCCAUUUCGAGAUAUAUUGCCAUGCAACUUUCCACCGUUUCAUUUAUUAUGACACACUUCAUCAUUGUCAUAUUGCCUUGCAUGAUCAUGUAGUUGACAUCGUAUUUGUGGCAAAGCCACCAUGCAUAAUUUUUCAUACAUGUCACUCUUGAUUCAUUGCCCAUCCCGGUACACCGCCGGAGGCACUCAUAUAGAGUAAUAUUUUGUUCUAGUAUCGAGUUGUAAUAAUUGAGUUGUAAAUAAAUAGAAGUGUGAUGAUCAUCAUUAUUAUAGCAUUGUCCCAUGUGAGGGAAAAAAAGAGGAAGGCCAAAUAAAAGAAAAGAGAAAGGCCAAAUAAAAAAGAUGGCCCAAAAAAAUGAGAGAAAAAGAGAGAAGGGACAAUGCUACUAUCCUUUUGCCACACUUGUGCUUCAAAGUAGCACCAUGGUCUUCAUGAUAGAGAGUCUCUUAUUUUGUCACUUUCAUAUACUAGUGGGAAUUUUCAUUAUAGAACUUGACUUGUAUAUUCCAACAAUGGGCCUCUUCAAAUGCCCUAGGUCUUCAUGAGCAAGCAAGUUGGAUGCACAUCCACUUAGUUUCUUUUGUUGAGCUUUCAUACAUUUAUAGCUCUAGUGCAUUCGUUGCAUGGCAAUCCCAAUUCCUUGCAUUGACAUCAAUUGAUGGGCAUCUCCAUAGCCCGUUGAUUAGUCGCGUCAAUGUGAUACUUUCUUCUUUUUGUCUUCUCCACACAACCCCCAUUAUCAUAUUCUAUUCCACCCAUAGUGCUAUGUUCAUGGCUCACACUCAUGUAUUGCGUGGAAGUUAAAACAGUUUGAGAAUACUAAAGUAUGAAACAAUUGCUUGGCUUGUCAUCGGGGUUGUGCAUGAUGAGAGCAUUUUUGUGUGACGAAAAUGGAGCAUGACCAAACUAUAUGAUUUUGUAGGGAUGAACUUUCUUUGGCCAUGUUAUUUUGAGAAGACAUAAUUGCUUAGUUAGUAUGCUUGAAGUAUUAUUAUUUUUAUGUCAAUAUUAAACUUUUGUCUUGAAUCUUUUGGAUCUGAACAUUCAUGCCACAAUAAAGAAAAUUACAUUGAAAAUUAUGUUAGGUAGCAUUCCACAUCAAAAAAUUUGUUUUUAUCAUUUACCUACUCGAGGACGAGCAUGAAUUAAGCUUGGGGAUGUUGAUACGUCUCCAACGUAUCUAUAAUUUUUUAUUGUUCCAUGCUAUUAUAUUAUCUGUUUUGGAUGUUUAAUGGGCUUUAAUAUGCACUUUUAUAUUAUUUUUAGGACUAACCUGUUAACCGGAGGUCCAGUGCCAGUUGCUGUUUUUUGCCUAUUUCAGUGUUUUAUAGAAAAGGAAUAUCAAACGGAAUCCAAACGGAAUGAAACGCGAGGAUCGUUUUUGGAACAAACGCAAUCCAGGAGACUUGGAGUGAACGUCAAGGAAGUAACGAGACGGCCACGAGGCAGGGAGGCGCGCCCAGGGGGUAGGCGUGCCCCCACCCUCGUGGGCCCCUCGUAGCUCCACCGACCUACUUCUUUCGCCUAUAUAUACUCUUAUACCCUAAAAACAUCUUAGGGAGCCACGAAACAACUUUUCCACCGCCGCAACCUUCUGUACCCGUGAGAUCCCAUCUUGGGGCCUUUUUCGGCGCUCCGCCGGAGGGGGAAUCGAUCAGGGAAGGAUUCUACAUCAACACCAUAGCCUCUCCGAUGAUGUGUUAGUAGUUUCCCACAGACUUUCGGGUCCAUAGUUAUUAGCUAGAUGGCUUCUUCUCUCUCUUUGGAUCUCAAUACAAAGUUCUCCUCGAUGUUCUUGGAGAUCUAUUCGAUGUAAUACUUUUUGCGGUGUGUUUGCCGAGAUCCGAUGAAUUGUGGGUUUAUGAUCAAGUUUAUCUAUGAACAAUAUUUGAUUCUUCUCUGAAUUCUUAUAUGCAUGAUUUGAUAUCUUUGCAAGUCUCUUUGAAUUAUCGGUCUAGUUUGGCCUACUAGAUCGAUCUUUCUUGCAAUGGGAGAAGUGCUUAGCUUUGGGUUCAAUCUUGCGGUGUCCUUUCCUAGUGACAGUAGGGGCAGCAAGGCACGUAUUGUAUUGUUGGCAUCGAGGAUAAAAAGAUGGGGUUUAUAUCAUAUUGCUUGAGUUUAUCCCUCUACAUCAUGUCAUCUUGCCUAAUGCAUUACUCUAUUCUUAUGAACUUAAUACUCUAGAUGCAUGCUGGAUAGCGGUCGAUGUGUGGAGUAAUAGUAGUAGAUGCAGAAUCGUUUCGUUCUACUUGACACGGACGUGAUGCCUAUAUACAUGAUCAUGCGUAGAUAUUCUCAUAACUAUGCGCUUUUAUAUCAAUUGCUCGGCAGUAAUUUGUUCACCCACCGUAAAUAUAUGCUAUCAUGAGAGAAGCCACUAGUGAAACCUAUGGCCCCCGGGUCUACUUUCCAUCAUAUAAGUUUCCGCUCUAUUUUAUUUUGCAAUCUUUACUUUCCAAUCUAUACAACAAAAAUACCAAAAAUAUUUAUCUUAUUAUCUUUAUCAGAUCUCACUUUUGCAAGUGACCGUGAAGAGAUUGACAAUCCCUUUAUCGCGUUGGUUGCAAGGUUCUUAAUUGUUUGUGCAGGUACUAGGGGAUUUGCGUGUAGUCUCCUACUGGAUUGAUAUCUUGGUUCUCAAAAACUGAGGGAAAUACUUACGCUACUUUGCUGCAUCACCCUUUUUUCUUCAAGGGAAAACCAACGCAUACUCAAGAGGUAGCAAGAAGGAUUUCUGGCGCCGUUGCCGGGGAGAUUUGCGCCAUGUCAAGUCAAGAUUUGAUCUCCCGUGAACGUCUCGAGGAGCAUGUGUGCUAAUGCGGGCUUGUUUCCGCUGCGUGGUUGACUGUUGUAUAUGUCCUUGAGUGCUUUGUGUGUGCGCGCGAUGCAUACUCGGUGUGGGUGCCUGACGUGUGUCGUUUUGAUUUUUUUUAGAGAUUAAUUUUUAGUAUGUACUCCCUUCGUUUCUUUUUACUCUGAGUAUAAAAUUUCAAGGAAGUUAAAAUUUGUAAAAUUUGAUAUAAUUUAUAUAAAAAAAUUUAACAUCUAAAAUUUUAAAGUUAUAUAGUACGAAAAUUAAUUCCAUGAUGCAUCUAAUAAUAUAUUUUUUGGUAUUCUGAAUGUUGAUAUUUUUUCUACAAACAUGGUCAAACUUUAUGAAUUUUGACUUGAAACAAAUCCAUGCGAAAUUAAAAGAAACAGAGUGUGGUUGUUUCCAGUAUGACCAAAGCAUCCAUGAAUCUGUGCACCUUUGUUGACAGUGCUUCCGCUUGCCUCGCUGAAAUUUCAAGCAUUGGUGGCUCCAACGUUCGGUCCAUCUAGGCAAGGGUAAAAAGAAGGAUAAGCGACGAUACAAUUAGGACAUGGACAAGUGGGUAAGGGAUUUUGAACCAUGCUUACUGGACUAGGGCAUGUGAUAUUUUUUAAAUAAUUUUAAAAAAUCAAUUUUAGUUCACAUUAUUCUAAAAAGCCCAAUUUCCAAAAAGUAAAAAUAUUCAAAUUAUGUGUUCUUUUCCAAAAAUAUUGAAAUUUCGAAAUUUAUUCAUAAUUUUCAAAAAAUUGUUCACAAUUUCAAAAAAAGGAAAGUUCAUAAAUAAUUCGGAUUCUCAAAUUUUUAUUCGCUUUUCCCAAAAUAAUGUUUCAAAAGCGAGGCGAGAGAGGCUUCGUAGACUCUAUGAGUAGUUUUUUUAGGGGUUUCCGACGAGUAGUAGUAGGCCGGGCCGAACGUCACUUACAAGGAAGUGCAAACAAGCCGGCCUGUGUUUCAGAUCUUGGGCUGCAUCAAGCCCAGCCCAUUACCACACACAGCGCCCCCACUACUCUCGCGUCUCUCCCAGUGAGAGAGCCCGAGAACCACACCUGAAUCUCGACCUCCUCCUCCUCCCAGCGACCAAAUCUGCCGCCGCGCCGCCCGCCGGAAGGAGCGAAUCGAGCCCCGCGGCUGCGCGAUGAACACCGACAUCACCGCGUCAGUGAAGCCGGAGUACCCGGUGGUGGAUCGGAACCCCGCCUUCACCAAGGUCGUCGGCAACUUCUCCGCGCUCGACUACAUGCGCCUCUCCACCAUCUCCGCCGUCUCCGUCACCGUCGGCUACCUCUCCGGUACGUCCUCCUAGCCCCUGACCUCCUCCCCGUACGGCCGUCCUCUUUCGCUUCGCCCCCGGAGGCUCAAAUCCGCGUUCUUGGGGGGUGCUCGCAGGGAUCAAGCCGGGGAUCCGCGGGCCGUCGAUGGUGACGGGGGGCCUCAUCGGGGUCCUCGGAGGGUUCAUGUACGCCUACCAGAACUCCGCCGGACGCCUCAUGGGGUUCUUCCCCAACGAAUCCGAGGUCGCGCGCUACAAGUACAAGCUGUAGUGGUAGAAGGCAUCAUCAUUUCUCCCCGUUUCUCUACCGCAAGUGUUACUUCUUUGCUUUUAUCUUUCUCUAAUCUCGUGUGAGCAAUGUGUGGUCUUGGUGUAAUAAAUGGGGUGCCUUGCUGCACAGUAGUGAGGAAUUCAUGCUAUGAUUUUACUCGUUUUGUUAUAAUUUGGUCGCCAUUUCGGUAAACUUCUGGAAAUGGAGAACUGUUGUGUUAAAAUAGAUUUUUGUAUCUUAGAUUAAGUAGUGUGAUUUUCUUUUGCUUCACGCUGGCUAGCUGUGGCUUAAGUUUGUCCAAAGAGGUGUCGAGAGAACUUUCUUUAUCUAUAGUUACCUGGUGUGAAACUGUUAUGGCCUAGAUGACUAGAUGUGGUGUGAAUAUUAGUGCACAUGCAGCUCUAGAGAAUUUGGGAAUAUGAAGUUAGGUUGCAGGUUUAGGCAGCACUUGAGCACACAUAGAUUCAUCAAUGCUUACAAGCCCAAGUUUUGCUGCCUGGUAACUUGAUCCACAUAAUGAGUUGAUGAUAAUUGUACUCCCUUCAUUCCAAAAUACAUAGCUUAUUAGGUUUCGUUAGGACAAGCCGUUGGUCAAUAAUUACUCUAUUCAUAUAUAUAUUUUUUGUGACAUAAAAAUUGAUUUCAUUAGAUUCAUAUUCCAAAUACUUAUUUGUGGUUAUGAUUUUCUAUCACAAAAGUUACAUACAUGAAAGUUAAUUCAAAGACUUGUCUUGAGGAAACCUAAUAUGCAAGGUAUUUUGGAACAGAGGUAAUAUUUGGCAAGUGUGCAUCCAUGAAUUUUGAGUUAAUAUGAAAUAAGGUCAAUUAUUCUUCUUACUUCCAUUCACCAUCAUGCUAGGUUGGAUAGGUAUCAUAGGAAUGAAUAUAUCUGAUUGUUUGUGGAAAAUAUGCUAACCUCAUAUUAAAAUGGAUCCUGCUGUGAAAUAGGGAAUCCUUAUGCUAAAAUUGAAAAUAAAAUAAAAUUGGGCAACUGGUAGGAGCUCUGCCUUUCAAUUAAGUAGAAGAAGAAUUCACCAGUCAAAAGAAAAACUGGCUCUCGUUUAGGGAUUGGGAUCUUGUCUACCUGUAGUGGUAACUAUGUUGGUCAGGCUGGCUUGUUGAGGUGAAUGCUCCUCAAAAGAUUGUUUGGAUGAUUCUUUCAUAUUUUUGUGGGGAAUUACCUGGUGUUACAUUACGGUCCAUAUGUUAGUUGCAAUUUGUCAGUUUAAUGCACAUGCAUCUCAAAAGAAUCUUGGAAAGGGAGAUACAUGGCUGGUUUUAAGGAGCACCUGAGCACAUAGGAAGUCCAUUGAGGCUUACUAACCUCGGAAAUUGAUAAGUUAUGGUGUGAAAAAAAUGUGAUCCGGCUGGCAAUAGUUGUAUCAACGAGUGUGCUUCCGUACAUUUUUAGUUGGUAGGAGUAUGAAAUAGAGUGCUUAUUCUUGCUCUUAUUCACCUUCAUAGCUUGAUGCUCAAUUGGAACCUAGUAAUAAAUUUUAAAUUCCUGGCCACUACCUUGAUAUUUUUCAACAUAAUCAUCUGUUGUUUGGUUGGAAUCCACUAAUGACAUUAAAAUUACAGGUCACUGCAUUGGAUGAGAUUUUGGCCAACUUAUCUAUUUGAGUAGGAACGAUUGAUCCUACUGUAGAAUUUGGAAGAUGUGUUAAAAUGAAUUUUAGCCUGGUUUUGCAUGCGGUGGUAGGCUGGUACGUAGUUUUAUAGUCAAGAUGUGGCCAUGUGGGUGCCUGGGUGGUGCAUCUAUAAGGAACCUAGUAAAAUGAAGACAUAUCUUAAGAUUUAACGAGCACUGGAGUACACAGAAAGUUCAUCUUUGCUUACUAACCUAGCAAACAACCUGAGCCACCUGGGGAUAAUGGUAUUGUCAAGUGUCGUGUGUACAUUUUUUGUUAAUACCAGUUGGUUAUUCUCUUGGAUGUUCGCCUUGAGCAAUAUUUUUAGAAGCUGAUCACUGUUUUUCAGAUACAAACUGCAAUUAUAGAAUUUAAGAAUAUAUUUGAUGACUGGUAUAAUUAAUCACUUGUUGUUAACCAUUUUCUAGUAAAAAAAUUCAGGGUAGGCUUUGCAGCAUCUAAAAGUUUCAACCAUAAUCGCGAUGCGUAUAGGUUUCCCCAGCAAGGUUAUAUGAGAUUGUCCAUCUGGGAAUAUUGUGAGAAGCCUGUUGUUGCAAAAGAAACAGCUUGGUAUAGGAUUGUGUUUUGAUUGAACAUUGUUGGUGACUUGGCGUUUGUUUCUGUGGUGUGCUUGCAUUUGUUUCUUAUAUGGUGGAGAACUGACCUUAUAUUGGGCAUGUGUAUUCAUGUCCAUAGUAUUCAUAUUUCAUGCUCUUGAGAUAGUAUCAGACUGUAUAUUCGUUUCAAGCACAUAUGAGAUUCAUCCGCUGGAAGAGCUUGAGAUUAAGCCGUUUAUGCAUAUGAAGUAAUUGCAAUGCUCUUUCGGUUUAUUUACCUUCCCGUGAAUUCAGUCGCUAGGGACUGUAUGGCUGGAUGUGAAGUGAACAAAACUUUGAGGUUGCUUUAUCUCGGUUGCUUAACCCCCACCUGAUGGACAUUGUUUUGCACUUCUUUAUCCUUGUGUCUUAUGUAAUUAUGCAAGUCAAAUUCAGUUGUAGGAGUAGGAGUAGGUACAUAUUAGGCCAAAAACUGCGGCAUUGUAUCCGAGGGAAACACUUGGGUAUCACUAAUUGAUUGUCUCUGCAUUGUUCACUGGCUCUUACCCAAGCCCUGGAACAGGUAAACAAAAUCCAGCUCUACCACGCCUGAAGGAAAACGCCGUAAAAAUUCCUCGAUCUUUUUAUGGCUAUACACACCUAUCCGUUCAUAUGCAAGACAUGGCAGUACAUUAGGCAAGUUUGCACACUAAUUUACAGAUAACUACUCCUAGUUAGCCACAACGUGAGGAUUCAAUCUUCAACGGGGAAGAACCACGUCCGAAACCGCGGGCUAUCCCGGCAGGGGCGCGGGCACCGACGACUCCGGCAGCAACGCCGUGAUCGUCUUACGUCUCAUGUCGAACACGCCGGAGUCCCCGAGCGAGCCAUCACCGGGCUUCCUCCCAAGGUACUGGCGUCUCAGGAAAUAGACACAAUCUUCUCGAGCUCCAUCGCCGGCGGGGGCAGACUUGGAGCACCGUGCACACACGAAGAUCGCCCGGCCACCCAGGCCGUAGACCUUCUUCCACCGGCCGACGCGCGGCCUGCCGUCUCCCAGCUCCGCCUCGAACACGUCCAGCCGCUGAGUCCGCUCCAUGCGCCUGUAACCACCCGGUCCGUCCGCCGCCGAUCUCACGCGCCGCCUCGCCAUGCUCUCCGGCGCGUCCCAUCUCACCCAUCGCCUCACCAUCAGCAGCUUGCCGUCGGACUCGACCAGGUACAGCCGGGCCACGCUGUCGGGAAAUCUUUUCUGAAUCCUGUAGCGUAUGUACCGAGAACUGUCGUGGGAGUCGUGUGCCCGACUGCCUUCGAUCAGCGGGACGCCGCCUACCACGUCGGGCCUGGCUCCGGCCGGGGUCGGCUUGCGGGGGCUGCCAUUGCCGAGCUCGAAGCCGAGGAGCUCCUCGGUGUGGGAGAGGCCGUAAGAUCUUGCCGUGAAACAGAGCAAUGUCGACGAUGGAGAGCUCGCUCAGCACCAGGCAGGAGUUGACCUCGCCGCCCGGGCGGCGGGUCGAGACGAUGACUCUGCAGUCGCUGGUCAGGACGGCGAUGACGGGGAGCGCCGCCGAGGGCGCGGAGACCACCACCUUCUCGAUGCUCCUCCUGUACAUCCCGUCGUGGGGGUCGACCUUGUAGUACCGCAGGAGGGCGGCGAGCUCGGGGUGGGGGGUCAUGGCGCCCGAGAAGGCGUCCAUCAGGGAGCACCGGCCGUCGUGGUGCAUGACGAAGAGCAUGUUCUCGCCCGCGCUGUAGCAGCCGGCGGCGUCGUCCGGGAGGCGCACGCGGUGCGCGCAGCUGUUGGCCGCGUCUAGCAGGGUGCCGUCGCCGAAGAGGAUCCAGGGGAGCUACACCGGGGGCGGCGGAUGAUGCCUGGCGCUCGAGCGCCACGCGCGGCAGACGGCGCGGAGGCGGACGCGGUCGACGAGGGACGGCAGACGGUGGAGGACGACGCCUAGGAGAUCCGGCGGCAGGUCCGGCCACCCGGAUCGGCACCGAUUUUUGGGAGGCGCCAUCUGGGGUGAUCUAAUGUCCCGGUAGGUAAGCACGAUAUAUGCUUAUAUACGGUUGUGAAUCCUAGACGGAGGAGUUGGGACUCGACUGGGCGUCUCCCGGAUAAUGGAUCCGAUCCGGCGAACUCAGUCCACCGAGAACUCGCCCAGCCCAACGACGCCGAGUAGUUUCCGAGCGCAACGACGAAGGCGAAGAAGCAAGGGUUGGGUACUACAACUACAGAAAACUAGCGUAUACAUAACGGUGACUGCAUCUAAAACUAGCUCGAGACGGCACCAGGAAGCCGUGUUUACUUCCAGCAACCAAAGUCAAUUGCGGGAGCUCCUAUUCGAUGCUCCUUGCGUGGAAUAGUGGUUUUUUUUUGGGUACGUGGAAUAGUACGUCUUUUUAGGGGUAUAUGUGAAUUGUUUUUUUAACACGGACGCAAGCGCUCGUACAUACGCGCAUACACUCACCCCAUGAACGCACACACGCACACUCUACCCCUAUGAGCACCUCCGAGAGACUGAGCCGGCAUAUUAUCUUGAAAUUUACGAAGUCACCGUAGUCACCUCGUCAUCGACGGGAGCGUCUCCUCCCAUUGUAGACUCAUCUUUUCUUAAUAUGUGGCUAUGUUAUCACAUGCCUCUCUUUCUCCAUUAAUUACAUGUCACAUCAUCUAUUUUGCCUAGAUAAGUGUGAUGUUAUCACCUAUGUUACUCCCACUGUGGCUAGUCUCACUGGCCCCAUGUGGCUGGGUCAAUCAAGUUUCUUCCCCCGCCCCAUUGGGGCACGCCGAACGACGUGCAGGGUCCAUGCAGAUCUUAUUCAAAUCCACCAUACGUGCUACUGCUCCGUUUUGUUUUCGACGGAAGUUUGUUGCCAGAUCCAGCCGCUCACAUUCAUCAAUCUGACUCCGCAGAUGAUUCAUCCAAGACGCAUUACAAAAUUUAUUGCGAUGCAAUGAUUGUUACCCUAGGUGAUUAUGAAGUCUCUUGCUUUUCUACAAGUGUUUAAUCCUUCAUUAUCAUGUUUGUUGAAACUCACAUUUUGUCUAAAUUUCAUGUCAUUUUCCUAACAUAACCAUGUACAAUAGCUCAGAGAACAUUACGCAGCCUACUGCCACUACUGAUCUGUUUGGGCGACUAAUCCCGAGCUCACGUGAGCUCGUGUUUGCUAGGUUGAACGUCUUGGUUGGGGCUAUGUGGUGGCGGCGAUGUCCCUCGUUAGCAAUAAUGUCUCCCACGUCCUAUCCCCGUCCCGAUGAUGCGAAUAGCGUUGUCGGAGGAUGUGUGGAGGUGUGUCUCCGUCGAAUCUCAUGGGAUUCGACCGGUGCUGGUCUUCGGUGGAUCUAUUUGGAUCUAGUGUUUGUUCGUCUUCGUUCGUGUGGUUCCAGAUUUGAUCUUUCCGAUCUACAACUCUCUUCAUCGACGAUGGUUGCUGCUCUAGUACGCUGGUCCUUUAGGACCUUAGCACGAUGACUUCCCGACUGUCUACUACAACAAGGUUUGCCCGGCUCCGGUGAUGGAGGGGCGCUGACGACGGCACGCCUUCGGCUCGCUCCAGUGCUUGUAGUCGUUGCUAAGGUCCAUAGAUCUGGUUGUAAUUUUUAUUACCUCUUGUGUUCUCUGUACUGCCAUGAUUGAUGAAUAGAUUGGAAAUUUCUCUCGAAAUUUUUUUUUUAAAAAAGAUCUGCUUUUUUUAUGCGGAACACUGAGAAAUGUUUUGAUAGCUUGCAAAAUUUCAUCACCAUAUGACAUUCGAGGAAAAUGUGGGAAAAAACAAAAUCAAUGCAUCAAUUUUGUUUUUUAUUGCCACAUUUUCCACGAAUGUCAUAUAGUGAUGAAAUUUUGCAGUCUAAAAAACUUAUCUCAAUGUUUGACACACAAAAAAUCGGAACUUUCUGAAUUUCUUUCAUUUUUUUUUAAAUUUUACUAUUCACCCAGCUCGGGGAUCAGAACAGCCGCUUCCUCUGUUUGGGGUUGUUUGUGAUAUCGAUUCUUUCCCAUGUGAACUUCCAGUCUUCUAUGCUUUUUUUUUUAGGGAUCAGUCUUCUAUGCUUUGAGUCCUAUUGUCUCUGCAACUUCUACUGAUAUAGCUCUUUCAGUUACUAAUGAGUACAACAGAUUGUCUGAAGAAUUUAGUCGGGUGCGCAUUUUGUGCCAGGCUUUGAAUACACCAAUUUCUUUCUCUGUCUCAUUUUAGAACGCUCAUGUACGCUACUUCUUAAUUCUACCGACUUUAUUUUCAAAUGGCAAGAUAGUCUCAAUUAUACGAGUUAAAUGCAUAAAACCACUACAUUCGUGUCACGAUUAGCGAAAACCACCACUUUACGAUUUGUGGCAAACUGCACCGCUUCGGAAUUCUUAUAGUGGCAAAAAACAGUGAGCAAAAGAUUGAGCUCGUUUUAACGUGGCAAAUCAGCCCCGUGGCGAGUCUGGAGACGGUGCGGGAGUAACGAGGUAAGAUGUCAAUACGAGACAUAUACUACUUAUAUUUACAGGCAUGCAUAACAUAAUCAUUGAUACACAUAUACUGUCACAUACAAGCAUGCAUAGUAUAUGAUAUUUUCUAAAAUAUACAAGCAUGUAGUAUAACAUAACCACUAAUGCAUUGGCAUAUACCAAUUGUUAUGUAGCAACAAAAUUAAAUGUAUUAUGGAAAUAAAAUCAAGAAAUUUCGGUUAACAUAACAUUGAAAGCAUCUGAAUCAUCCAUACAUGCCUAGCUUAAAUGAAAUAGCUAUUUUUUUUACAAAGAAGGGAUCUCACCAUCAUGGCGGGUGCCGCGACCGAAGAACUAGGCGGCACAUGCCAGGUCGUGACACCAACAUGCGAAGGGGACCUGGCUAUAGGGUAGAUCAACCCCGUCACCACCAUAACCAUGACAACCGGGCAUACAGUCGUGCACGAUGGCGCGAGGGGGCCGACGUCCGAUGGCAGGGAGGACUGCACUACACCAGAAACGGCUAGACAAAGGCGACGGCGAGCGACCUGAUGACUCUAUUUUUUUACUCAUUUUAAAGCUCAUUUAUUGAAUAAUAACUCCUUAUAUCAUGUCUCAUCGAGUGAUUCAUACCAUUUGUAUGUCCAUUAUGCAUGAUUGUCAAUUUGCCUUCAUCUUAACAUGAUCAUUUUAUUUUUUGUUAAUUUGAGCUAUAUUAAAGAGCUAGUUCGACGAGCCGGUCCAUGUAACGGUUGUUUCUGGGUUUUUUUAGAUUUUGGUCUUUAUUCUUUUUUUGCAUAUUUUAUUUUUAUAUAUUUUUUGCAUUAUACGAUGAACAAUUUUUAAUAUAUGGUGAAUUUUUUACAUACACUGAACUUGUUUAUAAAACACAUACUGAUCAAUUUUAUAAAAUAUUCUUCUGUUUUAAUAAGUUUUCAAAAUAUGUAGCUCCUAAAAAGUAAAACCAGUUUUUUGGGUGAAACAAUGACUAAAACCGAAGAGAGAAAAACAUAAUUCCGCUCGCGGGGAAUGGGCCACCCUAUUUGCCCUGGCUUCAUCAAGACCUCAUCUAUUUGCCGCCUGCGGGUGGCAAAUAGGAGGUCCUCAAGGCUGGCUCGUUGGCUACUUAGUUCUGUUAUUUUUACGAGCUCCUCCGUUGGCAUAAAAGAAAACGUACACAGAUUCGAAAACAGUACGUGAAAUCAAAAAAUACCCACAUUUUUUUAAAAUAUUUCGGAUUUUUAAAUAUCCCGUGACCUAUUACAGUAUUUGCAAAUUUAGAAAAUGCUUGUGAACUACUCCCUCCGUUCCUAAAUAUAAGUCUUUUUAGAGAUUCCACUAGGGACUACAUAGAGAGCAAAAUGAGUGAAUCUACACACUAAAGUAUGUCUAUAUACAUCCGUAUGUAGUUCAUAGUGGAAUCUCUAAAAAAACUUAUAUUUAGGAACGGAGGGAGUAUUUUUCAUGAUUUUUCUUAUUUUGAAUUUAGGGAAUUUUCACUAAUUUAAUUUUUUUUGUGAAUCUAAAAAAUGUUUGUUGGUUUUAAAAAAUGUCGGCAGCUUCUAAAAGAUUCAUCAGUAUGAUAAAAAUGUUUGUGAAUUAGAAAACUGUUCAUGAAUUUUAAAAAUAAGCACCACUUUUAAUAAAAUCAUGAAUUUUUUAAAAAUGUCCACAAAUAUUAAAAAUGUUGAUGAAUUUAAAAGUGAUCACAAUUUUGGUGAAUGCUCUUAAAUUAGAAAAAGGAAAAAAUAAAGAAGAAGAAGAAGAAGAAAAAGAAGAAGAAGAAGAAGAAGAAGAAGAAGAGAAGAAGAACAAACAAAAAAGAAAAAAAUAGAAAAACAAAUAUAAAACCGGAAUACAUCAAAGAGAAACAACAAAACAGGUGUGGAAUGUCUAGAGCUUCCUAAAAUAGGUAAAGUUCCUAAAAUAAUAAAAGAAGCACCGGGGUACACAAACCGAACCAUUGGAGGAACAACACUUGCUACAUGUGUGCAUUUUGUAUGAGAACACCUAUAUUUUACAUGGAGAGUGUAAAAUAGCAUAUCCCCUGAGUUGCCACAUACAUAUUCGGUGAUUUAAAUGUCGUUGGCUGAGUUAACUUCCCUAAGUACAACUCUUAUCCAUCCCCAAAGUUAACUUUUUAAGGGGUGCGUCUGAUACGUCUCUAACGUAUCUACUUUUUCUCACGUUUUUCCUCUUGUUUUGAACUCUAAUUUGCAUGAUUUGUAUGAAACUAAUCCCGGAUUGACGCUGUUUUCUGCGGAACUAUCAUGGUGUUUUUUUGUGCAGAAAUAAAAGUUCUCGAAAUGGAACGAAACUUUGCGAGGAUUUUUUAUAUCAAUAAUAAGAAUUUCUGGAGCCAAGACCUGCCGAGAGGGGCACCUGGGUGGGCACAACCCACCAGGGCGCGCCCCCCUCUCCUGGCGCGCCCUCAUGGGUUGUACCCACCUGGUGGCUCCGCAUACGAUCCCCCUGAUACUAUAAAAUCACAUAUUUCCAGAAAAAAUAAGGGAGAAAGAAUUAUCGCGAUCCACGAGACGGAGCCGCCGCCAAGCCCUGUUCUUCCUCGGGAGGGCAUAUCUGGAGUCCGUUUGGGGCUCCGGAGAGGGGGAUCUUCGUUCUUCAUCAUCACCAACUCUUCUCCGUCGCUAAUUCCAUGAUGCUCCCCACCGGGAGUGAGUAAUUCUUUCAUAGGCUCGCUAGUCGGUGAGGAGUUGGAUAAGAUUCAUCAUGUAAUCGAGUUAGUUUGUUAGGGCUUGAUCCCUAGUAUCCACUAUGUUCUUAGAUUGAUGUUGCUAUGACUUUGCUAUGCUUAAUGCUUGUCACUUUGGGCCCGGGUGCCAUAAACUCAGAUCUGAACCGUUUAUGAAUUCAUCAUUAUAUCCAUGUUUUAGAUCCGAUCUUGCAAGUUAUAGUCACCUACUACGUGUUAUGAUCCGGUAACCCCGGAGUGACAAUAACCGGGACUUCUUCCGGUGAUUACCAUAGUUUGAGGAGUUCAUGUAUUCACUAUGUGUAAAUGCUUUGUUCCGGUUCUCUAUUAAAAGGAGGCCUUAAUAUCCCUUAGUUUUCAAUAUGGACCCCGCUGCCACAGGAGGGUAGGACAAAAGAUGUCAUGCAAGUUAUUUUAAUCAAGCAUGUAUGACUAUUUACGGAAUACAUGCCUACAUUAUAUCGAUGAACUGGAGCUAGUGCCGUAUCGCCCUAGGUUAUAACUGUCACAUGAUGAAUAUCAUCCAACAAGUCACCGAUCCAAUGCCUACGAAUUUAUCUUAUAUUGUUUCUGCUAAGUUACUACUGCUAUCAUCACUGUUGCACUUGCUACAAAAUUAUCGCUAUCACUGUUACUGUUACCGUUGCUACUAUUACUAUUAUCAAAACUAUCAAACUACUUUGCUACUGAUUACUUGCUGCAGAUAAUUAAUCUCCAGGUGUGGUUGAAUUGACAACUCAGCUGCUAAUACCUUCAAAUAUUCUUUGGCUCCACUUGUGUCGAAUCUAUAAAUUUGGGUUGAAUACUCUACCCUCGAAAACUGUUGCGAUCCCCUAUACUUUUGGGUUAUCAAGACCUUUUACUAGCGCUGUUGCCAGGAAGCAUAGCUAUAUUUGUUGAGUCACUUGGGAUUAUUAUCAUAUUAUCACUAUGAAGAAGCUGAAGGAUCCAAAGACUAAGAUAUUUCCCUCAAAGACGAGGGGAGGUAAGGAACUGCCAUCCAGUUCUGCUUUAGAUUCACCUUCUGUUAUGAAUAAACUUGCAACACCACCAUAUGCUAUUAAUUCUGAUAUGUCACAAGUUAUUGAUGAUGCUACUUCUACUAUGAAUGAUGCUUACGAUGAUGCUAGUACCAUGCUUGAUAAUGAUGAUGUGCCACUUGGUGAAUUUCUUGAUAAACAAAUUGCUAGAGUUAUACAACAUGAUGUUGUUGAAUCUGAUGAUGAGCUUGAAACUGAAUCUCCUGAAACACCUGCUAGAACUAGCCUUCCUAGAUAUGAAUUGCCUAAUGUACCGGAAGGUUAUGUUAUGAAUGAGGAGACAACUAGAGAUAUUCUUGCUUGUAAGGAUAGAGAUGAUCUAGAAAAAUUAUUAUGCAAGUUUAAGGAAAAAUCUCUGAAUGCUAGAAUGAAAUGUGAUCCUAAGUUUGCUACUUCACCUAUCUUUAUUGAUGAAUAGGAUUAUUAAUUCUCUGUCGACCCAGAGUUAAUUAGUUUGGUUGAAUUCGAUCCUUUCCAUGGUUAUGAAACUGAAACUGUUGGGGCGCAUCUUACUAAGUUGAAUGAUAUAGCCACCCUUUUUACUCAUGAUGAGAAAACUCGCUACUACUUUAUCCUCAAAUUAUUUCCUUUCUCAUUAAAGGGUGAUGCUAAAGCUUGGUACAAUACUCUUGCUCCUGGUUGUGUGCGUAGUCCCCAGGAUAUGAUUUAUUACUUCUCUGAAAAAUAUUUCCCUGCUCAUAAGAAACAAGCUGCUUUACAGGAAAUAUUUAACUUUGUGCAAACUAAUGAAGAUAGUUCCCACAAGCUUGGGGGAGGCUUUGCCAGUUACUUAAUGCUUUUCCUAGUCAUCCUCUUAAGAAAAAUGGAAUACUUGAUGAUAACCCACAAGUAUAGGGGAUCAAUUGUAGCCUCUUUCGAUAAGUAAGAGUGUCGAACCCAACGAGGAGAUAAAGGUAGAACAAAUAUUCCCUUAAGUUCUAUCGACCACCGAUACAACUCUACGCACGCUUGACGUUUGCUUUACCGGAAACAAGUAUGAAACUAUUUUGCAAGGAUAAUACUAUGAGUACUUUGCGAGAAUAAAAACUAUGGAUAAAUUGCAAGAUAAUAAAAGAGGAUAGCUUUUGCCAAUAAGAAAUUCGUUUGUCCCUAGGCAAUCGAUAACAAGUACCGGUAAUCAUUCUUGUAAUUUUAUAUGAGGGACAGGCAUGAGCUAACAUACUGUCUCUACUUGGAUCAUAUGCACUUAUGAUUGGAACUCUAGCAAGCAUCCGCAACUACUAAAGAUCAUUAAGGUCGUGAAACCCAACCAUAGCAUUAAGUAUCAAGUCCUCUUUACUCCCAUACGCCAUAACCCACCUAUCCGCGUUUAAGUUUCUGUCACUCUCGCAACACUGACAAUAAGCAAAUCAUGAACAUAUUGCAACACCCUACAGCGGGGGCCCCUCACGUUUGCGCGAGACGGAGGCACCGUAGGACAGCACCAUAAAAAUAUAUACAAUCAUACCAACCAAGAUCACGAUUAACCCAUAGGACAAAACGGGUCUACUCAAACAUCAUAGGAUAACCAUAGAUCAUUGGGAAAUAAUAUAUGGAGUUGAGCACCAUGUUUAAGUAGAGAUUACAGCGAGGAGAAGAGGUGUUACACCGCUGCAUAGAGGGGGAGAAAGUUGGUGUUGACGGUAGCAAGAUUGUUGAUGAAGAUCGUCGUCACGAUCCUAGCCCCGGCGGCACUCCGGCGCCACCGGGAGAGAGGGGGAGAGAGCCCCCUCCUCCUUCUUCUUCCUUGGCCUCCCCCCUAGAUGGGAGGAGGGUUCCCCCUCUGGUCCAUGGUCUCCAUGGUGGCGGAGGGGCGGGAGCCCCUCCGAGAUUGGAUCCCCUCUCUGUUCUCUUCUGUUUCGCGCUCCCCAGAUCUGGCCGAAAACCGUUUCUAAUAUUCCCGGAGAUCCGUAACUCCGAUUGUGCUGAGAUUUUUACACGAUUUUUUUCUGGAUAUAAGCUUCCUUGCAUCCGAAGUAGAGGUCCAACCAACGUACGAGGUGGGCACAACCCACCACCGCGCGGGUGUGCAUCUAAUCCUAUAAUGAAAAAUUCCCCCUAGUAUAUGAAAGUGACAACAUAGGAGACUCUCCAUAUGAAAAACAUGGUGCUACUUUGAAGCACAAGUGUGGUAAAGGAUACUAACAAUGCCCCUUCUCUCUUUGUUUAUCUAUAUUUUUUCUUUUUCUUUCUUUUUUCUUUUUAAUUUUUUUUUCUCUCAUUGUCCGGAGCCUCAUCCCGAUUUGCGGGGGAAUCACAGUCUCCAUCAUCCUUUCCUCACUGAGGCACUGCUCUAAAAAUGAAUAAUGAUGAUCAUCACACUUCUAUUUACUUAUAACUCAAAAGAAAUAAAAAUUACAACUUGAUACCUAUGACAAAGUAUGACUCUAUAUGAAUGCCUCUGGCAAUGAUCUAGCGUAACAUAUAUGAAAAAUGAUGAACGGUGGCUGAGCCACAACUACUAUGUCAGCUAUAUGAUCAUGCAAAGCAAUAUGACAAUGAAUGCUCAAGUUAUCAAACGGAAGCGGUGGAAGUUGCAUGGCAAUAUAUCUCGAAAUGGCCAUGGAAAAGCCAUAAUAGGUAGGUAUGGUGGCUGUUUUGAGGAAGAUAUAAUAAGGCUUAUGUGUGAUAGAGCAUAUCAUAUCAUGGGGUUUGGAUGCACCUGCGAAGUUUGCACCACGUCUCGAUGUGAGAAAGGGCAAUGCACGGUACCGUAGAGGCUAGAAAAUUGCGGAAAGGUAAGAGUGCGUAUAAUCCAUGGACUCACAUUAGUCAUAAAGAACUCAUAUACUUAUUGCAAAAGUUUAUUAGCCCUCGAAGCAAAGUACUACUACGCGUGCCCCUAGGGGGAUAGAUUGGUAGGAAAAGACCAUCGCUCGUCCCCGACCGCCACUCAUAAGGAGGAUAAUCAAUAAUAAAUCAUGCGCCAACAUCAUAGCAUAACGAGAGACUAUACAUGCAUGCUUCGGGAAUCACAAACCUUAACACCAAUAUUCCUACUAACCACAAUUGUUUACUAGUACCUCCCACAUAUUCCAUCUCUAUAUCGCAAAACUAUUGCAAGGAAUCAAGCAUAUCAUAUUCAGUGAUCCAAAAGUUUUAUGUAGGAUUUUAUGACUAACCAUGCAAUUGACCAAAUCCUUUUGGCUCUCUAAAUAGAUAUAAGUGAAGCAUGAGAGUUUAAUCCUUUCUAUAAAAGAUCACGCUCUAACAAAUAUAAGUGAAGCAAAAGAGCAUUCUUCAAACAACGGUUUUCUAUGUGAAGAGAAACAGGCAAUCCAAACUUCAAAUGAUAUAAAUGAAGCACAUUGAAGCAUUCUAAAAAGCCACACUGAAAAGAUAUAAGUGAAGUGCAAUGAGCAUUCUAUAAAUCAACCAUGGACUAUCUCAUACCAGCAUGGUGCAUAAAACAAAAAUGAAAACUAAAAGCAAAAGACACUCCAAGAUUUGCACAUAUCACAUGAACGAAACGAAACCGAAAACAUACCGAUACUUGUUGAAGAAAGAUGGGAUGCCUUCCAAGGCAUCCCCAAGCUUAGACGCUUGAGUAUCCUUGAAUAUUUACUUGGGGUGCCUUCGGCAUCCCCAAGCUUGAGCUCUUGCCUCUCCUCCUUCUCCUCACAUCGAGACCUCCUCGAUCUUUGAUCACUUCAUCCACACAAAACUCAACAGAAAGUUAGGUAAGAUCCGUUAGUAUAAUAAAGCAAAUCACUACUCUAAGUAUUGUUGCAAACCAAUUUAUACUUUGUUUUUUCAUUGUAGAUAAUGUAAUAUAACUUUUUCAUGGCUUAAUCCACUGAUAGAAAUCGAUAGUUUCAUCAAAACAAGCAAAACAAUGCAUUAAAAACAGAAUCUGUCUUAAACAGGACAGUCUGUAGUAAUCUGAACAUUCACCAUACCUCUGGUACUCCAAAAAUUCUGAAACAAUUAGGAAAAAUAAACAAUUUGUAUAGAAAGACAGUGCAAAAGUUUCAGAACCGUUUGACGUUCCAGUAAAAAAUGUAAAAUCGCGCACUACAGCCAAAGUUUCUGUUUUGCACCGCACAAACCAACAAGCAAUGUAAACAUCCUAAAGGCAAAUCUUGACACAUUAGUUUUAUAUAAUGGAAUUAUACAAGGGGAUAAUUACUUUUGUUGAAAAGUUUCUGUAAUUAAGAUUCACAAAGUUUCCGUGAGCAUGAACAAAGUUCAAGGACGUCCCCCACUUUUACAAUGCUCGUCUAUCUCACUUUCACUUUUCUUUUUGUGAAGUUUUAAGUUCCCCUAUAUAUUUUUUUGUUUUUAAACUAUGGAAAAGCACUCAACAGAAAUAAAUGACUCUCUAAAACUUCCGGGUUGUCUCCCUGGCAGCGCUUUCUUUAAAUCCAUUAAGCUAGGCAUAAAGUGCUCAAGUAAUGAAUCCGCCCGGAUCCCAAGGUAUAUCAAAGCCAAUUUGAAUUAACAAUGAUUUGUCAUUUAGUAGUGAGCACAAAGCAACAUAUAUCAAGCAAUGACGAAGUCUAACUCUCUUCCUAUGCAUCGGCAUGUCAUACAAGAACAACUCAUGCACAUCAAGUGAAGGCCAAUACAUAGCGUAAGCAGUUUCUUGCAAUUUUUAUCGUGUUGGAAACAUAGAGAGGUGGAGAUAUAGUUCCUCUCUCAUAAUAAUUGCAAGUAGGAGCAGCAAGCACAUGCAUAUUAUAUUCAUCAAAAUCAUCAUGUGCAACGGUAAAAGGAAACCCAUCAAUAUAAUCCUUAACAAGAGCAAACUUCUCUGAUAUAGUGUAGUUUGGAGAAUUCAAAAAGAUAAUAGGACUAUCAUGUGUGGGUGCAAUAGCAACAAUUUCAUUAUUAUUAUUUAAAAAACACCCCAUAUAUUAAUUAAGCCAAAGAAAAGUUCUUACAAUCACUCGUUACAGCAUACACCACGCAGGGUGGAACAGAAUUAAAAAGAAUCCCAUCGGACCUAGUACUAAAGCUAAACUUAGCAAUCUCAUGUGCCACCCCAUUGGCAGUCCGACUUAUCUUUGCAAUAUUAAAAUUUUGGAUCAUCCUAGAUAUACUCAGAGCCUCAUCCAUCGGAUCAGCCAGAGGGGACCUGUCAAGCUUCUCAUUUGCAAGAAACAAAUGUACGAAAGCACAGUCAGUCUAUAAAAUAAUAGAUUGGUGAAGGGUGAUACCUAUAUAAAGUCCUGCGAGGCAGGCGCGGAGCUCAGCUUCAUUCACGCUGGUACACCGAUCAAUAAAGUCCCACAAAGAAACAAUAAUAUCUCCAGAUGAAUUACGAGCUACGACCCCCACAUUGGAAGCAUUAGUACUCUCCACAAAACCGGCGUCAACAUUGAUCUUGAUAUGAUGAUUAGGGGGAGGAGUCCACACCACAUGAUCUUUUAACAGUGCGUAAUCCGCUACAACUCCGCUCACCUUCUCCUUACCUUUGUUGCUAGCGUCCAAUUGAGCGGUGUCAUGACUAGACGUAAAAGUGGUCCAAAAUUGUCCACAAAAUGUGCAGAGGCAUUAACGGAUUAUUUCCCCUUCCCAAAAAGUUAAAUCAUUUCUCAAAUGCCAUGCUCGCCAGAAAAGAAACAGAAUUUGCUCCCUCUGCCGCAAACCCAAUUGCGCCAGCAAAAUCAAUAACCAAUCUGGUCCAGUGCACUUGAAGAAUUCUUCAUCCGGAAUAUUCCACCGUUCUCUCACGGCCAUUCGAAGAGCACGAGCUUUUGAACAACUCACCAGAGCAUGAAAGAUGUCUUCAUCUUGAACCCCACAAAUAGAACAUAUACAUGAAUCAGUCUGAUGGUGCUUAACUCUAUUCAUCUGGACCGCCAAGCUAUUGGUAGCAGCUCGCCAUGCAAAAAUCUUGAUUUUCUGGGGUAUAUUAGCCUUCCAUAUUAUCUCCCAAAUCCCUCUUUCCCCCUCUGGUUCGCCACUAGAUUGGCCAACAGGAUCCUGGCUAUCCUUCAAAUAAAGCGCAAAAUUGUACGCACUUUUAACAGAAAAUAUACCAUCCUUCUCAUGGCGCCACACAAAAAAAUCCCCAUCCCUAGAGGCCUGAAUACGAAUCUUAAGAAUUUCCUCCGCAUCAUGUGGAUAGAAUAGAUACUUGAUCAAAUUUUCAUCCCAACACUUACGGCCGCUCAUGAAUAAAUCAGAUACCAAUUUCAACCUGGUAUUGUGCCUUCUAGCUGAGAUUUUUAGGCCAUGCCUCCUAGGUAUUCAAUUAUCCCUCCAUAUAUUAAUACUAGAUCCAUCACAUACCCGCCAAAUGAUCCCCUUCUUAAGAAGUUCCAGACCUUGUGUAAUACCAUGCCAAGUCACUAAACUAGCAUGCGGAAACACCGUAUCAAGAAUAUGUCCCUGAGAGUAAUAGUUUGACUUCAUCAACUUCGCACAUAGCGAAUCCGGGUAAACCAACAACCGCCAUGCCUGUUUGGCCAAAAGAGCUUGAUUAAAAAGCCUGAGAUCACGGAAACCCAUCCCACCCUUACCUUUUGGUCUUGUUAGUUUGUCCCACGCCAACCAAUGAGUUUUUCUUCUUUCUUCUUCAUCUCCCCGCCAAAAGUUCCUUACAAUCUGGGAUAACUCCUCACAAAGGGAAGCCGGAAAUUUGAAAAUCCCCAUAGCAUACACAGGUAGAGCCUGAAUUACUGCUUUGAUUAAAUCUUCCUUGACUCCACAAGAAGCAUAUUUUUCAAUCCAGUCAGAAAGCCUUUUCAAAAACUUAUCUUUAGUAUACUGAAACAUACCAGCCUUCAUUCUACCCUCUGGGACUGGUAAUCCAAGAUAUUUAUCCUCGAACCCCUCCACAGUAAUUUUUAAGAUAACCAUAAUAGUCACUUGUUUCUCCAAGCUGCAUUUUUUCCCAAACAUUAUGGAACAUUUAUCAGGGCUUAACAUCUGUCCAGUUCCCUUCUCAUACACCGUCAAAAUAUUUUUAGUUGCUAAAGCUUGAUCAAAAGAACCCUUAAAAAAUAGUAGACUAUCAUCUGCAAAUACAAGUGAGAAAUACCAGGCGCUCGUCUAGUCAGUCUGAAUUCCUGGAGAACUCCCCUGGCACAUGCGUCAUUAAGCAACAAAGAAAGCGCCUGGGCCACAAAUAAGAACAAAUAGGGAGAUAAAGGAUCUCCCUGCCUGAGCCCCUGAGAAGGUGAGAACGACUGCAGCAAAUGACCAUUAAAGCGCACCGCAAAUUUCACCGAAGUAACACAUGUCAUAACACAUUUAAUCCAUUGCGGCGCAAAACCCAACGCACCCAUCAUACUUUGCAAAAAUUGCCAAUCCACACGGUCAUAGGCUUUGGCUAGGUCCAACUUAUAAGCACAAUAUUCCCCUCUUAAAUCUUUAAGUGUACUUAACGAAUGCAUACAUUCAAAGGCUAUAAGAGCAUUAUCAGAAAUUAACCUUCCCGGAAUAAAUGCACUUUGGGUAGGGGAAAUCAUACCAUCGAGGAGCGGUCGCAACCUGUUAACAAGACACUUGGAAAUAAUCUUGUAGAUAACAUUGCACAAACUGAUCGGCCUGGAAUCUUUGAUUGUUUGGGGAUUCUUGAUCUUCGGGAUGAGAACAAUAGUUGUAUUAUUAAUACCAUCAGGCAUAAUUCCAGAGAUAAAAAACUGUUGCACAGCCUUGACAAUAUCAUCUUUGAUUAGACCCCAAUUCCGCUGAAAAAACCUCAUAGGAAAGCCAUUUGGCCCUAGUGCUUUUAACGGUCCCAUUUGAAAAAAGGCAUCACUUAUUUCUUUUUCCGUAAAAGGUUUGCAUAAAUCAUCAUUCAUGUUAUCAGUCACACGGGGCUUGACUAAUGAGAUAAUGUGGGAUGGAUUGACCGAAGCAUCACAAGAAUAAAGUUGUUUAAAAAAUGAGUUUGUGAUACCUUUCAUUUCCUCCAGAUUUUCCGUGAGACAACCAUCAUCCUUCCUAAGAGCCGAAAUAGAAUAUUUUUUUUGCUCUCCAGGAAGCUUUUCGCUGAAAAUAUUUUGUAUUACGAUAUCCCCCUUUAAUCUUGUCCAGACGAGAUCUCUGCUUCCACAAUAUUUCUUCCCUGAUAAGAAGUUCAUCCAUCUCCCCUAGAAUUUUCUUUCUUUCCAACACAGCAGAAUGAUUAGUCCUAUUUAACAAAAUGUCUAGUCUCUUACGAGCCCAGUCAAGUUUCUUAGGCAGAUACCCAAUAUGCACCCGACUCCAUCCAUGAAGAGAUUUCAUUAAUUUUUCUAAAUUAUUAGCAACAUCUUUCGGACCCUUUAUAUUUGAUCCUCUAUUCCAACAAUCAUUAAUCUGUUCAUCCAAAACACGACCUUCCCUCUCCCAGUAAGAUUCAUAUUUCAACUCUCUAGCAAACCUCCCCUCCCGAGCAUUACCCAUCAACUCAAUUAAAAUGGGGCAAUGAUCAAAUUUGGAGCUAAUAAUAUGGGAGACCUUACAUUGAGGGAAAAUAGAAGACCAAAGAGGGCAUGCCACUGCACACUCAAGACGUACCUUAACAUUCUUGUUGCCCUCUUGCAUAUCUAUAAUACCUAAAUAGUUCAUCCCCACUAUCAUAUUUCUCUUGACAUGCAACCUAUCCACCUCAUCACACAUGCCCCACAUGCCACCUCAACAAAUCUGCAUAUAUCUCAACACUUUUUUCUCGUCCCUUGGCCACCGAAGUUAAUGCAAUCGCUUUCUCUUCCGUCUCCCGUAAGCGAAUUACUGCUCUUCCACACGGUUACUCCCGAAUCACAAAAUCCCAUCACAUCUGCCCCUUCCUUAUCCCGUCUUCACUGCAUCUUCAAGGAUCCCUCCAUCUCUCCUUAUCGCGUCGUCGGCUGCCUCGUGGCACACCGCGCCUCCGCCCUUACCUGUUCCUGCUGGGACUCUCCACACGUACGUGGUCGCCCCUGUCGUCCUCAACCUCCAAUAUGGCGUUCAUUGUUCGCCUCUCGCGAUGGACUCUCUGCUAGGGCGGCAUCUUGCAGUCUGACUGCAAGCACUACCAACUCUGUAUCCUUUUUUUUGGGAAAACUUCUCUCUAUCUAGGGCUGAUGUCCAGUAUGAUUCAUUGUCGAUUGCCAAGGUACUCAUCUUUCUAUUCCAGCGAUCAUUCCCAGGGCUCUUCUCCAUGUAAGGGCAUCAAUUGAUUCAGAUAGAACCUAACCAAUUUUGUUUGGAUUUUAUUUUGGUGGAUUUUGCAGCGCAUGAGGCUGCUGAUGACAAGCGGAUGAGAUAUUUUAGGGGAAACACCUAGAUACAAACCAGUGGAUAGGUUAGUGUCUUAUUGGAAUUGCUGUUUUUCUGUUGAUUUAACAUGCACAUAUGCUUGGGUAUGGUACUGCUAUCGCUCAAAAUAUGGAGAGCAACCCAUGAUUCGGGUUAUGUUAUUCAUGAACGUUUUUAUUUACCGGGUUAUACCAGCUAUGGUGCCCUUGAUACGCAUAUAUCCAACCAGAUGGGCAAUGUUUGGUUUUUUGCACGAUAAGUACCUCUUUUGUCUCUGGUUAUUUACAAUCUAUAUCCUAGCAUUAACAUAUACAGUUUCUAGAUUAUAUUGUUCUAAUCUGUUGUCUCCUAUCUUGCAUCCUGAUCUGACACUUCAUAUUGCAGUCCAAUGGAUGUGAAUAAUGAUAUAUCUCCUCAAGGAUUAAGCAGGCAAUAUUUCUAUCCUAUUGUUGCUCAUUUCCGUGUUUCUUUUGCGGGGCUCAUUUAUGCGUUUAGGUGUUUGUUGGAUUAGGAAAAAGUUCUGUUAAUUUUUUUCAAGAUGCAGUUUGCAGAAAUUUAUGCAAAGAAAGGCAACGUUCGGCUUAAAGAAAUAUUUACACCUCAAACUUCUUUAUGAUUUGAGUUAAACAACAUUUGGAAGUCCAACUAUGAUAAACAUAUUCUUGAACCAAGCGCUAGAAAAUGUGACCAGCAGAAGUUAAAGAGAGACACUCGGUAUCUUGCUUUACUGAGUCGGGUGGGAUUUCUCUUUAACUAUUGAAGAUCAAUGCUUCCAUGAUUUCUAACCAAGCGAUUCAAGAAACUCUAGAAACAGCAAUUAUUUGAGCAUACUAGGGCAAUUAGAUAUCUCAGUGCUAGAGAAGAAUUUAAUUAUGUGCUUGCAUUUCAACAAAUCGUAUAGAAGAUGUCUAUUAUGUUUAUUUUGUUUGUCAUCUACCAUUGCUUUUUUAUAGUAAACUUGGAGUCAUUUAAAUUUAUACAACAUGCAUGUUUGAUUAAGCAAUUUCAUCAAGAUGUCAACUUCUGUGUUGUCACAUAUAAACCUUCAAUUUGCCCUUGGCCAGCAUGUUACUCAACAUCUUCUAUUUUCUGUUGAAGCAGGGAGUGGAAUAUACAACGACACAUAUUUGGCUUAGCUGCAAUAAUUUAAAUUUAUACAUCAUGCAUAUCUGAUUGAGCAAUUUCAUCAAGAUGUCAACUUCUGUUUUCGCACUGGCAAACCUUCAAUUUGCCCUCGGCAAGCACGUUACUCAACAUCUUCUAUUUUUUGUGAAGAAGGGAGUGGAAUAUAUAACAACACAUAUUUGGCCUAGGUUAACUUGGUCUCAGAAUCGAUAAAUAAAGUCAUAAACCAGUGUCUUCUCUAUAGCCUCAACCCUCUAGAGGCCUAAAAAUAUAUUGUCUCCAGUGCACGCGGAUGUUUGCUGGCUAAUGAUCCCAUAGUGAUUAUAUUGAAGUGUUGGCCAUUGUUAUCUCUUAUGACGAAUUGUAGUCUGAAAAAAAUACUAUGGGGUAAGCUAUUUACUCACAAAUCACUUUGGAACAUUUUCAGUUGUCAUCUCCCAUCUUCUACUACUACUCUUAGACGUCAUUCAAAAAUCUGAUCCGUUUAAUAUCACUUAACUUAUUUAUACGUGUUACUAUGGACAUAUGCUUUUGUAGAAAAGCUCAAAAGACAUAAUUUGUUUCGUACGAUUGUAAGUUCAUAAUUUUCAAACCUUUUCACUUGCGGCAUGUGAAAUCCUUGACUCCCACAACCGUGAUAUGUUUGUAUUUCCUUUUGCCAGUAUUGCUACAUAGUCAUUUCAAUCAUUUGGUGUAUUUCCAUUCCCUUUUAUUUAACUGUCAUUCUACUAAAACAACAAACUAUUACUACUAUUGGAUAUUUACACUGCAUAGAUUUAUUUAUCAAGUUACUUCAACUUCAUGUGCCAAUUUUUUCCGCAGCAACGCGCGGGGUAUCUUCUAGUUAUUACAUGUCCACGGAGCACCUUGAAAGCCCAAAUCAAAUAAAUUGCACUCCGACAGAACUUCACGAAAGUUAGCCAUGAGUCUAGGAGAUCUCUUAUGUCGAGAGAAAUGUUCAUUUUGCCACAUAGCUUCGUUAAAAUCCCCCACCAUAAACCAAGGUCCAACACCAAGAGGUUUAAUCCGCCUCAAAAGAUCCCACAUAACAUACCUCUGGCUCGCCUUAGGCUCUCCAUAAAUAAAUGUGCACCUGCACUUUGUACCAUCACCCUUGUUGACGUACAUGUCCAUAAAAUGUUCACCAUAUUUGUUUAGCUCACAAGAAUAUGCUCCAUCCCAAAACACGACUAGACCUCCACCUUUACCAUGGCCAGAAACAGUAAACACAUUAUUCAUACCCAACCGGUACCGCAAAAGCUCAACAUACUCUUUAUUUUUCUAGUUUCCGAAAGAAAGAUAACAUUGGGACGGUGCGUCUUAGUCAGACACACAAGCUCCUGAACCGUACGAGGUUGUCCCAGCCCUCGACAGUUCCAACUGAGGAUUUUCAUGGCUCCUGACGGGCGUCAUCAAACGCGCCCGUCAGUUGACCGGCAGCUCCAGGGCCGGUUGCUUCCUUAGGAGUGCCACCUUCCUCCUUUUCCUCUCCUCCUCUCCUGAAGAUCUUCCUCUCCCCCAUCUAUCUCUUUAGUUACAUGAACCAUAGCCCCAUCGACACCUACUACAGCCUCAACCCUCUCACCACACACUCUUUUACAAGUUACAGAGAUGUCAUUUUCACUCUUAUAUUCUAAACUCUCAGAGUUAUUGCUAUUCAUAGUAAAAACUAAGCCUUGAUCUUCAGAACGACGCCUCUUACUUCCCGCCGUGCUCUCUAGGAUGGCAGCAUAGGCGACCUUACGACUAGAUAACUCGCUGCCACUAUUUGGGGGAGUGGGAACCCCAAACUUGACAUGCUUGGCACACACACCAUGAACUGCAGCACGCUCCACUUGCUCCUCUCUGUACAUUCUUUUCCAACGACCCCAUUUUGAUUCAGCUCCAUUUUCGUCAAAGUCCAGCCGGGAAGCACUCCUGGCCAAACCAGCAAGGACGCUUGUUGAGCCACCAUCAGCCGGCAACACCUUUGCCGCAACCAGAGUUAGAGCACCCUGGUCAGCCUCCUUUGCCGCAGUGUACCUGGCGCCAUCAGCCGCACCAAGCAUCACCGACUUGUUCUGGUUUACAUCACCUGCAACAUGUUUGUGAGCCAACAUAGCAGCAGCAGAGCAAGUCUCAGUGUCAGUAGCAUCUUUGGCCAAGUGUUGCCCGCAUGCAUCAGCUAAAGCAUCUGGUUGCAUGUACCCAGAUACACUUCCACCCAGCAGCACAACUGGACGGUCUUCCGACUGCGUCCCAGCAAAAGAGGAUCAGCCAGCUGUCAUACUGGGAUCAGUCAGCGUGAGCCGCCCCACCUGGGCGGCCCCGACCCCAGUACACGCUCGUCCUCUUGACCAGCUUGAGGGGAUACGUCCAUGCUCCUGGCUUCUUGACCGCCUGUCGCCGGAGCCAGCAAGGGCGAGGCCGCCACCGACAGCUUCUGUACCGCCGUAGCCACGGCAGUGACUACCUUUUCCGGCAGCUUGACCAGCUCCGGAUUGUCGUUGUCCUGAAGAUCCCAGUCGUCCCAGCGACCUCCCAAGCUGAGGUGCCGCCGACCAGGGUCGCCCGAAGCUUGCAUGGUGCUCUAGAAAGCCGGCGCCUUGAUGUCGUUGGAGAACUCAGGCUUUCAAAGUUCCUUAGGGAUGGUACAAAAUCUGGCAGUGGUAUGCCCCAACAACCCACAACAAAAGCAAAAUUUUGGCAAUUUUUCAUACUUAACAUCAUAUAGGAUCUCUACUGUACUGUCGAUCGGGGUCGUGUCGAUGGUCUUCCUCAGGGGCUCAUCAACGAGAUGCUCGACCGAGACACGGAUAUGCUCAUCGACGAUCUUCUUGUUUCGGUGGGCCACCGCGAGGACCUUUCCGAGCUUGCCGCCCAGGAUGUAGCCCAUCUCCACCGUCUUGAUCGGUACUGGAAGGCCCCAGAUUUGUGCCCAUAGCUUGAUGGAGUCGAGGUGCACAUCGGCCGGAUUGCCAUCUUCGCCGAAAGCCGCUAGGAUCACAGCAUCAUUUCUAAAAUGCCAUGGCCCAGCGUGCAGAACGUGAUGUCGAUCCCCGCCCUCCGCGAAGGUGAUGAUGAAACAGCGGUCGUCGCUCAUGACGCGUUGUGCCACGACCUCUCCUCGGAGCCGCCAUGGCCCCCGAAGCUCGUUGACGACCGCCUUGGGGUCGACCGGGUACGGCGAGAGAACCCGGGCGACCACCAGCUUGCCCGCCACCGCACGCAGCACCGCUUCCAUGUCGAUGACGAUCGGCUUGUCGUCCAUCCUCGAGAACAUGACUGCUUUGCUCUUUCCGCUCCUCCUGAGCGGGGGAGGCGCCGCCGCCGCCGCAGUGAACUCAAAGGCGGCAUUCGACAUGGCGGUCAGAGCCAAGCCCGACGGCCCGCCCACCGUAGCUUUCCCCUUCUCCAUCAGAGGAGUUCCUGGGGCGGCCUCGAUGAUUGUCGAAGAAGGCAGCUCCUCUCCCCUUGCCUCACAGACCUCGGAACCGUCCGAAGAGACAUCACCAACGAUCGAGGGGGGAGCAGUAGUGCUUAUAGUUGGCAUGGAAGGAGCCGCCGCUCCCUCCGGACCGCUGCCCGUCUCAGUGCUCGACGCCAUCUUCCCCUGACACAGAGAAACAGAGCAAACAGGAGGCACCGAAGACACUAGCAGUAACUGAGAAAAUUGAUAUUGCCUCCGCUGAUUCCCACCCUUCAAAUAAUCCUCUCCUCCCCCAAAUUUCGCCCCAGAAUCACCGAAAUUAAAACUCAAAUCAAACUGAAAUUGAGACUCCUCCCUACACGGAUUCACCAGAUAAUCAAUUUUAUGCGAAACUGCCAAAUUAUCUCCUUUACUCGCCGAAUCAGUAACUGUUUUGGCGGAAUUUGGGGUCGGGAACGUUGGACCCAUCGUUGCUCCCUUCUUCUCCUUCAAAUCCCCCUUGAAAUCAUCCUUGCCCAACUCCGAAUUGAUGAACUGAUCUACUUUGACCCGCAUCUACCUCAAGCACCUCUUUGGAUCUCACGCACGUCGCAGGAUUUCCAUCCCCCCGCCGUCGUAAGGUGCUCCACUCCUCGCCGGAGUAGCCACCCACCUUCCACCGAUCCUCCCGCUGGGGCAAGCCCAGCGCCAGGUCCGGCACCAUCGCCGCCAUGGGCGGCACCAGCGAGUCACCUAGGCUGUCGCCAGAGCGAGGGCGUUACUUUUCAGAGCGAGGGCGUUACCUUUCAGUGCAACAAUUUCAUUCUUAACAUAAGGAACUAUAGCAAGUUCAUCUCCAUAAACAUAAUUCACAUUGGCAUCUUGGCCACAAGCAUAGUAAGCAUCAAGUUCAUCAAAAAGGGAUAUCUCAAAAGAAUCAACGGGGUCAUAGAAGUUAGCAUAGCAUUCAUCCUACGGUAAGAAUGAAGGAACAUUAAACAAUGUAUGAGUUGGAGGGUUACUCUCAUUAGAAGGCGGGCACGGGUGAUCAAUCCGGUCUUCCUUCGCUUGUUCUUCGCUCUCCUCAUCAUCUUUUUCAUCCAAUGAGCUCACGGUUUCAUCAAUUCCUUCUUCCAUAGACUCCUCCAAAAUAUUAGUCUCUUCUUGCACAGCGGAGACUUUCUCAAUAAAUGCAUCAAUAUCGGAAUUGUAUUUAUAAUUAUCAUAGCAAUAUUUAAGGAUAGCAAAAUUUCCAGGUCUAUAAACUGAAUCAUCAAAAUCUUCAAACUUUUCAAACAAAGAUUCAAUUUCAUAAGCACCCUUAAAAGCAACAAAUUCUUCUAUUCGUUCCACAUCAUAGUAAUCAUAUAUACCAUUAGCAUAAGAAGACACGGUUUCAUUAUCAUUAAAUUCACAUGAAAAAGGAAGAUGUGGAGCAUUCAUCCUAGAGCAACAAGUAUAAUCAUAUCUCUGGCAUAAAUCCCAAGCAUACCAUUGCAACAUUUCAAUUUGAUCCCAUAAAAGUUUUCCCUUUUGAGUCAAGCUAUAAUUCCUAAAGUAUUCACGUUGAUCCAACGUUACUCCCAUUAUCAAGUUGAAUGGGGUUUUCUUAGGAUUAUCAAAGUAGUGCAUAAUAUUUUUCACAUAACGAGCAUCGAGGGUUUUAGGAGGUUCCCCAUCUCCAUGAGUAGCAAGUAUCACUAAUUUUUUUGGUGUUUCGUGUUCCAUAUCCAUAACUAAAGAUAGAGAACAACUUAGAACAAGAGAUAAAAACUACUUAGUGAUAAAGCAAACAAGCACACACGAGAAUAUUCACCCCACGCUAUUGCUCCCCGACAACGGCGCCAGAAAAAGGUCUUGAUAACCCACAAGUAUAGGGGAUCAAUUGUAGCCUCUUUCGAUAAGUAAAAGUGUCGAACCCAACGAGGAGCUAAAGGUAGAACAAAUAUUCCGUCAAGUUCUAUCGACCACCGAUACAACUCUACGCACGUUUGACGUUUGCUUUACCGAAACAAGUAUGAAACUAUUUUGCAAGGAUAAAACUAUGAGUACUUUGCGAGAAUAAAACUACGUAUAAAUUGCAAGAUAAUAAAAGAGGAUAGCUUUUGCCAAUAAGAAAGUCGUUUGUCCAUAGGCAAUCGAUAACAAGUACCGGUAAUCAUUCUUGUAAUUUUAUAUGAGGGAGAGGCAUGAGCUAACAUACUUUCUCUACUUGGAUCAUAUGCACUUAUGAUUGGAACUCUAGCAAGCAUCCACAACUACUAAAGAUCAUUAAGGUCGUGAAAUCCAACCAUAGCAUUAAGUAUCAAGUCCUCUUUACUCCCAUACACAAUAACCCACCUAUCCGCGUUUAAGUUUCUGUCACUCUCGCAACACUGACAAUAAGCAAAUCAUGAACAUAUUGCAACACCCUAUAGCGGGGGGGGGGGGCUCACGUUUGCACGAGACGGAGGGCACCGUAGGACAGCACUGAUACGUCUCCAACGUAUCUAUAAUUUUUUAUUGUUCCAUGCUAUUAUAUUAUCUAUUUUGGAUGUUUAAUGGGCUUUAAUAUGCUCUUUUAUAUUAUUAUUGGGACUAACCUAUUAACCGGAGGCCCAGUGCUAGUUGUUGUUUUUUUCCUAUUUCAGUGUUUCGCAGAAAAGAAAUAUCAAACAGAAUCCAAACAGAACGAAACCUUCGCGAGGAUCUUUCUUGGAACAAACGCAAUCCAGGAGACUUGGAGUGGAAGCCAGAGACGCAACGAGGCGGCCACGAGGCAGGAGGGCGCGCCCCCCACCCUCGUGGGCCCCUCGUAGCUCCACCGACCUACUUCUUUCGCCUAUAUAUACUCUUAUACCUUGAAAACAUCCAGGGGAGCCACGAAACCACUUUUCCACCGCCGCAACCUUCUGUACCCGUGAGAUCCCAUCUUGGGGCCUUUUCCGGUGAUCUGCCGGAGGGGGAUUCGAUCACGGAGGGCUUCUACAUCAACACCAUAGCCUCUCUGAUGAUGUGUGAGUAGUUUACCACAGACCUUCGGGUCCAUAGUUAUUAGCUAGAUGGCUUCUUCUCUCUCUUUGGUUCUCAAUACAAAGUUCUCCUCGAUGUUCUUGGAGAUCUAUUCGAUGUAAUACUUUUUGCAGUGUGUUUGUCGAGAUCCGAUGAAUUGUGGGUUUAUGAUCAAGAUUAUCUAUGAACAAUAUUUGAUUCUUCUCUGAAUUCUUAUAUGCAUGAUUUGAUAUCUUUGCAAGUCUCUUCGAAUUAUCGGUUUAGUUUGGCCUACUAGAUUGAUCUUUCUUGCAAUGGAAUAAGUGCUUAGCUUUGGUUUCAAUCUUGCGGUGUCCUUUCCCAGUGACAGCAGGGGCAGCAAGGCACAUAUUGUAUUGUUGCCAUCGAGGAUAAAAAGAUGGGGUUUAUAUCAUAUUGCUUGAGUUUAUCCCUCUAGAUCAUGUCAUCUUGCCUAAUGUGUUACUCUGUUCUUAUGAACUUAAUACUCUAGAUGCAUGUUGGAUAGCGGUCGAUGUGUGGAGUAAUAGUAGUAGAUGCAGAAUCGUUUCGGUCUACUUGACACGGACGUGAUGCCUAUGUUCAUGAUCAUGCCUAGAUAUUCUCAUAACUAUGCGCUUUUCUAUCAAUUGCUCGGCCGUAAUUUGUUCACCCACCGUAAUAUAUGCUAUCAUGAGAGAAGCCACUAGUGAAACCUAUGCCCCCCGGGUCUAUUUUACAUCAUAUUAGUUUAUCGUCAACUUGCCAAUUUCUAUCGUCGUUUAUUUUUGCAAUCUUUACUUUUCAAUCUAUACAACAAAAAUACCAAAAAUAUUUAUCUUAUUAUCUUUAUCAGAUCUCACUUUUGCAAGUGGCCGUGAAGGGAUUGACAACCCCUUUAUCGUGUUGGUUGCAAGGUUCUUGAUUGUUUGUGCAGGUACUAGGCGAUUUGUGUGUAGUCUCCUACUGGAUUGAUACCUUGGUUCUCAAAACCUGAGGGAAAUACUUACGCUACUUUGCUGCAUCACCCUUUCCUCUUCAAGGGAAAACCAACGCAUGCUCAAGAGGUAGCAAGCGCCAUAAAUAAAAUAUACAAUCAUACCAACCAAGAUCACAAUUAACCCAUAGGACAAAACGGAUCUACUCAAACAUCAUAGGAUAACCAUAGAUCAUUGGGAAAUAAUAUAUGGAGUUGAGCACCAUGUUAAGUAGAGAUUACAGCGAGGAGAAGAGGUGUUACACCGCUGCAUAGAGGGGGAGAAAGUUGGUGUUGACGGUAGCAAGAUUGUUGAUGAAGAUCGCCGUCACGAUCCUAGCCCCGACGGCACUCCGGCGCCACCGGGAGAGAGACGGGGAGAGAGCCCCCCUCCUUCUUCUUCUUCCUUGGCCUCCCCCCUAGAUGGGAGGAGGGUUGCCCCUCUGGUCCAUGGUCUCCAUGGUGGCGGAGGAGUGGGAGCCCCUCCGAGAUUGGAUCUCCCUCUCUAUUCUCUUCUGUUUCGCGCUCCCCAGAUCUGGGCGAAAACCGUUUCUUAUAUUCCCGGAGAUCCAUAACUCCGAUUGCGCUGAGAUUUUUACAUGAUUUUUUUGGAUAUAAGCUUCCUUGCGUCCGAAGUAGAGGUCCAACCGACGUACGAGGUGGGCACAACCCACCACCGNNNNNNNNNNNNNNNNNNNNNNNNNNNNNNNNNNNNNNNNNNNNNNNNNNNNNNNNNNNNNNNNNNNNNNNNNNNNNNNNNNNNNNNNNNNNNNNNNNNNNNNNNNNNNNNNNNNNNNNNNNNNNNNNNNNNNNNNNNNNNNNNNNNNNNNNNNNNNNNNNNNNNNNNNNNNNNNNNNNNNNNNNNNNNNNNNNNNNNNNNNNNNAAAAUCACAAAUAUUCCAAAAUAAUUCUCCGUGAAAUUUUAUUGCAUUUGUACUUCGUUUGAUAUGGAUACUCUGCGAUACAAAAAAUAUGCAGAAAACAGGAACUGGCACUGGGCACUGGAUCAAUAGGUUAGUCCAAUAGAUCAUAUAAAAAGUUGCCAAAAGUAUGUGAAAGUGGUAUAAUAUUGGCAUGAAAAAAUCAAAAAUUAUAGAUAUGACGGAGACGUAUCACUUGAUAUCUUCUAUAAUGGACUAACCGAUGCUUCUAGGGACUUCCAAGAUAGUUGUGCUGGUUGUGUUUUCAGGGAACAAACUGUUGGGCAAGCUGAAGAAUUAUUGAAUAACAUAUUGAAAAAUUAUGAUGAUUGGACUAUUCCUGAACCACCGGCUAAACCCACUCCGAAGAAGAGGGGUAUAUUAUAUCUCAGUCCUGAAGAUAUGCAAGAGGCAAAGAAAUCUAUGAAGGAAAAAGGUAUUAAAGCUGAAGGUGUUAAAAAUUUACCUCCUAAUGAAGAAAUACAUGGGCUGAAUACACCACCAAUGCCUAAGGUGGUACAGGUAAAUUCUCUUAUGAAGUUCAAUGAAAAGGAUAAUUCUCACAAUAUGCAUCCUAGCCAAUGCCUUUAUGAGUUUAAAAAUUAUAUUACAAAACAAGAUCACUUCAAUGCAAAUGUUAUGAAACAAUUGAAAUAUAAUUCUGAUAUGAUUACUCGCUUGAGUGACUUAUUAUUUACAAUAUCAAAUGAUGUUAGAGGUGUUGGAAAACGUGCUUCUAUGGUUCAAACUCAGUUAGAACAAGUUGCUAAAUCACAAAGAGAAUUGCUUGAUGAAAUGAAUCAUAAUAUGCAUGACUUUGUUGUUAGAGUUGCAACUAGAGGAGGUAAAAUGACUCAGGAACCACUUUAUCCUGAGGGACACCCAAAAAGAAUAGAACAAGAUUCACAAAGAUAUAACACUAGUGCACCUAGUCCUUCUAAAAAGAAAAAGAAGAAGAAAAAUGAUAGGACUUUGCACACUUCUAGUGAACCUGAAAUAGAAAAACCUCCUGAUAAUGAAAAUGAAACUUCUAUCUCUGAUGCUGAAACUCAAUCUAGUAAUGAACACUCACCAAGUGAUAAUGAAAAAUAUAACGAUGAGGUUCAUGAAGACACUCAACCAAAUGAAAAAGAACCAGAUAAUGAUGUUGAGAUAGAACCACCUGUUGAUCUUGAUAACCCACAACCUAAGAAUAAAAGAUAUGAUAAAAGAGACUUUGUGGCUAGGAAACACGGUAAAAAAAGAACUGUGGGUUCAAAAACCUAUGCCUUUUCCACCCAAGUCAACUAAAAAGAAAGAUGAUGAAGAAUUUGAAUGCUUUGCUCAGAUGCUGAGGCCAGUCUUUUUGCGUACUCGCUUGACUGAUAUCUUCACAAAUAAGGGAAAAAUACCGGAAGCUGAAAUAUCCACUAUGCUUGCUAAUUAUACUUUUAAAGAUGGAGUACCUAGAAAACUUGGAGAUCCGGGAAUACCAACUAUACCUUGCUCCAUCAAAAAGAACUAUGUGAAAACUGCUUUGUGUGAUUUAGGAGCUGGUGUUAGUGUUAUGCCUUUCUCUUUAUAUAAAAGACUUGACUUGAAUAAACUCACACCUGCUGAAAUAUUUUUGCAAAUGGCUGACAAAUCAACUGCCAUACCUAUCUAUAUCUGUGAGGAUGUGCCCAUUGUUGUUGCUAAUGUUACUAUUUUGACUGACUUUGUUAUACUUGAGAUGCCCGAGGACGACAACAUGUCGAUUAUCCUUGGUAGACCCUUCUUGAAUACUGCAGGGCCUGUUAUUGAUUGUAAUAAAAGCAAGGUCACUUUUCAUAUUAAUGGUAAUGAGCAUACGGUGCACUUUCCGAAGAAACAAUUCGAAGUGAAUGGUAUAAAUGUUAUUGAAAAAUAUCCGACAAUCACUAUUUGAAGUUUUCAAAUACCUCUAUCUACUGUCAAAAAGAAAUAUGAAAUGCUUAUUGUUGGGGACAUACAUAUCCCCAUUGAGGUAACUUAGUGAUUUACGAAAGUUCUUCGGUUUCAUGCUAAUUGAAAGUGGUUGUUAAUAAGACUUGAUCAACCAUAUUAGUGAAUCCUUUUUGAGCGGUAUGAAGUUGAUGAAUUUAGUAAGCACUACCUUCUGUCGUUACUUUUUAUUCUCUGUUUUUAUUAGUUAAAUAAAAUAAAAUGCAUGUUUUGUAUGUUUUCUGAAUUUCCCGUGCAAUAAAAAAAUGACCCAAAAAUAAAAGUUCUCAGAAUGCCCUGAAAAAUUGAACAUGAUUUGUUUUGAAUAUUUCUGAAUUUUUGGUGCAAAUAAUACCAGAGGGAGGUGCACACAACCCACCUGGGUGCGCCAGGACCCCCAGGCGCGCCCUGGUGGGUUGUGGUCCCCACGUGGGCCCCCUCACUUACCUCUUUAGCCCACAUCAUCAGUUACCUCCAGAAAAAAAAACUCCAUUGCUCUCUCUCUCCCGUGUUCUUGAGCUCAAACCCGCGGAUUUCGAUCUCUUUGCUCGAAGCUCUGUUUCUGAAACUGUUUCGGGGGAUUCUUGCUUCGUAUGUGACUCCACCAUUUGUCCAAUUAGUUUUUGUUUUAGUGGUUUACACUUUGAAUAAUUAGCUACUCUUGGUGCUGCUGUAGAUGUGCUUGCAUGUUGAAUUCUUAGUGUUCUAAGUAGUUUGAAUGCUUGCUAUGACCUCUAUCUAUCCCAAUGAGUAGUUGCUAUCAAUUUCAUAAAGUUUGGUUGACAAUUUUUUGUCACCCCAAAUUUUUUAUUUUUAGAAAAUUGUACGUGGACAUGAAUAUCUUCACGAAGUUUGGCUCUAAGAAGAACUCCAAGGGUGUUAUUGGGGAGUCUUCUGACAGUGAUCUCCACCCUCGAAGGUUGGCGGAGGUACGGCCGUGCGAAUGGCUGCACACCCCGUUCCUGGAAGAGGUUGGAAUCCUUCAGGAGUUCACGCAAUAUGUUGCUAAUGCCGGCCUCACCGACUUCAUCGCAGAUGAGUGUGACCAGCACCAAGUCCUCACAAACAUCUUUGUUCAAUGCUUUACUUUCUUGCCUAGAAAUAAUCCUCCUGAAGUGAGCUUUGAUUUAUAUGCUGAAAACCAUCAGAUACCACUUACUGAGUUUUGUGACAUAUGCAUGAUCCCUUCUGAUGGGAGCUUGGCUGAGCCUAGGCCGGCUGGGUUUGAGGACUUUUAUUGUACUUUGACUUUGGGAGAUGAGAGAGGCGUGUCAGCCACCACGGCUGUUAGCUUACACUUUCCUGAUGUACAUUAUUUUGCUUUAUUUGUUGCUAAGUGUCUGCUUGCUAGAAAGAAAGUAGGUGCGCUCAGCGCACCAGACUUUGCUGUUUUACGCCAGGCACUGGAGGGUGAUAACACUUAUAGCUUGGGAGCUAUUGUGGCUCAUCGCCUGCAUCUUAAUAAAUCCCAAGGGGAAAUACAUGGUGGGAUUUUUGCUACUCGUCUGGCGGCUCAGUUCAAUGUUGAGAUACGCCCUCAUGAUUACCCUCUGACCAAGGUUUACCUAGACCGUGCAGCCAUGGAACUGUUGGAAAUAUGCCCUAGAGGCAAUAAGAAAUUGGUUAUUAUUAUAUUUCUUUGUUCAUGAUAAUCGUUUAUUAUCCAUGCUAGAAUUGUAUUGAUAGGAAACUCAGAUACAUGUGUGGAUACAUAGACAACACCAUGUCCCUAGUAAGCCUCUAGUUGACUAGCUCGUUGAUCAAUAGAUGGUUACGGUUUCCUGACCAUGGACAUUGGAUGUCGUUGAUAACGAGAUCACAUCAUUAGGAGAAUGAUGUGAUUGACAAGACCCAAUCCUAAGCCUAGCACAAGAUCGUGUAGUUCGUUUGCUCAGAGCUUUUCUAAUGUCAAGUAUCAUUUCCUUAGACCAUGAGAUUGUGCAACUCCCGGAUACCGUAGGAAUGCUUUUGGUGUACCAAACGUCACAACGUAACUGGGUGGCUAUAAAGGUGCACUACAGGUAUCUCCGAAAGUGUCUGUUGGGUUGGCACGAAUCGAGACUGGGAUUUGUCACUCCGUGUAAACGGAGAGGUAUCUCUGGGCCCACUCGGUAGGACAUCAUCAUAAUGUGCACAAUGUGACCAAGGAGUUGAUCACGGGAUGAUGUGAGUUACGGAACGAGUAAAGAGACUUGCCGGUAACGAGAUUGAACAAGGUAUCGGGAUACCGACGAUCGAAUCUCGGGCAAGUAACAUACCGAUAGACAAAGGGAAUUGUAUACGGGAUUGAUUGAAUCCCCGACAUCGUGGUUCAUCCGAUGAGAUCAUCGUGGAACAUGUGGGAGCCAACAUGGGUAUCCAGAUCCCGCUGUUGGUUAUUGGCCGGAGAACGUCUCGGUCAUGUCUGCAUGGUUCCCGAACCCGUAGGGUCUACACACUUAAGGUUCGAUAACGCUAGGGUUAUAGGGAAUAGAUAUACGUGGUUACCGAAUGUUGUUCGGAGUCCCGGAUGAGAUCCCGGACGUCACGAGGAGUUCCGGAAUGGUCCGGAGGUAAAGAUUUAUAUAUGGGAAGUCCUGUUUUGGUCACCGGAAAAGUUUCGGGUGCUAUCGGUAAUGUACCGGGACCACCGGGAGGGUCCCGGGGGUCCACCAGGUGGGGCCACCAGCCCCAGAAGGCUGCGUGGGCCAAGUGUGGGAGGGGCCAGCUCCAGGUGGGCUGGUGCGCCCGCCACCAAGGCCCAAGGCGCAGGGAGAGUGGGAGGGGGCAAACCCUAGGUCCAGAUGGGCCUUAAGGCCCACCCUAGUGGUGCCCCCCUCUCUUUUCCCCUUGGCCGCACCCUAGAUGGGUUUUGGGGGCUGCCGCCACCCCUGGGGAGGGAACCCUAGAUGGGGGCGCAGCCCCUCCCCUUCCCCUAUAUAUACUUGAGGUAUUUGGGGCUGCAAACACACGAGAUGAUCUCUCUCUUGGCGCAGCCCUACCUCUCUCCCUCCUCCUCUCCCGCGGUGCUUGGCGAAGCCCUGCAGGAUUGCCACGCUCCUCCAUCACCACCACGCCGUCGUGCUGCUGCUGGACGGAGUCUUCCCCAACCUCUCCCUCUCUCCUUGCUAGAUCAAGGCGUGGGAGACGUCACCGGGCUGCACGUGUGUUGAACGCGGAGGCACCGUUCUUCGGUGCUUAGAUCGGAAUCAACCGCGAUCUGAAUCGCUACGAGUACGACUCCUUCAUCCACGUUCUUGCAACGCUUCCGCAUCGCGAUCUACAAGGGUAUGUAGAUGCACUCCCCUUCCCCUCGUUGCUAGAUUACUCCAUAGAUUGAUCUUGGUGUUGCGUAGAAAAUUUUGAAUUUCCGCUACGUUCCCCAACAGGAACACCAUCACUUUCUUGCACAUGAUCGUCCUGAUAUUGCCAUUCCUUAUAACCUGCUGUUUAGCGUUAAAACUCAUGAUGUUAUUCCAUUGCCUGCACCUGCUUUGUUUGAUUCUGCUGCCAGGGGCGGAUACCGGAUUAUGCCUGCAGACAUCAUCGCCUACCGGAACGCUCAGGCUACUGCGGAGGCAGCACAGGAGGAGCCUCAGAAGUGGGAUGAGUGGAUGUUUGCUCCUCAGCACCCCUACUACCCUCCAGGCUACUGAUUAAUUUCCAACUUAGGCCAAAAGCCUAAGCUUGGGGGAGUAUGUGUUUCUCACCGACAUUAUAUUCAUGCUCAUUCUUAUCAUUCUAUUUAUCGGUGCUCACACAUUUUCAUUGUAUCAUCCAUGCUUAGAUUUAUUUUCUUGCUUUCUUCUUGUGUGUUUGAAAACUUUAGAAAAACCAAAAAAAUUAGUUGUAGUAAUUUACUUUGUAUGCAUGCUUAGUAGUAGUAUUAAAAAGAAAACCCAAAAAGAUUUCCUUGUUCUUCUUUUGCUUGUUGGGAGCUUUCCCGUGUAAAUAUUUUUCUCGUUUUUGCUUUCUACUUGCUUGUUGAAGAAAACCAAAAAAUCCAAAAAAAAUCAGUGUGUUUCUCUGUAUUUCUUUUCUUUUUAUUCGAGUUGUACCAAGGAGAAGACCGCGAUGAAAAUGUUGAGUGGCUCUCACAUGAAUAACUGUUGAACUAAUAAGAGCACAUUUUACCUUGUCUUCUCUUGUUGAAUAAAAUGUUUGCAGAUUCCAGCUUAGUCCACGACACUCUUCCACUAUUAUUAUUUUCAUAUCAUUCGGUCGUGCAAGUGAAAGGCAAUAAUGACGAUAUUCGAUGAACUGGCCGUGGCAGAGAGAAACUGGUAUGAACUCGACUUGUUCUAUUUGUGUAAAUAUGUUUAACCUAGUAUCCAUGAUUCAGCCCAUUACGAUUAACCAUGUUUGCAAUGGCAAUUAGAGAUUAUAGUUUCUCAUGCCAUGCAUAAGUAGCUGGGAGUUGAUAAUGAUUUAGCUUGGAUAUCAACAUAGCGUUAAAAUGAGUGUGAUGUAGUAUGAUGAUAUGGUAUCCUCCUCUGAAUGUUCGAGUGGCUAGACUUGGCACAUGUUCAUACAUGUAGUUGAAUCAAAACCAACAUAGCCUCUUUGAUAUUUAUGUUCGUGGUGUCCAUAUCCUACUCAUGCUAGUGUCCAAUGUUACUUAUGCAUAAUGCAUGGUUAUGAUCGUUGUUGCUCUCUAGCUGGCCGCUUCUCAAUCUAAAUUGCUAGCCUUCGCCUGUACUAAGUGGGAAUUCUGCUUGUACAUCAAAAACCUUGAACCCAAAGUUAUUCCAGAUGAGUCCACCAUACCUACCUAUAUACGGUAUUACCCUGCCGUCCUAAGUAAAUUUGCAUGUGCCACCUCUAAAAACUUCAAAAAUUAUCCUUUUGUGUGCCUGGAUCGUUCAUGGAACGACAGGAGGUGGUCGGUAUCUUCCAUGCUAAGCGGGUUAUUCUCAGGUCGAGUGUUUAUUCACUCGCCAUCGCACGAGAAAAGGGUGGUAAUAGGGAUUCCCACUCCCGAACUCAAAAUGAAAAUAAUUAAACAAAACUCCCCCGAGAGUGUUGUUGGUAUGGACAGCACCCGUUGUUUCAGACAAGGUGUGGAAUGUGACUGUUGGUGGAGGGGGAGUAAACCUUUACUUUUAUCGCUUGGGAACCUCCACUAGCAUGCUUAGCAUGGAAGAUGUUGAAAACUGAUGGUCGUGAAGUGAAUAAGAAAGGUGCAUGUCUCAAAAUAAUCAUUUGUCUCUGUUUUAAAAAUUGAGCUGUGGCACCUCUACAAAUCUAUGCUUCCCUCUGCGAAGGGACUAUCUAUUUACUUUUAUGUUGUGUCACCACCUUCUGAAACAAGCGCCAGAAACUGAGUAGAGCAGAGUUGUCAUGAUUUAUGCAUUGUGUGUAGCUAAUGUUGGGUGCAUCAUGACUGGAUGUUUUCUACCAUGAAUUACAAUGUUUAGUCGCUGCUUGAACUUGGAGGUGCUCUGCAUUUAUGUUUUGCGGUCUCAUAAAGGGCUAGAGAGAUACCACUAUUGUCAUAUUAUAUCAUGGUUGUUUUGACAACGUGGUGCUAUAUGAGAUAUCUUAUUAUUGCUCACUAGUUGAUUAUGUCAUUGAUAUGAGUGAUUAUAAUCUUUAAGAGUUAUUGUCGACAUGGUUAGUUAUAAUGAUUGGCUGAAAACAUGGGUGCUGUUUAACCUUAUUUAUGCAAACAAGAGCAAAAGAGUUCGUAAAAGUUUUUCUUUCUCACUUUUAGUUUAUCAACUGAAUUGCUUGAGGACAAGCAAAGGUUUAAGCUUGGGGGAGUUGAUAUGUCUCCAACGUAUCUACUUUUUCUCACGCUUUUCCUCUUGUUUUGGACUCUAAUUUGCAUGAUUUGUAUGAAACUAACCCCGGACUGACGUUGUUUUCAGCAGAACUACCAUGGUGUUGUUUUUGUGCAGAAAUAAAAGUUCUCGGAAUGGAACGAAACUUUGCGAGGAUUUUUUAUAUUAAUAAUAAGAAUUUCUAGAGCCAAGACCUGCCGGAGAGGGGCACCUGGGUGGGCAAAACCUACCAGGGUGUGCCCCCCUCUUCUGGCGCGCCCAGGUGGAUUAUACCCACCUGGUGGCCCCACAGACGAUCCCCCUGAUACUAUAAAAUGGCAUACUUCUAGAAAAAAAUAAGGGAGAAAGAAUUAUCGUGAUCCACGAGACGGAGCCACCGCCAAGCCCUGUUCUUCCUCGAGAGGGCAGAUCUGGAGUCCGUUUGGGGCUCCGGAGAGGGGGAUCUUCGUUCUUCGUCAUCACCAACCCUUCUCCAUCGCCAAUUCCAUGAUGCACCCCACCGGGAGUGAGUAAUUCCUUCGUAGGCUCGCUGGUCGGUGAGGAGUUGGCUGAUAUUCAUCAUGUAAUCGAGUUAGUUUUGUUAGGGCUUGAUCCCUAGUAUCCACUAUGUUCUUAGAUUGAUGUUGCUAUGACUUUGCUAUGCAUACUGCUUGUCACUUUGGGCCCGGGUGCCAUGAACUCAGAUCUGAACCGUUUAUGAAUUCAUCGUUAUAUCCAUGUUUUAGAUCCGAUCUUGCAAGUUAUAGUCACCUACUACGUGUUAUGAUCUGGUAACCCCGGAGUGACAAUAACCAGGACUUCUUCCGGUGAUUACCGUAGUUUGAGGAGUUCAUGUAUUCACUAUGUGUUAAUGCUUUGUUCCGGUUCUCUAUUAAAAGGAGGCCUUAAUAUCCCUUAGUUUCCAGUAUUGACCCCGCUGCCACGGGAGGGUAGGACAAAAGAUGUCAUGCAAGUUCUUUUAAUAAAGCACGUAUGACUAUUUACGGAAUACAUGCCUACAUUAUAUCGAUGAACUGGAGCUAGUGCCGUAUCGCCCUAGGUUAUAACUAUCACAUGAUGAAUAUCAUCCAACAAGUCAGCGAUCCAAUGCCUACAAAUUUAUCUUAUAUUGUUACUGCUAAGUUAUUACUGCUAUCAUCACUGUUACACUUGCUAUAAAAUUAUCGCUAUCACCGUUACUGUUACCGUUGCUACUGUUACUAUUAUCAAAACUAUCAAACUACUUUGCUACUGAUUAGUUGCUGCAAAUAAUUAAUCUCCAGGUGUGGUUGAAUUGACAACUUAGCUGGUAAUACCUUCAAAUAUUCUUUGGCUCCCCUUGUGUCGAAUCUAUAAAUUUGGGUUGAAUACUCUACCCUCGAAAACUAUUGUGAUCCCCUAUACUUGUGGGUUAUCAGCGCCAUGAAGAGGCGUAUGCUCGAGUACUCUCAAUUCUCGAGGUGUGCUCGACCAAGCUGUAGGCGUGCGUGCUCAAGACGAAGGUGUUGGGUGUCAUGGCACGCCUUAUGGGUAUGAAGCUUGUGUUGAUUUUGGGGCCACAAUUGCCAUUUCUACCUCGCCAUUGACAUCGAUGCUUGAUGAUUUGCAAAGCUUGUAACCUACCACUACAUGGGAGAAAACCACCAGACUUAAAGGAGAUGAGAGUAUUGGGUUUAGAUAUAUUAAGGUCUUCAAUCAAGCGUCACUUACAAGGCAGGCAUAGCGCCUACUUCAAUUUCCAAACAAUUUGUGUGCUAGAAUUAUGAAGGCUAAAUAUUUCCCUUGUGGGCGUCUGCUAGACACAACCUUUCAUCAAAAUAUGUUGCCAACUUGGCAAGGCAUUCUGCAUGGCUUGUACUUGUUGAAGGAAGGUAUCAUUUGGAGAUUUUUUUCCUGUGAGAAGGUUCUUGUUUGCAUAGAUAAAUUGGACCCCCAUGAGUCCUCUUUGAAAUUUUAGGUAAAAGGAACAAAACUCUGUUGAUGUGGGUAUCUGAAUUGUUAUUGUGUCGUCCCCUGUGAUGGAAUGAAAACUUUAUUGGACACAUUAAUACGUCUCCAACGUAUCUACUUUUCCUAACGCCUUUCCUCUUGUUUUGGACUCUAAUUUGCAUGAUUUGAAUGAAACUAACCCCGGACUGACGCUGUUUUCAGCAGAACUACCAUGGUGUUGUUUUUGUGCAGAAAUAAAAGUUCUCGGAAUGGAACGAAACUUUGCGAGGAAUUUGUAUAUCAAUAAAGAGAAUUUCUGGAGCCAGGACCCACCAGAGGUGGGCACCUGGGUGGGCACAACCCACUAGGGCGCCCCCCUCCUGGCGCGCCCAGGUGGGUUGUCCCCACCUGGUGGCCCCGCAGACCCUGAAACUGACGCUAUAAAAUCCUAUUUUUCCAGAAAAAAUCAGGGAGAAAGAAUUAUCGCGAUCCACGAGAUAGAGCCGCCGUCACCUCAUGUUCUUCAUCGGGAGGCCAGAUCUGGAGUCCGCUUGGGGCUCCGGAGAGGGGGGGUCUUCGUUCUUCGUCAUCACCAACCCUUCUCCAUCGCCAAUUCCAUGAUGCUCCCUACCAGGAGUGAGUAAUUCCUUCGUAGGCUCGCUGGUCGGUGAGGAGUUGGAUGAGAUUCAUCAUGUAAUCGAGUUAGUUUUGUUAGGGCCUAAUCCCUAGUAUCCACUAUGUUCUAAGAUUGAUGUUGCUAUGACUUUGCCAUGCUUAAUGCUUGUCACUUUGGGCCCGGGUGCCAUGAAUUCAGAUCUGAUCCGUUUAUGUUAUCACCAUUAUAUCCAUGUUCUAGAUCCGAUCUUGCAGGUUAUAGUCACCUACUACGUGUUAUGAUCCGGCAACCCCAGAGUGAAAAUAGUCGGGACAACUCCCGGUGAUGACCGUAGUUUGAGGAGUUCAUGUAUUCAUCGUGUGUUAAUGCUUUGUUUCGGUUCUCUAUUAAAAGGAGGCCUUAAUAUCCCUUAGUUUCCAAUAGUACCCCGCUGCCACGGGAGGGUAGACAAAAGAUGGCAUGCAAGUUCUUUCCAUAAGCACGUAUGACUAUUUACGGAAUACAUGCCUACAUUAUAUUGAUGAACUGGAGCUAGUGUCGUAUCGCCCUAGGUUAUAAUUGUCUCAUGAUGAAUAUCAUCCAACGAGUCACCGAUCCAAUGCCUACAAAUUUAUCCUAUAUUGAUCUUGCUAAGUUACUACUGCUGCUGUUACUGUUGAACUUGUUACAAAACUACUGCUAUCACUGUUACUGUUAUUGUUACUGUUGUCACUAUUAUCAAAACUAUCAAACUACUUUGCUACUGAUCACUUUGCUGUAGAUAAUUAAUCUCCAGGUGUGGUUGAAUUGACAACUCAGCUGCUAAUACCCUCAAAUGUUCUUUGGCUCCCCUUGUGUCGAAUCUAUAAAUUUGGGUUGAAUACUCUACCCUCGAAAACGGUUGCGAUCCCCUAUACUUGUGGGUUAUCAAGACCUUUUUUUGGCGCCGUUGCCGGGGAGCAUAGCUAUAUUUGUUGAGUCACUUGGGAUUAUUAUCAAUUUAUCACUAUGAAGAAUCUGAAGGAUGCUAAGACUAAGAUUUAUCCCUCUAAGACGAGGGGAUGUAAGGAACUGCCAUCCAGUUUUUCUUUAGAUUCACCUUCUGUUAUAAGUAAACUUGCAACACCAACACAUGCUAUCAAUUCUGAUAUGUCGCAAGUUAUUGAUGAUGCUACUUCUACUAUGAAUGAUGCUUACGAUGAUGCUAGUACCAUGCUUGAUAAUGAUGAUGUGCCACUUGGUGAAUUUCUUGAUAAACAAAUUGCUAGAGUUAUACAACAUGAUGUUGUUGAAUCUGAUGAUGAGCUUGAAACUGAAUCUCCUGAAACACCUGCUAGAACUAGCCUUCCUAGAUAUGAAUUGCCUAAGGUACCGGAAGGUUAUGUUAUGAAUGAGGAGACAACUAGAGAUAUUCUUGCUUGUAAGGAUAGAGAUGAUCUAGAGAAAUUACUAUGCAAGUAUAAAGAAAAAUCUCUGAAUGCUAGAAUGCAAUAUGAUCCUAAGUUUGCUACCUCACCUAUCUUUAUUGUUGAUAAGGAUUAUGAAUUCUCUGUCGACCCAGAGUUAAUUACUUUGGUUGAAUCUGAUCCUUUCCAUGGUUAUGAAACUGAAACUAUUGUGGCACAUCUUACUAAGUUGAAUGACAUAGCCACCCUUUUUACUCAUGAUGAGAAGACUCGCUAUUACUUUAUUCUCAAACUAUUUUUGUUCUCAUUAAAGAGUGAUGCUAAAGCUUGGUACAACACUCUUGCUCCUGGUUGUGUGCGUAGUCCCCAGGAUAUGAUUUAUUACUUCUCUGAAAAAUAUUUCCCUGCUAAUAAGAAACAAGCUGCCUUACAGGAAAUAAUUGAAUUUGUGCAAACUAAAGAAGAGAGUCUCCCACAAGCUUGCGGGAGGCUUUUCCAAUUACUUAAUUUUUUGACCGAUCCUCCUCUUAAGAAAAAUGAAAUACUUGAUAUCUUCUAUAAUGGACUAACCGAUGCUUCUAGGGAUUUCCUAGAUAGUUGUGCUAGUUGUGUUUUCAGGGAACGGACUGUUGGGCAAGCUGAAGAAAUAUUGAAUAAUAUAUUGAAAAAUUAUGAUGAUUGGACUCUUCCUGAACAACCGGUUAAACCCACUCAGAAGAAGAGGGGUAUAUUAUAUCUCAGUCCUGAAGAUAUGCAAGAGGCAAAGAAAUCUAUGAAGGAAAAAGGUAUUAAAGCUUAGGAUGUCAAAAAAUUACCUCCUAUUGAAGAAAUACACGGGCUUAAUACACCACCACUGCCUAAGGUGGUAGAGGUAAAUUCUCUAAUGAAGUUCAAUGAUGAUGACAAUCCUCACAAUAUGCAUCCUAGCCAAUGCCUUUAUGAGUUUGAAAAUUGCAUUAGAAAACAAGAUCACUUCAAUGCAAAUGUUAUAAAACAAUUGAAAUACAAUGCUGAUAUGAUUGCUUGCUUGAGUGACUUGUUAUUUAGAAUCUCAAAUGAUGUUAGAGGUGUUGGAAAGCAUGCUUCUAUGGUUCAAACUCAGCUAGAACAAGUUGCUAAAUCUUGAAGAGAAUUGCUUGAUGAAAUAAAUAAUAAUAAACAUGACUUUGCUAUUAGAGUAGCAACUAGAGGAAGUAAAAUGACUUAGGAACCACUUUAUCCUAAGGGAUACUCAAAAUAAUUGAACAAGAUUCUCAAAGAGAUAGCACUGAUGCACCUAGUCCUUCUAGAAAGAAAAAGAAGAAGAAAAUGGUAGGACUUUGCAUGCUUCUAGUGAACCUAAAACAGAAAAACCUCCUGAUAACGAUAAUGAAACUCCUAUCUCUGAUGCUGAAACUCAGUCUGGUAAUGAACACUCACCUUUUGAUAAUGAAAAAGAUAAUGAUGAGGUUCAUGAAGAUGCUCAACCAAAUAAUAAAGAACCAGACAAUGAUGUUGAGAUAGAACCACCUGUUGAUCUUGAUAACCCACAACCUAAGAAUAAAGAUAUGAUAAAAGAGACUUCAUUGCUAGAAAACAUGGUAAAGAAAGAGAACCAUGGGUUCAAAAACCUAUGCCUUUUCCACCCAAGUCAACUAAAAAGAAAGACGAUGAAGAAUUUGAACGCUUUGCUGAAAUGCUGAGGCUAGUCUUCUUGCUUACUCGCUUGACUGGUAUCUUGAAAAUGCCUCCUUAUGCAAAGUACAUGAAAGACAUUAUCACAAAUAAGAGAAAAAUACCAGAAGCUGAAAUAUCCACUAUGCUUGCUAAUUAUACUUUUAAAGAUGGAGUACCUAAAAAACUUGGAGAUCCGGGAAUACCAACUAUACCUUGCUCUAUCAAAAAGAAUUAUGUGAAAACUGCUUUAUGUGAUUUAGGAGCUGGUGUUAGUGUUAUGCCUUUCUCUUUAUAUAAAAGACUUGAUUUGAAUAAACUCACACCUACUGAAAUAUCUUUGCAAAUGGCUGACAAAUCAACUGCCAUACCUAUCGGUAUCUGUGAGGAUGUGCCCGUUGUUGUUGCUAAUGUUACUAUUUUGACUGACUUUGUUAUACUUGAGAUGCCUGAGGACGACAAUAUGUCGAUUAUCCUUGGUAGACCAUUCUUGAAUACUGCAGGGGCUGUUAUUGAUUGCAAUAAAAGUAAGGUCACUCUUCACAUCAAUGGUAAUGAGCAUACGGUGCACUUUCCAAAGAAACAAUUCCAAGUGAAUGGUAUUAAUGUUAUUGAAAAAUCCCCGACAAUCACUAUUGGAAGUUUUCAAAUACCUCUACCUACUGUCAAAAAGAAAUAUGAAAUGCUUAUUAUUGGGGCAUUCAUAUCCCCGUUGAGGUAACUUAGUGAUUUACGAUAGUUCUUCGGUUUCAUGAUUUACGAUAGUUCUUCGGUUUCAUGCUAAUCGAAAGUGGUUGUUAAUAAGACUUGAUCAACCUUAUUAAUGGAUCAUUUUUUAGCGAUAUGAAGUUGAUGAAUUUAGUAAGCACUACCUUUUGUCCCUACUUUUUGUUUUCUAUCUUUAUUAGUUAAAUAAAAUAAAUGCCAUGUUUUGUCUGUUUUCUGAAUUUCUCGUGCAAUAAAAAAUGACCCAAAAAUAAAAGUUCUCAGAAUGCUCUGAAAAUUUAAUACGGUUUUUUCUGAAUAUUUAAGAAUUACUGGUGCAAAUAAUAUCAGAGGGAGGAGCACGAGGUGGGCACAACCCACCUGGGCGCACCAGGAUCCCCAGGCGCACCCUGGUGGGUUGUGGUCCCCACGUGGGCCCCCUCACUUAUCCCUUCACACCACAUCAUAACUUAUCUCCAGAAAAAAAUCUCCAUUACUCUCUCUCCCAUGUUCUUUCUCUCAAACCCGCGGAUUUCGGUCUCUUUGCUCGAAGCUCUGUUUCCGAAAUUGUUUCGGGGGAUUGUCGCUUGGUAUGUGACUCCACCGUUUGUCCAAUUAGUUUUUGUUUUAGUGGUUUAUAUUUUGAAUAAUUAGCUGCUCUUGGUGCUGCUGUAGAUGAGCUUGCAUGUUGAAUUCUUAGAGUUCUAAGUAGUUUGAAUGCUUGAUAUGGCUUCUAUGUAUCCCUAUGAGUAGUUGAUAUCAAUCUUAUAAAGUUUUGUUGAUAAAUUGUGUCACUCAAAAAUUUUCAGAAAAUUGUACGCGAACAUGAUGAAUCUAUUUGGAAGGAGUUCUUCGAGGAGGAGAUCCUCGGGGGCAUCUUCUAGUGACAACUCCGCUCGCCUGUCUUAUGCCGAACCAAGUGAAAGUUCCAUUCGAGAUGUAGCCACCAAAACAUUUGCGAUGUUUAUAUGAUGCGUGUGGGCAUUAAGGAGGAAUUUGAGCAAUAUGUUCACAAUGCCGGUCUCGGUCCCUACAUUUCAGAUAAGUGCGAACAACACCACACUCUCACUGAAUCAUUUGUCAAAGGAUUUAAAUUCCAUCCCCGUGAGUCUAGGGUGUCAUUUAAGCUUUAUGAAAAUCCAUUUACCAUCUCACUAGAGAGUUUUCCUCACCACUGCAAACUCCCAUUCUAGGGUUCGCUUGAGGAACCGCCAAGGGCUGAGUACCAAUCAUUUUUUACUAGUCUUUGUUACGGUGAGACGAGGGGAGUGACACAAGGUAGAAUAAAGAGCAUUCAUUUUCCUGCAAUUCGGUACUUUGCAUUAUUUAACGGGAAAUGUAUAGUAGGCAAGCAAGAUUGUAGAAUUCUUUGUGCUCCAGACUUGAGCCUCAUAUGCACCGCUCUCACCGGUGAUAGGAGUUAUAAUCUUGGGGCUAUUGUUGCACGCAGACUGUAGCAUAACGCCAACAAUGGCUAUUUCUAUGGUGGAAUAUAUGCCACGCGUUUAGCACGAGGGCUGGGUGUUUCACCUUUGCCCUUUGACCCUAUCCUACCCAUGCAGUAUGUAGACUUUGAUGCUUUAAAAAGUCAUAAGAUCCUCAAAGGAAAAAUUCAUAACUUCACUUACAAUCUGUUGUUUAACCAAACAUUUGUUGUGCACACAUAUUUGCCUGCGCCUGCUCUUUUUUACUAUCACAGCAAAGGAAGAUAUUUUGUUCUUGAGAGCGAGGCCGGAGCUCACAACGCAACAGUGGAGGCAGCACGGCAGACCGAGGCAUCCGCACCGGGAGCCUCUGUGAGCUACCACGCCGACUACUAUCUAGAUUAUUGACUGUGUACCAAGUUAGGCCAAAAGCCUAAGCUUGGGGGAGUACGUGUUUCUCACCGACAUUACAUUCAUGUCCACUUAUUCCAUUUGUCGGUGUUCACACUUUUUCAUUGUAUCAUCCAUGUUAAAUUUAUUUUCUUGCUUUCUUCUUGUGUGUUUGAAAAAUCUUAGAAAAACCAAAAAAAAUUAGUUAUAGUUAGUUUACCUUCUAUGCAUGCUUAGUUGUAAUACUAAAAAGAAAACCCAAAAAGAUUUCCUUGUUCUUCUUUUGCUUGUUGGGGGCUUUCCCGUGUAAAUAGUUUUUCUCGUUUUUUCUUUUCCCUUUUAUUUCCUUAUUCGAGAAAACCAAAAACUCCAAAAAUAUUUUAGUGUGUUUCUCUAAAUUUCUUUUCUUUUUAUUCGAGUUGUACCGAGGAGAAGAUCACGAUGAAAAUGUUGAGUGGCUCUCAUAUGAAUAAUUGUUGAUCUAAUAAAUAACCCAUUUUACCUUGUCUUCUCCUGUUAAAUAAAUUGUUUGCAGAUUCCAGCUUAGUCCACGGCACUCUUGCACUAUUAUUAUUUUCACAUCGUUCGGUUGUGCAAGUGAAAGGCAAUAAUGAUGAUAUUCGAUGAACUGGCCGUGGCAGAGAGAAACGGGUAUGAACUCGACUUGUUCUGUUUGUGUAAAUAUGUUUAACCUAGUAUCCAUGAUUCAGCCCAUUAUGAUUAAACAUGUUUGCAAUGACAAUUAGAGAUUAUAGUUUCUCAUGCCAUGCAUAAGUAGCUGGGAGUGGAUAAUGAUUUAUCCUGGAUAUCAACAUUGCGUUAAAAUGAUUGUGAUGUAGUAUGAUGAUAUGGUAUCCUCCACUGAAUGUUCGAGUGGCUUGACUUGGCACAUGUUCAUGCAUUAGUUGAAUCAAAACCAACAUAGCCUCUAUGAUAUUUAUGUUCAUGGUGUUCAUAUCCUACUCAUGCUAGUGUCCAAUGUUACGUAUGCAUAAUGCAUGUUCAUGACCGUUGUUGCUCUCUAGCUGGUCGCUUCUCAAUCUAAAUUGCUAGCCUUCGCCUGUACUAAGUGGGAAUUCUGCUUGUGCAUCAAAAACCUUGAACCCAAAAGUUAUUCCAGAUGAGUCCACCAUACCUACCUAUAUACGGUAUUACCCUGCCGUCCUAAGUAAAUUCGCAUGUGCCACCUCUAAAAACUUCUAAUAAAUGUCCUUUUUGUGCCUGGAUCGUUCAUGGAACGACAAGAGGUGGUCGGUAUCUUCCAUGCUAAGCGGGUUAUUCUCAGGUCGAGUGUUUAUUCACUCGCCAUCGCACGAGAAAAGGGCGGUAAUAGGGAUGCCCGGUCCCAAACUGCAAAUAGAAAAAGCUUACAAAUAAUCAAACAAAAACUCCCAAUGGAGUCAAAACCUUUACUUUUAUCGCUUGGGAACCGCCACUAGCGUGCUUAGCAUGGAAGAUAUUGAUAACAGAUGGUCGUGAAGUAAAUGAGAAGGGUGCAUGUCUCAAAAUAUCGUUUACCUAUGUUUUAAAAACUUGAGCUCUGGCACCUCUGCAAAUCAUUGCUUCCCUCUGCGAAGGGGCUAUCUAUUUACUUUUAUGUUGUGUCAUCACCUUCUAACACAAGCGCCAGAACCUGAGAGCACUGCUGUCAUGACUUAUGCAUCGUGUGUAGCUAAUGUUGGAUGCAUCAUGACUGGAUCUUUUCUAUCAUGAAUUACAAUGUUUAGUCGCUGCUUGAACUUUGGAGGUGCUCUGCAUUUAUGUUUUGCGGUCUCAGAAAGGGCUAGCGAGAUACCACUAUUGUCAUAUUAUAUCAUGGUUGUUUUGAUAACAUGUUGCUAUCUGAGAUAUCUUAUUAUUGCUCGCUAGCUAAUAAUGUCAUUGAUAUGAGCUAAUAUAAUCUUUAAGAGUUAUUGUCGGCAUGGUUAGUUAUAAUGUUGGCUAAAAACCUAGGUGUUGUUUAAGAUUAUUUAUGCAAACAAGAGCAAAAGAGUUUGUAAAAGUUUUUCUUUUUCACUUUCAGUUUAUCAACUGAAUUGCUUGAGGACAAGCAAAGGUUUAAGCUUGGGGGAGUUGAUAUGUCUCCAACGUAUCUACUUUUUCUAACGCUCGUCCUCUUGUUUUGGACUCUAAUUUGCAUGAUUUGAAUGCAACUAACCCCGGACUGAUGUUGUUUUCAGCAGAACUACCAUGGUGUUGUUUUUGUGCAGAAAUAAAAGUUCUCGGAAUGGAACGAAACUUUGCGAGGAAUUUUUAUAUCAAUAAAGAGAAUUUCUGGAGUCAAGACCCACCAGAGGGGGGCACCUGGGUGGGCACAACCCACCAGGGCGCCCCCUCCUAGCGCGCCCACGUGGGUUGUCCCCACCAAGUGGCCCCGCAGACCCUGAAACCGAUGCUAUAAAAUCCUAUUUUUCCAAAAAAAAAUUAGGAAGAAAGAAUUAUCGCGAUCCACGAGACGGAGCCGCCGUCACCUCCUGUUCUUCAUCGGGAAGCCAGAUCUGGAGUCCGUUUGGGGCUCCGGAGAGGGGGAUCUUCGUUCUUCGUCAUCACCAACCCUUCUCCAUCGCCAAUUCCAUGACGCUCCCCACCGGGAGUGAGUAAUUCCUUCGUAGGCUCGCUGGUCGGUGAGGAGUUGGAUGAGAUACAUCAUGUAAUCGAGUUAGUUUUGUUAGGGUCUGAUCCCUAGUAUCCACUAUGUUCUAAGAUUGAUGUUGCUAUGACUUUGUCAUGCUUAAUGCUUGUCACUUUGGGCCCGGGUGCCAUGAAUUCAGAUCUGAUCCGUUUAUGUUAUCACCAUUAUAUCCAUGUUCUAGAUCCGAUCUUGCAAGUUAUAGUCACCUACUACGUGUUAUGAUCCGGCAACCCCAGAGUGACAAUAGUCGGGACAACUCCUGGUGAUGACCGUAGUUUGAGGAGUUCAUGUAUUCAUCGUGUGUUAAUGCUUUGUUUCGGUUCUCUAUUAAAAGGAGGCCUUAAUAUCCCUUAGUUUCCAAUAGGACCCCGCUGCCACGGAGGGUAGGACAAAAGAUGUCAUGCAAGUUCUUUCCAUAAGCACGUAUGACUAUUUAUGGAAUACAUGCCUACAUUAUAUUGAUGAACCAGAGCUAGUGUCGUAUCGCCCUAGGUUAUAACUAUCUCAUGAUGAAUAUCAUCCAACGAGUCACCGAUCCAAUGCCUACGAAUUUAUCCUCUAUUGAUCUUGCUAAGUUACUACUGAUGCUGUUACUGUUGAACUUGUUACAAAACUACUGCUAUCACUGUUACUGUUACUGUUACUGCUGUCACUAUUAUCAAAACUAUCAAACUACUUUGCUACUAAUCACUUUGCUGCAGAUAAUUAAUCUCCAGGUGUGGUUGAAUUGACAACUCAGCUGCUAAUACCCUCAAAUAUUCUUUGGCUCCCCUUGUGUCGAAUCUAUAAAUUUGGACUGAAUACUCUACCCCCGAAAACUAUUGCGAUCCCCUAUACUUGUGGGUUAUCACACAUCUACCCUCAUUAUGUGGAGGCAACCUAAAUAUCCAUUUGUCAUCCACUGGAGGGGGUCAUUGUGUCUUCGAACGAGUUUUUCACUGUAAGAAGUGUGUACGAAAUGGCGAUGCAACAUAGUAAUGGCAUGCAAUAGAGGUUAAUAUAGUAUGGUGCCACAAGGAGAUAGAAAUAUCUAGAAGUUAAUUUGGCAAUCUCACACGCUUCAAAAAUUGAAAGUUUUUUCUUGGAGAGUGAUGAUGAAUAGUCUUGAGAUGUAUGCUGAUAGAGUUCACCAUCAUUUGGUGUUAUUCUUACAUGUGGCAUAUGCAAUUGUGAAGAUAAGGAUGCUUUCCACACUCUUGUCAAAUGCCCCAAGGUACACACCCUUAGGUCUGAUCUUCGAGAAGUUUGGCCUCUUCCUGGUGAGGAUUUGUUUGCUAAUACUAGACCAAAGUGGUUGCUCCUUUUUGCUAGAAAUUCUGAAUAUUGAUCAUAGAGCUAAGGUUUUGUUCAUGCUCCAGAGAUCGUGGCCUCUAAGAAACGACCUAAUAUUCGGUGAAGGUAAGGCACCUGUCCUAGAUUUGUCACCUUUAUCCAAGUUUAUGUGGCUAGUUUCUUGGAUGUGGUAGUGUAGGAAAUCAAAAUGGCAAAAGUAAAGAAUCUAUGGGAACAGAUUAGUUUUCAUACGCAAGCAUGAACAACUAUAGUUUGGAAAAGCCAUCAAGCUGGAUGUAGUAUGAUUAAUGUUGACAUUGGCUUCGAUCCUUGCUCAGCGUCAGGAACUAUUUGCUAGGUAGUGACAGAGAUAUCUGGCAGGGUCUUGAAAUCAGCAAGGAUAUUGUCCCAACUUGUUCCACGAUGGAAAAGGCGGAGCUUCAGGCGUGCAUCAUGGGGAUCCAUAGGGUAUUGAUUCCUAUCCACCCUACAUUUUCAAAGCUCGCUGCCUUUACAUAUAUUAAGAAUUGCCUUAACUCCUCAUAUAUGGGCAAAUCGUCUUACAUGAAUUUUGAACAUGAUGACGUUGGAUUCGUUGAAGAAGUCAAUGAAUUUCAAGAUUGUUCAUAUUUAAUAGAGAUACUAAUGUUAUGGCUCAUGGUUUUGCUUAAUUUAGUAAGAGUGGUUCUUGUAUGGGUGUGUGCGUUGGCGUGGUUACUUCUUGCAUGUUGGAGUUGGCCAAGAAUGAUUGUAAAACCUUAUCCAAAAAGGUGCAUUGAAUGUCAUGAUGGUUGACAUGACAACCUUCAUCAUUGCAUAUCGGCUUUCAAUUAUGAAGGAGCUGGUAUGAUUAUAAUUUUGAAUGACGGCGUAGUUGUGGGGAAAGGAACAAAUGAGAACCCUAUGGGCAUCACCCUCAGAGCGUAAGCUUCUAUUGUAGAACAUAACUUCACCCGAUGCAACUUUUUAUUAGAAAAGACCAUAUGUCUGGCUUUAGUGAAUUUAAGCCCUUAGAGGUUUACAACAUAGGUUCAUGAUGGCGGGAUCUCAUAACCUGGGUAAAACAUCUCUCGAGUGAAAUCUCAUAACUAGAUCAUCCACGUGCACCUUGCCUUACCAAAAUUCCCCAAAUCAUGUGUAUUGCCAUGAAAUCCCCACAACAGUUCAAAUGCAAAAAAACAGAAAUCUAGCUCAAAAGCCAUGAAAGAACACAUACCUCGAUACAAACUCUGAGCAGGGUCCUCGGCUCGAUAGCUGCAGUACACACACCCCAACUCCAAAUGAGCCUUGACUGCGAGGCACUUCAGUUUCCAGACCGCUCCUCAUUGAGCGCCACAACAUGGAUCCCAAGUCACCGAGAAAGAGCCUCAAGGGUCAAUGAGUCUUGGGUCUUGCUCGGCGGCCUCCAAAGCUGUAGAAAAAAUAGCCUUUUAUAUAGGCAGUCAUUGAAGUGUAUUCUAAUCCCCUAGGUGAAUUUUGGUAAUCAGUGCCAACAUAUCUCAAGGUACUAAUGAUUCAUAAAGUAUCUUUCAUAUUAGCUCCCAAAUGAUGCAUCAAAAUAAGAUGAUUGGUGCCCACUCAAAAUCCCAUUAAGACAAGUGUUAGCCAAACUAAGGACUUGAAUUUUAUUUUAGUAAUCCAAGAUCAUAUUGAGUCCAUAGAUACGAGAUGCUAUCAAAAAGGAUAGAACUUGUUAAGCUGAGUUUCUUUCUCUAUGUGUUGACAGAUCGAACUCAAAAGCCCUAAAAAUAGCCUUUGGUUUCUCCACUGUAUCUACCAUUUUUUCUACUUUUUCGCUUAGGACCAUACGAACUAUUUUUUUAGAUAUAGUCAUUGCAAACGAUAGAUGAGCUCCCGAACACCUCCGUCCGGAACCUCUACAGCGUUUGUGCACUCCUUUGCACACAGUACGGAUUUUCGAGCGGACUUGGUUGAAAUUUCCGAACGACAUCCAGUAGUGUGUGCUAAGUGAGUCAUUGGUCAGUCAAAGCCUCUAAAUGACUUUAAGUUGGACCUUUUGAGCUUUUGAAAGUUUCUGCCUUUAGUGUUGUUUGGAGAUUACGAGCUAAACCUCCGGAGCUUCCUAGCUAUGCUAAAAAGGUGUGUAACAGUCAUAUUUCUGUUUCCGCCAAUUUAUACUCUCACCUAUUGUAGCGACCCGACCUCAGACGGUCAAGUCUCUGUGCUUAAGUGUCAUCCCUGGAUCGGUAUGCUGACACACACAGUACUCGAGGAUUUAUAACAGAGGUAAAUCACAUAUAUAAAGUAACGUAAAUACUAUUACCUCAAUCCAAAUAGCGGAAGUAACAACAAGGUUGUGGAUUCCCAUCAACACCAACGACAAAGUUGAGUGUAGAAAUCGUAACCCUAACGUAGCACUUACUCGUCGUAAGAUUCCUGCAACAUGAGACGUUGCAGCCAUGUAGGUCGGUACAUUGAAUGUACUGGCAAUUUCACACUGUAGAGCAAUACUGAAUAAUGGCUAUCACUACAUGCAUAUUUGGCUGGUGGAGGCUCUAAGUUUAUUUUUUUGCAUAAAGCCAAUUUUUCCCUACAACAAAGGAAUAUAUUUUAUUUAACUAUCAUGGUAGUUGAUAAACAUUGAGAAUGGUAACCCCAUCUCAAUCCCAAUAUAGUAAUCAUUAACCCAAACAAAUUAAUUAAGUAAAGUGUUGAGAUCAACAUGAUAAUUCAAGAACCAGAUACUCAAGAUGUCCAUAACCGGGGACACGGUUAAUCAUGAUUAGUUUGUACACUCUGCAAAGGUUUGCGCACUUUUCCCCACAAGACUCGAUCUCCUCCGUUGGAUUUCUCGCACUACAUGGUGUUUGAGAAACGGAUGACCGAGACACAGUCUUUCAGAAGCAUUAACUCUUUACUCUGGGUAGACAGUUACACCUACUUUCCCCUACAUCUGCUAGCCUACCACUGAAAGAGGUCACACAACAUACUCAACUAUGUCAGAGCCCAUAAUGGCUUGUGGCUGCACACAGAAGUUUCUAGCAUGAAUAAUCUUAUGAUCCCUUUGAGCCUGGGUGGCAUUCCAUAGGAUGAUCACACAGGUUCCCCGGGAUCUCCUAGGACAACACUGCUAUAUCCCCAGGUGUCCAGGCAAGCCACUGGUAUAUCCCCAGGGUGCCCCAACCAAUCCACCCAGAUGUGUAUUAAAGUAGCCACCUUAAGUUUCCCUUAGAAAAUAUUACUCUCGCAACUUUCAUGAAUUCUCUCAAACCAAUCCACGUCUACAAGCAUAGCAUAGCAGUAUAAGCAUAACGUAGAAGUAACUCCCAGGGGUUUGAUAUAAAGGACAAUAGGUUCUACCUCAUCAACUACUUCUCAAAACCCACAUAUUAAAUAGAUCCUACUCAUGCAAUGUUUGAGGGUGAAACUAAUGCAUAAAAACUGGGUAUGAAAGGGAUAUGAUCAAAGGGUGAACUUGCCUUGUACUGUUGAUGAAGAUGAUUCGCACUCAUAACUCCUGAUAGUUCUACUCGUCACACUCCGGUCAAUCUAUCGUGAGCAAGCAAUUGCAUACAUAAGCACUCAUGCAAAAGAAUCGAAGAAAAGAUCUCGGAAAACUUCGAAAACAGGCAAAUAACUCUUGCAACAUAAAACAAUUUCUAACAGUACCAAAAUUGGGUGAAUUUGUUCUUAUCAGAAAGUUUAGAUCAAGAGCUUCGAAUAGCAAAAAGAAUCAAUUAAAUCGGAAUUAUAAAACUCGAGUUAUGAACAGAAGAAGUUCAAAUACAAAUCUGUUUGAAUUCGAAUUUUAAACUUUUCAAAAAUAUGUUUAAGUUGUUUUACUGGAUAGAGGGGAUCGUAACGAAGAAGUUGGAGUUGGUUUCGUUGGAUUUGGAUAAACGGUGUAAAAGUUGUGAGUGUUUGAAAACCAUGGGCUAUUCUGUAAGAAAACAAAUUGCAACCGGGUCCCUGGCUACGUGGCAGAAUCCUAUUGGCUGAAACCGUUCGCUUCGGAGGCUUUAACGAACGAACGUUCGGUAAGUAAAGAAAAACGAUUCGAAUAAAAAAUAAAAAUAAAAAACUAAUCUAAUCAUAUCCAUCUAACCUAGAUCGGACGGACGAGGAGCAGCGGCGGCUUACCACAGUGGUGGGCGUCGACGUCACCGGAGAAGGAGACGGCAGCGGCGUCGGGGUCGACGAGGUGGCUGCUCCGGCGGUCCUCUGGCGUGGCCGCGGGGUCAGGGAGAAGCGGCGCGAGGUUUCGAAGCCGAUGGUGGUGGCGGAGUCGGGCGUAGGCGGCGGUGGAGCGCGGGGCAACGGCGGCAGAUCUCGGCGGAGCUCGCAACUUCGGCGAGGUUUUGCGGCAUAGGGGCGGUGGUGGCUGCGGUUUGAGGAGGAAAACGGGGCCGGGGUCGAGUGUUUAUAAAGGAGGCGAGGCGUGGGCGAGGGGCAAGGCGAAGAGGAGAGUCCAGGGCGGACUCGGCGUCGGCCGACGUCGGCGUACAGGAGCGGGACCCCUGCUGCCUUGCGGGAGGAGGAAGAAGACGCGGGGCCCGCCUGUCGGCGUCCGUGGGAGAGAGAGGGGGAACGGGCGACCAGGGCGGAGGCGGUUCACGCGAGGGAGAGAGGCCAUGGGCCGAUUCGGCUUGCUGGGCCGGGGGCGGAGAGAGAGAGAGAGCUGGGCUGGGCUUCCGCCUCGCACUGUUCGAAGAUGUUUUUUUUACAGACACAACAGAAAUAUAAUAAAACCAAAUAAAAUAAAAUGCAACCUAGGCAUAUUAUAUAUCAAAAUUUUCAUAAAAAGAUUGUCUACAACUUGAACAUUUUUUUAGCGUCAAAUAAAAUCCGCAAAAUUUUAAAUAAAUCAAACAGUGCUAUAGCUAUAAUAAACCCAAUAAAAAUCAUUUUAAAAAUACCAAAAUGAUUUCAAAUUUAUUUCUCUCCAAUUUUCUGAUGUAAGGAAUCAUUUUACCCUAAUUUCCAUAUAUUUUAUUUUUGGAGAAAAAUAAUUUGAAUAAAAACCAAAUAACUCCAAAUUGAAAAUAACUUUCAAAGGGACUUUAAAUUGGAUUUCUUUUAAACUUCCAACUCAUAUUUCAUAUUUUGAAGAAAUCAUUUUAUCUUCUCUCAUGAAAAUCAUUGAGUUGCUUAAAGUUUCUGAAUUUGAAAUAUUUCCAAAUGGAAUUCAAAUCUUUUCAAAACCCUUUUCAUUUAUUUAAAUGGAAGAAGUCAUGUCAUCUUCUCUCUAGGGUUUUAUGAUGAAAUAAAUUUGAAUUCAUGGAGAUCUUAAAUGCAAAAAUGAAAGUUUGGGAAAGUCCUUUUAUUCCCUCUCAUUUAACUUUCAAAAAGUUUCAAAUUUCACUCACUUUCAGUCAAUCAAUCACACAACAAUCAAACAAACAAUCAAAACUAUUUAUUUAUAUAACAUUCCAAAAUUUAGAAUUUUGGGAUGUUACACCUAUCCCACGAAUUGAUGCAGAGGUCGGAGUCUUCCCCUUUCUCGAAAGAAAAAUAAAACUAUCCUACCAGUUCACUGGAAGCAACACUCUUUCAAAUCAUAUUUUCUAAGAGAGGAUACUAAGAUCCUUCAUGUGGGAAACUUUUGGUCUAUGAGUGUAUAUACCCCUUAUAUGGGAAAAUUAGUAAUUAAAUAAAAAGUCAAAUUCUGAACAUAUUUUUGAAAUAAAGUUGACCUUCCAUUGUACUUGUAAGAAAAAUUCCACACACAAAAAACCUGUUGACUUCUUCCCGAAAAAACAAAAAUUCUGGCUAAAAUAGUGUGAAUAGCGACCUAUAAAUAAUAGCAAAUAAAUUUUAUUUUUUUGCCCAAGUCAACACUGGAUUUUUGUUCACGAAAAUUUAUAUACUAGUGCAAAAGAAAGUCAGGUUUAUUUCAGAAAAACUUAUAAACUUUUUUCACUUUUUUGUAAUUAUUAAUUUUUAUUGCUCAUAUAGGGUGUAUAUGGGUAUUUUCCAGAUCAUUCACCGCUAUUGGUCCAUUCUGCAGCAGCAGUGUAACGUUCAUGAAAGGAUCCAAAUCACCCUGCAAAAACAAAUGAUUGGAUGUAAAAAUAAAAAACAGGAUUAGAAAAGUCGCAACCUGCUCUCCAAUCCCCAUGACAGCUCCUUCGGCAGAUGGCGGAAAGGAUAUCAGCAGACACUCACUCCUCACCGCAAUCCACACCUAAAUAAACAUUUGCCUCCCUUCUCCUUCUUCCACACUUUGAAUUCACGCUGCGCCCGGCUUCCUCCCAUGCAUACGAAGCAGCAGUGCUCCCAUUACUUCCCAAUUACUCCUCUCGCUCCCACCCUCUUCUACCUUCUUCCCUUCAAUUGUCAUUCUCAGUCCAUCACUCGAGCCUAGCACUAGCACUAGCAUCAUUUUCACCAACCUUCUACCCGUGCUCGGUAAUCUUCUCCCCGCGUUUCUUGGCUCGCCGCGGAAUUUCCAUCGCACCAACCACCGGCUGCACCAUAUCUUUCUUUUUCUCUCGCCUCACCGUAAUCCUGAAUUUUCAUCACGCCGACACCGACCGAGCCAUCCACCGCCCUCCACUUUCCCAGCGAGCAAAUCCAAUCUUCGCAACCACAUUGCUGCGGCCCUUCUUCCCUUUUGCACCCGAUCACCCACCCCGAUCAACUUCCUCUUCCUCCCCGCUCCCUUUCCCGUGCCGCCGUGUCCAGCAUCUGGCCGUUUGCGAGGCAGAGUCCGAUGAUCUUUGCGGCUUGAUUGCUCCGGGCGCGGCCAGAGAUCCAGCAAUCCGAGGGGAGCAAGAAGCUGCAGAGUGGUGGUACCUUUGCUCGGGCAGCUCCCUCCCAUAAAUGUCGGAGUCGGAGCUGUCCCGGAGCACGGUGCUGUUCGGGCUGCGCUUGUGGGUGCUCCUCGCCAUCGCCGUCGGCGCCGCCUCCGUGCUGCUCCUUGUCCUCCUCUCCGUCCUCUGCUUCCUCGGCUCACGCCGGCGCCGGCCAACCACCCCCGCCCACCACCUCCCCACGUCCGCGCCUCCGAGUAAGGAUGCCAGGAAGGUCAACGCGCCCGAGGGCAUCCAGGAAGCCCCCUCCCACGCCGCCGCCGCGAAGAUGCCGCUGGCGCGGGUGCUCCAGUCCCCCAUAACGCCGCCGCCAUCGGUCAAGGAGCAGCGCGUGACGUACCCGGAGCAGCCCCCGCACCACAGCCACCGGAGCAGCGGGAUGCCGUCGUCGCAGGGCAGCACCUGCGAGAGCGGGGACGGCGCGGCCCCGGCGCACCACGCGCCGAAGGCGGCGCCGGAGGUGUCGCGCCUCGGCUGGGGCCACUGGUACACGCUCGAGGAGCUGGAGACGGCGACGGAGAUGUUCGCCGACGAGAACGUGAUCGGCGAGGGCGGGUACGGGAUCGUGUACCACGGCGUGCUCGAGGACGGCACGCAGGUCGGUGUCAAGAACUUGCUUAACAACAGGUAUUUUACAGCAACUUACUAUUCAUGGAACUCGCUCUGAAAAUUUUACAGUAACUUGAAAUUGUCAUCUCGGAUGAAGGUGUUGCCAACGUUGAAAUAUCAUAUCUGUCACUAUUUGUGAAUUGCAUUGGCUAUGGAUCACUCGAGAACACCCUCGCCGAUUUGAAUUUGAAUUUGAAUUUGUGGGUGCUCCAAAUUGAAAAGCCUCUAUAUGAGCUGCAGCUUAGGUUCAGUAAUUUCAGGUAUGUUCGUAGCCAGUAGCUUCAAUGCGGCUGGUGGCGCUGCGCGCGGCCGUUGCCCACGUGAUCAGUGUCGCCUGCUGGAUUGCGUUCAUCUCCUCGUCGGCUCUGGUGCCGGUGGCACCGCCACGGCUUGUGGACAUCGGCUGGGAGGAGUAAGUGCAGAUGGCGAGGUGGUGCGAGCGAGAGCGCACUGCAACUGCUCGAUGAAAUGCCUAUGGGGGAGAGAGAUAUGAUGACAAGGACAGAGGGUAGAGAGAGAUAUUGCCAGGUGUCAGGUGUGCGAUGACCUGUCAACCCCAUGCUUAGUCAGCACGCUUUGGCUAGGUUGAGGGACAAAAAAUGUCCGGUUUAAAAAGUUGAAGUGCAAGUUUCCCGGAUUUGGGGUUAAGGAACAAAACCCAAACUUGUCGAUUAGUUGACGGACUAAAAAUAGGUUUUUCUUCAAUGUAUAUGUUCAACUUUUUAGGACCGGCUUGGAUUGGUCAAUGUUUAGUGUGUUACUCAAACUAAUGAAAAUUUUGUUUUCUUGACUUGUUAGGGGGCAGGCGGAGAAAGAAUUCAAGGUUGAGGUCGAAGCAAUUGGGCGUGUUCGGCACAAGAACCUGGUGCGCCUUCUAGGAUAUUGUGCCGAGGGGAAUCAAAGGUAUUAUCUUGUUGUUCGUGCACGUUAUUUGAUUACUUUGGUGAGUUGUAGAAUCAACAAUUAUGGAUCGUGGCGAUGUAAGUGUUGCUCAUUCUGUUAUUUUUAGGAUGCUUGUGUACGAGUAUGUUGAUAACGGCAACUUGGAACAAUGGCUCCACGGGGACGUUGGACCUGUAAGCCCCCUUACAUGGGAACAUAGGAUGAAGAUCAUACUAGGGACAGCAAAAGGGUGCGUGUUGCUCAGAUUGGAUAACUCUUAUUAUUGGUGACAUUUUGCCUAGUCACGUAAACAUCUCACACUAUGUAGUGUAGGUUAUUGUAUUUGCAUGAGGGGCUUGAACCAAAGGUGGUUCACCGGGACGUCAAGGCAAGCAACAUCCUUCUUGAUAAGCACUGGAAUGCUAAGCUCUCCGAUUUCGGACUUGCGAAACUCUUAGGCUCAGAGCGAAGUUACGUAACUACACGAGUUAUGGGAACUUUCGGGUUAGUUUCUCUGCAUUGCCUGCACCUAUGGUGAUAUUGUAAUGUGGGAUGAAUUAGUGGUUACUAAUUUGUUGUUGAUCAUUGCAGGUACGUUGCUCCAGAGUAUGCGGGGACUGGGAUGUUAAAUGAAACAAGCGAUGUAUAUAGUUUUGGGAUCCUUGUCAUGGAAAUAAUAUCUGGUAGAGUACCAGUGGAUUAUAACAGGCCACCUGGAGAGGUUAGCUAUUGAUGUGUCUUUGUAUAUCCUUAUGAGCUUGUUAAUGCAUUUUUUACUGGAACUUGUUAGCUGCAUUUAUUUCUAUAAUUAAACAUUUUCAGGCAAAUUUAGUUGAUUGGCUAAAGACAAUGGUGAGCACCCGGAACUCUGAGGGGGUUGUGGAUCCAAAGAUGCCCCAGAAGCCUGCCUCUAGAGCAGUGAAGAAAGCUUUGCUCGUGGCGUUGCGAUGUGUGGACCCUGAUGCUUCCAAGAGGCCAAAGAUUGGACAGAUCAUUCACAUGCUUGAAGUUGAGGAUUUCCCCUACAACAGAGAUGUAGGUCAAUAAAGUCAUACAUUCCUAAUCUGGAUUUUCAUUUGAUUUGGACAUUCAUGAUCGUAAAGACAAUGAAACAUAUGAAUAAGAAAACAUCAUCUUAUUGCUAAUUUCAGGAACGUCGAGGCGGUAGAGCUCCAACGAAGGCAAGGUUGCCCGGGAAACCGACUAACGGAAUAGAUGAUGGCGAAAUUGACAACAGUGGGGACCAUGACCAACCUUUCAGAUGGAAAAAUACAGUGGCCUAGGCAUUUGUUCAGUUACCAAAUCAUGUGGAACCCCAUGUUGUAAAUAGGGGCAAUACCUGGUGAAGCCGCAAACUGUCAUUAUUUUAGUGUCAGCCAUGGAGGACAUCACAUCAUAUGUAUAUGUCAUCAAAGGAACGCGGCAGCGGUAGUAGUAAUCCUUGAUUAUUUAUCCAAUUGGAGAUGUUUUUACAUGAUAAUGUUGUGAUCCUUUUAAGUUAACAACAGAAUGUUAAAGCCCUCAGACGGCCUUUGGUUAAAAACUGGCCAGCGUUUGUGACUUGCACUGACGCUGACACCAUUUAAAGAAGCUUCACAUUUAAAGAAGUUUGACUUAAGACAAUACCAAACUUUCACUUAAUUUGGAACUGUGGGGGUACUUAGUACUGGAGAUCAAAGAAGAACAACCAAAAUGUGAAGCUGGUUGUUCAGUGAUGGCGUCUACAUCUAAUCCGGGUUUCUUUUUCCUUCUGUUGCCUUCUUGUUUGAACAUGUGAGGAACUUUGGCCAAUGUGGUUAAAAAAUGUGAUUAUUCGUGUGCCCGUGUACAAAUAACCAUAAGAUAUUUCUCGUUUGAAGGGCAUGAUCAUUUCUAGAGUUACUUCUAAAUUAGUUCAUUUGUAGAAUUUCAUAUUUUUGGAGUUUAUAAAGUCAGUACACCCACUGUUCUAAAUUAAUUGGAGUUGUAGAUAUGUCUGAAGUCAAACUUGUUUAACUUUGACCAAUGGUACAUGAAAAUAUCCUGAAAUCUACAAAUCUAAUAUCAAAAAUACGAAAAUAUAUUUUAUAAAGAACCUAAUGAAACUAAUCUGAUUUUGUAGAUGUUAAUUUUUCUGUAAACUUGAUCACAUUUAAAGAAGUUUGAAUUAAGACAAAACCAAACCUUCAAUUAAUUUGGAAAUGGGGGAGUAUUUGGUGCCGGAGAUAAAAAACGAAGACCAAAAUGUGAAGCUAGUUGUUCAGGGAUGGCAUCUACAUCUAAUCCGGUAUUUUCCUUUUGUUGCCUUCUUGUUGGCACAUGUGAGGAACUUUGACCAAUAUGGUUAAGACGUCGAUGUACAAAAUUAAAAGAAAUAGAUGGUGCCUGCCUGGCAUCCAUGUCAGGGCUAUAAUUCUCAGAACACAAAAGCUCUUUCCAGCUGAAACAAAAUGUUAGCUGAUAUGUCGUGACCGUGACUGGAGCUUUUCUUAAUGCAGCACGCAUGAAGUAUGCACAUGCAGUUAAGCAUCAUCGUUUGACAAACCUGCAAACUGCCAGCAACAACCAAAUUGGCAUGUUCAGAAGUUGAAGCUUAAGAAAGAAUAUCAAACCAAUAAUGCAGAGAGCCUAGCCAGCACGAUGAGUACAGCUUGGCCAAGAUGCAAACGAGAGAGAGGGAGAGAGAGAUGCAAUGCUACAGUGAAUACAACAAAGUACAGAAAGAAUGAAAAAGAAAUCUUCUUCCACUGUGCUGCACAAGCUGUUAUCUGUACCGUCUUUUGUUACAAGAUUUAUUUUUUAUUUUUUUACGGAAAUGAUCGGAUCUAUUGUAAAAGUUCACGGAAAUACAACUCAAACAUACUAAAAACUACAUCGAGAUUCCAAGACAACCGAACGAUCACUACUGCCGUCAGAACGAGCCGUCGAUGCGUCGUUCCCCUACCGUAGCCGGCUUGACCUUAUCGAUGACAACCAGUAAGUCUUCAUGCACGUGCCCAUAAGGACCAUCAUCCUAGAGCCGCAUUCGUCGCUGUUUAGCCCUUGCAUAGAUCUGAAUCACCUGACACCAAAUCUCACCACAUGACAAGAAACCCUAACCUCACAGCCUGAAGGAGACGGCGGGAAUCUACGCCGGAGCUCCGUCGACUACGUCCAAAUGGACGAACUCGAGGAGGAUCGAAACCCGGAAGACAAACUCAAAGAAGAUGCACCGUCAUCCACCCGAGUGCCGCACCUGCGAGAACUAAAAAACCCUAACUUAAACUACUAACCGAAACAGAGGCAACGAGAUUCUCCUCCCCGCCAUCGGAUCGGCAAGCAGAGGGGAGGCGAAACCACGGGCUCGCCGGUGAAGUCUGGAGGAAAAAGUUUGCCCUGGCCACCUAGGGUUAGGGGAGGAAACGAGAGGAAGUCACGUUUGUGCGCAAAGAAAUACUUUUCUGUUACAAGAUUAUGUGGAGAGUGCAAGGAACUUGAAGAUCGUAUUUAUCUGUUUGAGCUACUCUCUCGACUAUAUUAUUUUUAAACACUUUCGCCCUGCUUUAUGGAUAAAGCAUCAACCAUCUCCGUACACCAUUUUUUUUAAAUACGUUUUCGCUCCGCUUUAUAGAUAAAGCAUCAACCAUGUUCAUACACCAAGUUAGCCAAGUACAGGAAAAAUAAAUAAGAGAUUUGUUGGGGCAACAACACAAGACAUGCCCAAAAGAGAAAAAGGGAAAGCAAUACAUGAAUCCUCAUAAACGAGGAAUCAACUGCUAGGAGGCUCGGCGAGCUGACAGUCGAGCACCUGAACAUUAUCCAACAUGUUACCUAGUCGGUCUCUGUCCCACCGCCUAUAUAGCAGGGACUAUUAAUAUUCUUCCCCGUGUUUGGCUACUAGAUGAAGCUCUAGUUUCCCUCCGAAAGGAUGAAUUAAUAACACUUUUGAGCUUAGAUUUGAGCUUGUCCAUAUUCUGAAAUUUUUCAACGUAUCAUUACAAAGUGAGAUUUGUUCUUAAUAAAUGCGGGAAACAGCUCCACUAAGCUUAUAGUGACUAUAUCAUGCAUCAUAACUACUCCAGAAAAUUUCAAAUCAUCAUGCAAACUCGUUUUCUUGUUUAACAACAGUAGAAAACAUAGCAUGAUAUACGACACUGAUCAAAAUUCUAAUAGGAUGAGUGGAGGAGAAACAUACCAUUGAGUAAUCCCCCAAAGUUUCAACACAUAUACUUGGUGAGAGAGGAAGAUAAACAAUGUGCAUCAAGAAGAGCUUGGAAACUUAAAAAAAAAUGUCAUUCUUGAGGAAGGUGGAAGAAACCUCCCAUGCCCAAGCCCUUGUGUGGGUGGCUAGUGGGCCCCACACAACUCUACCAGGCGGCCACUCCUCGACCGUAACGAUCUGGCCCCAUCGUGUGGGCCUUUUGGAGGUCCUGGAUGGGCCUCCACGUGCCACCGGUGCUCAUUUAUUUAUUUGUGCACUAAAAUGGUUUUUGAUCAUUUUUUACAUUUUAUUUUGACCACUUUUUAUUAUUUAAUAAAGGUGCUUAAUGACAGUAAAAACUCUACUUGAAAGCUUUAACUAAAAUAAAAGGUACAUGUAGGUCAGAUGGGGAAAUAUUGAAAACUUUUGACUUUGUAAUCACCAAGGAUUCUAUUAGGGAGGGUGAUCAAGCAUUUUUAGCAAUUAUUCAUGGAUUACGAAAUCAGUUAUAUGCUUGUGUUACCUCCACUUGAGCAUGGUUCCAACCAUAAUUAUUCGAUACAGGGUGCAUUUGAAAUUGGGAACUUCCAAUAUGAAUGAUCGUCACCCACUUUGACGGAGGACAAUAUUUAUUUUCAUUGAUUUUGGCAUUCCUUGGGAAAUAAACAGUGUGUUCACUUCCUUCAUUAUUAAAAGUAACUUUUGCUUGAGUGAAAUCAGUAAAAUCCCAUGUAGUGUUUAAAAUGGUCUUGCAGGAAUAAAGAGAGAAGGGUACUACAUGAGCUAUUUAAACACUACAUGGUCUUGUAGUAACAUUCAACUUUUGCAUAGGCAAAAAAUUACAUGGGAUUUUAAAAUGGUCUUGCAGUAAAAUCCCAUGUAGUGCAAUCAGCAAUUUCUUUAGCAAUAACAUUCAGCUUUUGCAUAGGCAAAUAGUCAUGAGCAAUUUCUUCCAAGUUGAUUAUGCUUCUAGGUGGAAAAUAAUUGAACCAUAUCUUAGCAUCACCUCAAAGUGAAAAAGUAAAUAACUUAGGCGUGUAAUGGUGAAGGUACAUGCCUUUCUUAGCAAAAAAGAUUUCAAAUUCCUCAAGCUUCACUAUAUGAUCGUAAGGAUUUUCAUACUCCCUACCGUUGAACCCAUUUGAUUCAACAAUAUAUAUCAGGUUCAACAGAGAAUCCACUAGCAUUAUCUUUAAAAUAUAUGGUAGAAGCGCACAAUUCAUUGUCGGGGAUAAACAUCUCCCAUAAAGCUCUCCUUCUAAAUAGUCCAAUUCUAGCAUCAAGAUCAUUAUUAGUUUCACAAUUCACAAAAGAUGUAGCAAAGUUUUAAUCAUACACAAUGGGUGUACGUGGAGUGUUUGGUUCCCUAAGUUGUGAAGUGGAUGCAUUAGCAGCCUCAUCAAGUUAUUUUGCUCUAUAAAUGUACAUAUCUAAAAAUUCUCCAAAGAACCCAUAUAAGCAAUAUCAAGUAUAAGAUCAUCACUAACAUGUUGGAUUGUGUAUCAGGUGCACAUAGACGUGUGGGUGGUGUGACUAGUUAAUUUAAAACUAAUGAUGAAUCAAGAACAUGUUCUGGUUUUGAAGGCACAAUUUUUACCUUCGAGUCUUGAGUUGUUCCCAUGAUGGAAAAUGAAUUCAGUAAACAAGUAAUUCCCAAGUUGACUUAUACAUACAUCUAUAACACUAUGCUCCCUAGUUUUAAAGUGACCACAUUCAAUUGAGGUCUUCAAUUGAAAUUGGGUCACCUGAUUUUGACUGGGUCAACAAUUUUUUAAAGUUCUCUCAUUCAAUUCGUUUAUACUAUAGGCUAUGCUUCCUAAUUUUUAAGGUCUCACUAUUAAUUGAGGUGUUGAAUUUAUAAUUGGGUCACCCGAUUUUGACCGGGUCAACAAUUUCUCAAGAAGCUCUCUCAUUCAAUUCUUUUAAUUCCCUAUGUUCCCUAAUUUUGAUGCUCUUUCAUGCAAUUAAGGUAUUCAACUUUUGGAUUAAGUAUAUGAUUUUGACCGGGCCAACAAUUUUUCAAGUCAAUCAGCAGCAACCGGCCUAUAAAAACACAUCAAUUCCGCGCACCCUCCCACCACCUAGAAAAAAGAAGCACCACCAUGUGAUGUUGUAGCACCAAUAUAGUACAUGCAACCACUGACGCAGAAAUUUCCCCACAUAAACAUACGUUGGUUAGCGGAUAACACGGAACCACAUCACGAAAGACCCAUCAAAUCACCGCAUUAUAAAAAAAACACAAAUCCAUCAUCUCCCCACCGGUCAAACUAAAUAUUCCAUCAGUUCCAAAAUACAAGGGGUAUUACUUUUUGGAAAGUUAAUUUUCUUUAACUUUGACCAGUUCAGAGCAAAAAAACCGCAUCCACAUUAUUAAACAAAAAAGUACGGAAAUUUAUUUCAAGAUGAAUCUAAUCAUACUGAUUUGAUAUUAUAGAUUCUGAUUUAUUUAUCUACAAAUUUGAUCAAACUUAAAAGGUUUGACUUUUUAAAAAAAAGUAAUACACCUUAUGUUUUGAAACCGAGUGAGUAACUUUUUUUAAGAAACCCAAUAACACCAAUGGUGCAGCAAAGCACACCCAACCCUUCUAGUACAUAGAUCUACGCUACCUGACAACGACACCAGAAAGUGCUUGAUAUCCCCCAAGUGCAAAGGAUCACAUUACUCUCCAUUGAGAAGCAUUACAACCCUAAUUUAUAUUUGACAUGGUUGGAGCCAGAGAAUACUUAUAAUUUUUAGCAGUUGAGUUGUCAAUUCCACAAUCAUCUGGAAACAAUAUUUGAUCAAGAAUUUUUUUAGUAUAAAAUGCCCGCAGUAAUUGUGAUUGUUGCAUGUUUUAUACAAAAGUAAAUGAAAGCAGCAAAUACCUAGCGGUUGCCAAGUAUCAAGUAUCUUAAAGAGAAAGCCAAUUAUAUGAAAAAAUAGGCACAUGGUUGGUUAAUGGGAGGUUGAGUGUAUCCAAUGUAAAAAAUGUUUGCGUAAUGUAAAAGAAAUGUUCCGUACCAUUAAAAAAUGUACGUGACAUUUUAUGGAAAUAUUCUCAUGCUUUGAAAAAAAUUCAUGAAUCUCUUGAAAAUUUAUAUAAAAUGUAAAAAAAAUUCAUAGGUUAAAAAAUGUCUAUUUUCACUAUAAAAAUGUAUAUGACAUUUUAAGGAAAUAAUCACGUGUUUGCAAAAAAAUGUCUAUGAAAAUUUUCCAAAAUGUUUAUACAAUCAAAAAAUGUUUGCAUAGUUUAGCAAAAAUGUUUAUUGCCAUUUAGAAAAGUGUACAAUGUGUAUUUGGCAAAAUUAUUACCAUGAAUUCAAAAAAGUGUUCAAAACAUGUAUUUUUAUAAAAGUUUACAUCAUGUAUUUGAAAAAUGUCCAUCGUGUAUCAUAAAAAUGUUCCAUGGGUGCUCUAAAAUAUACAUAUGUGCUGAGAAAAAAGUGGAUAUGUUUUGAAAAAUAAAACCGAUAAAAACCUACAAAAAACAAAAAAACCAGAGUAAACAAAGAAAAUCAAGAAAGAAACAAAAAAAAGACAAAGUAUAUACGAUGAAAGAGAAACCAAAAACCAAGGAGAAAACAAAGAAAACCAAAGCAAAAUGAAGAAAAAAACUAAGAAAACCAGUGAAAAUAAAUAAAACCAAAGAAAUUAAAAAAUACAACGCACAUCGAACUAUCCGUACUACUGGGCCGGCCCACUAGACGUCGCCCAUAGGCGAUUUCUACCAGGAAUCGGUACAAACAACAUAUAGCCCUGACAGUAAUAAAGCACUCCGGUGAACUAGGAAAACCAAUGACAACAACAAAGACACUAACAAAGUCCCAAAAGAGUUGAGGUCGACCACCACCACACCCUGUAGGCGUAGCGGGGUGCCUCGCACUAAGGGCAUCUCCAACGCUAGGCGCUAAGAGAGGGGGCUAGAAAAAUGGUCCUAGCCGAUCGGAUGACACACGGAUUGCUAUUUUCUACCAAUGUUUAGCGCCGAUGGUUAGCGCCCAGCGUUGGGAUAGAUGACGCUUGGUGCUUUAAAAAAAUUCUGGUAUUUAUUUUUUUCUGUUUAAGCGCCCAGAUAAGCGCUCUUGCCCUAAGCGGCACAUAGCCGCGCACAGUAGGGUGCAGUAAACAGUUUUUACACCUUUUUAGAUGAAAUAGUUUUUGCAUUGUACACACAAUUUUCCAAGAAGAGUGUCCUAAUUUCGAAACCCAGAGCAUAGAUACAUUCCCGGGCCGUAUUUUUGCAUUAGUUUUGCGCCAUCAAAGCAGGCCCUUAGACUUCCUCUCCUGGCCUCAUGUUCCAAGCCCACGUCUCUUCACCAAGAGAAAAAAAAGGCUCCAAGCCGCCCCAAUGCGGCUCUAAAAACCUCCUCUUCCCCUGUACCCUAGAGCUGCCGCCGCGCCGUAGCUUAGCGUCACCGCCGACGCCUCAACCCCCAACCCUCAACCGGCCAACCCCUCCGCCUCUCGCUCGCGGGCGCCGCCGCCAUCGCCGUUGCCGCUCAAGCUCGUCGCCUCCCUGCCAUCCCAGCCCCGUCCGCAAUUUUUGCCGUUGGUCUCUGAGGUAUGAGCUCGUGUCAUCCAUGUUUAGUUAAACCCCUGACCUCGAGAAAUGCUGGGUGUGCGGGCGCUUACCCGGUGCGCCAUCUAGAUCCGCCCCUGCCCCUGCUUAGCGUAUCUUGCCGGAAUUGAUUCGUUUCGCUUUUAUGUUCCCGGUCCGUUUGUUCUGGCAAUUUUCUGUGUAUUUUUAAUUAUAAAUGUUUGAUGCGGUGAAGUGCUAAUUUCUGUAUAUGGCUGGGGGGAAUUAAAUUGAGAACUUUCUGAGACACUCCACUCAGUUCGCGUACGAAAGCGCCCACUGUUCACUGUUGGGACACAUAAUCUGUUUUUGGUACUGUUGUGGUUUAGAGUUUGUUCUUACUGGUACCGUGGUAUUGGAAUCUUUCAAGCUGGCUAAAUCCACACCAUUCUUGACAUUUUAAGUGGCAAUUCUGGUGUAGCGCUGCUCCUAGCAAUGUUUUCUUUCCUCUUAGGGGGUUAAUUAAAUGUUUCUGAUGUUAUCCUGCUGCAAUUGACUCAUGUUCCUGAUCUGAUAAGGUAGGCUGUAUCGAAGAAAUGGAAGAGGUGGAGAAUUCCAGCAAGCGUAAAGCACCCGAGCUGAGCUCGGAGGACAAUUCCUCCGCUGCCGUUCUGGACGAGCAGCAGUCGCUGCCUGGCUUGACUGCCAAGCGUCCGAACCUUGCCCGGUCGUGCAUCCAUGAGGUCACUGUCCCCAACGGCUACGAUAUGUCCAAGGAUGAGGCCGUACAUGGGACCCUUUCAAACCCUGCGUUUAAUGGGGAGAUGGCCAAGACAUACCCGUUUCAGCUCGACCCCUUCCAGAGCAUCUCCAUCGCGUGCCUGGAGCGGAACGAAUCUGUCUUGGUCUCGGCUCACACCUCUGCGGGGAAGACGGCCAUCGCUGAGUACGCCAUUGCAAUGUCGUUCAGAGACAAGCAGAGGGUUAUAUACACCUCUCCGUUGAAGGCUCUGAGUAAUCAGAAGUACAGGGAGCUUACUCAGGAGUUCUCUGAUGUUGGAUUGAUGACUGGCGAUGUCACGCUUCAGCCAAAUGCUACUUGCCUGGUCAUGACAACAGAAAUCCUGAGGGCGAUGCUUUAUAGGGGCUCCGAGGUGAUCAAGGAAGUUGGUUGGGUUAUAUUUGAUGAGAUCCACUACAUGAAGGAUCGUGAGAGAGGCGUUGUGUGGGAAGAGAGUAUAGUUUUCCUGCCCCCUGCCAUCAAGAUGGUCUUUCUUUCUGCUACCAUGUCAAAUGCAACCGAGUUCGCUGAGUGGAUAUGCAAUCUGCACAAGCAGCCUUGUCAUGUGGUGUACACAGACUUCAGGCCAACACCGCUACAGCACUAUGUGUUCCCAAUAGGUGGGUCUGGUCUCUACCUUGUAGUGGAUGAAAAUGGUCAGUUCAGGGAGGAUAAUUUUCUAAAGCUGCAAGACACAUUUGCAAAGCAACCUAGUCAACCAGAUGGGAGGAAGGGCGGUGGGCCUAAAGCCAGUGGCCGAAUCGCAAAAGGUGGAAAUGCUUCUGGAACAUCUGACAUAUACAGAAUUGUCAAGGUAGGCAGUCACUGCAUACUGUAUGCAAGAUAAUUUCUGGACUUAUUGUGCUUUCUAAAUUUAUCAACAAUAGAUGGUUACACUUUCUUCAGCUUGCAUGGAUAUUUUGUAAUUCACCACUCACUGGGUUAGGAAACUAGGCCGCAAUUACGUCUUACUUUUCAGUAUUCACUGUUUAGUUGUUGAUGUUUUAUACCUAGUUCAAUUCUUUCCACUCAUAUCCUCGCUUAAUUUCGAUUGAAUUAUAAUUCUGCAGAUGAUUAUGGACCGCAAGUUUCAACCAGUCAUAAUUUUCAGCUUUAGUAGAAGAGAAUGUGAGCACCAUGCCAUGUCGAUGUCAAAACUUGAUUUCAAUACUCAGGAAGAAAAGGAUAACAUCGAGCAGGUUUUCCGUAGUGCUAUUUUCUGUUUAAGUGAGGAAGAUAGAGGGUUACCUGCUAUAGAGUUGAUGUUGCCUCUUCUUAAACGAGGUAUUGCAGUACACCAUUCUGGACUGCUUCCAUUAAUUAAAGAGCUGGUGGAAUUGCUCUUCCAAGAAGGUCUUGUGAAAGCUCUGUUUGCUACUGAGACGGUGUGCCCUUUAACCCUGAUUACCCGCUUGGCCUUAUACUUAUUUUGUCCCUUUACAUGUAGUAUAACUUGGAAUUACAUUCCUCAAAUGGACUUCUAUUCUUUGUUUUUGAACUACGGAAAGUCAGAGAACUAUUGUCUUAUACUUUCUGGAAUGCAUCUUACACUCUUUAGGAGCACCAUUUGAUUGAUAAUGAUUGUUAUUUCCUCAGUUUGCCAUGGGCCUGAACAUGCCUGCAAAAACAGUUGUCUUCACAUCUGUCAAGAAAUGGGACGGUGAUAGUAACCGCUAUAUUGCUUCUGGAGAAUAUAUACAGGUAAAUAUUUUGUAUAUGAAGAGAAGUCGGGCAUAUGGAUAGAUUUAUUAGGUUGAUUGAAUUUUGUACAAGCCCUUCUCACUAUAUUUUUGUAUGCAUUUGUAGAUGAGUGGACGAGCUGGUCGACGUGGCAUGGAUGCACGUGGUAUUUGUGUUAUAAUGAUUGAUGAGAAGGUAAGGCUGUGCAGUCUUCUGUUGCAACUAUCUUUGUUUUAUUUAAUAAAUUUUAUAAAGCACUAUGAUCAUGCAAGAAGCUUUGUUUUCUCUUUGUUGACUGAACAAGCCUAAUGAACUCUUCAUUUAAUACAAUGAUUUGAUCAAAUGCAUCCCUAUCCAGAUUCUGCAGUUGUCUUUUUGGGUUGAUUAAGCAUAAUGAAAUGUGACAACUGAUAACUGCUUUAUUUUUGUCUGAUGCAAAUGGUUUCUAUUUCACUUCUAGUCAUGGUUCUCAUUGCAAUAGAUGUUUAUCAGUUUUGAUAUUUAAAGUUUUAAACUAUAACAGUUUCAUCGUUAUUCGUAUGCAGUGAGUUAAGAUGUGUUUUAAGACUUUACAUUUGAAAGAUAUAUGACCUGUUCCAACCUCUCACCUCUGAGUAGUUGUGUUGAGUGUCAUUUUGUGCUGUUGAAGUUGUCCACCCAAGAGAUGGCGUUCCAUGUUCAUAUUUGGAUUUAAUUCUCAUAUUGAUAUUCACUUAGCUUGCAGUUGCAGUAGUUAUGCAAAUUUAAUUUGUUCUGACUUCUUAGUGGUUGUGUUAACAUUCACUUUGCGCUAUUGGAGCUGUCCUUCAAGACACUUAUUUCAUCCUAUAUUCAUGCUUGAAUUGCCUUCCAUAUCAAGACACUAUAUCAAGAUUUGUUUUGUAAGCCGUGGUUCUUAUGCAACUUAAAUACACUGAGCUUUUGUGGCGUGCUCAUGCGCUUCCUUUAGUCAGACUUUUGCUUGGUCUUAAUAUGAGUUAAAUUUACAGAUGGAAAUGAGUGUUAUCAAGGACAUGGUGUUAGGUAAACCAGCGCCUCUCAUCAGUACUUUUCGACUGAGCUACUACACUAUUCUGAAUUUACUGAGUCGUGCGGAGGGCCAAUUUACUGCCGAACAUGUGAUCCGGAAUUCAUUCCACCAGUUUCAGUAUGAAAAGGUUUGUAUCAGGACCUCUUAUAGAUGCCUCUCCUGACAUUUCCUUGGCAAUGUCAAAUAUUAGCUUCCCUUGCUCUUCAGGCAUUACCGGAAGUCAUUCAGAAGAUUACAAAGUUGGAAAAUGAAGCUACAUUGCUGGACUCUUCCGGAGAGGUAUGCUAUUUUAAUUGUAGUAAUACAUAACUGUUCUUCUGCUUGACUAACGUCUUAACACUUCUCUGUACAGAAUGAUCUUGCCGAGUAUCACAAGUUAGGGCUUGAUAUAUCUGAACUUGAAAAGAAAAUCAUGUCUGAGAUGAUUAGACCAGAGAGAGCUUUGUUAUAUUUGGUCCCUGGAAGGCUGGUACGUAACUCUAUUUCUCAUAGGUUCUGUUCUUUCUUGAGGAUGAGAUAUACAUGUUCAUUAAUGCUUGAUAUAUUUGAACUUGACAGCACUACAGCAGGAAUGCUGUAUCUAGUUAUGUUCACCAUUUUAUUUUAUUUGUUGAACCGCAGCUUUGUUUUGACUAUGAUGUUGGUUUUAUAAAAUUUGCACAAAUUCCCUUGCACUCAGAGCAAUUUGCUUCAUGGCAGGUUAAAGUCAGAGAUGGCUCAACAGACUGGGGGUGGGGUGUGGUCGUAAAUGUUGUGAAGAAACCUCCAGCAUCUAGUACUCUCCCCCCUGCAUUAAGUGCACCUCGCAAUAACUAUAUAGUGGAUACCUUGCUUCAUUGUUCUUCAAGUUCAAGUGAGAAUGGAGCCAAUGGACCACGUUCAAAGCCAUGCCCACCUCGCCAAGGGGAGAAGGGAGAAAUGCAUGUGGUGAGUUGAAGCACAUGAUCAAGGGUUUUAAUUGGUGGCAUAUCUUUUCAGUUCACUGGACUCGCGUUAUGAUGGUCAUUUAUCCCAAAACUAUUUUUGACUAAUGCUGAGGUUUAUGCAGGUGCCUGUACCAUUACCUUUAUUAUCUGGUCUAAGCAGCGUUAGAAUCAGCAUUCCAACUGAUCUACGACCACCUGAAGCGAGGCAAAACAUACUCUUUGCAGUUCAAGAACUAGGAAAACGUUACCCCCAAGGGCUUCCAAAGCUACAUCCAAUUACGGUGAAAAUUCUUUUUACAUGAUGCCGCUUUUUAAUCUUGUUAAUGUUGCACUGCAAGUGACAUUUCUGUCUAGAGAGCGGAAAUUCCAAAAAAAGAAACGCUGCAAAAUAUCUCAUCAGGAUUUAGAUGGACAUUUUUUUGGCACUUAGCAUGCCACUCACCCAUGCAUGAUACACAGGCAGAGAACACAGAUGCAAUAGCUCAAAUAACAAUAUCCGUUGAUGUCUUCUUGUGCUCUACCUUCUGUUGUCAUUUUUUUUUCUGUCGUAUUUAGCUGGUCCAGUUCCUGGGAGCAUAUUUUCUUAUCAUCUGGCAUUGUAAAGUGAUCUCUUUGAUAUUCUGAUAUAAUCUGAUACAAUUAAUAGGACAUGGGUAUUGAAGAAACUGAAUUAGUUGACUUGGUUCAUAAACUUGAUGGCCUCGAGCAGAAAUUAUGUUCUCAUCCACUUAAUAAGGUAUGCCUUGUCAUCACCUUUCAAUUAAGAAAUGUCCAGUCCUUUUGUACUGUGACCCACUUAUUUUUUGCUAUUUUUGUGUCUUAGUCUGAUCAAAGUGAGCAGCAACUGUCAUGGUACCAAAGAAAGGCUGAACUGAACCAUGAAAUUCAACAACUAAAGUCAAAGAUGCGGGAUUCACAGGUUGGUUAGUUCUUUGUAUACUUGAUCGUUCGUACAGAGCUAAAUGUGUUCUUACGCUUUUCUCCUCCAUUCAGCUGCAAAAAUUUAGGGAUGAACUAAAGAACCGGUCUCGCGUUCUGAAGAUGCUUGGUCACAUUGACACGGAUGGUGUUCUCCAGCUAAAGGGACGUGCUGCCUGUUUAAUAGACACUGGGGAUGAGCUGCUUAUCACUGAACUUAUGUUCAACGGUACUUGCUUAAUAUGAUACCAUGUUCAGUUUCUUUUUUGUACUUUAUAUUCAGGAUUUCAUUAAUAUGCUGUACGUGACUAGGUACAUUUAAUGAACUUGAUCACCAUCAAGUUGCUUCUGUUGUUAGCUGCUUUGUACCGUGUGAGAAGUCAAGUGAGCAAAUACGCCUGAGAAAUGAACUUUCUAAGCCAAUGAUGCAACUCUCGGAGGCUGCCAGAAAAAUAGCUGAGGUGCAUACAUACUUGUUGUAUCACCACUAUUUACUAUCUCACUAGUCCUUAUACUUGUAGUGGGAUCUCUGAUUUCUCAUUCUUGUUUUAGGUACAACGAGAAUGCAAAUUGGACGUAAAUGUGGAGGAAUACGUUGAAUCAACUUGUAAACCCUAUCUGAUGGAUGUCAUAUACUGCUGGUCAAAGGUUGGUCAGACUAUGCAUGUGCAGUUUGUGAUGUCAUACAUUUUUUGUCUUUUUGGAAAUUUCCAGCCAUUGAUAAAAUCUUAUUUCCAGUUGUGACAUUUGAUCAUUAUCAUGCCUAAUCACCCCAUCAGAUGCAAUGUUACUCUACAUGGUUAAUUCUGUUGCAGUUUCUUUACCUCUAUAUCGAUUCCUGAUUAUCAUGUUCACACAGGGCGCGACCUUUGGAGAGGUGAUAGAAAUGACUGACAUUUUUGAAGGAAGCAUCAUACGGCUAGUUAGGAGGCUGGAUGAAUUUCUAAAUCAGGUAUGUGUUGCGUAUGCUACGCCCUACCAGUACCUGCUCUCUCCAUUCGCAGAUGCAUGUUGUUUGGGACAUUGAUAUGGUCUCCAACAUACAUCUUUGACUGUUACUUUAUACAUGUAUAUGCUUGUAAAAAAUAUGGAAAUUUUCAUUUUGUGAAGUUAUUUUUCAUGAAAAAUCUAAAAGUAUUAUUUUCCCUACCAAUGUCAAUAUUUAUAAUUAUUUUAACAGUCAAAGCUAUACAAGUUUGACUGCAUGCUUUGUAAGACGACACAUACUCUAUUUAGGAAAGGAAGCAGUAAAUCACUUGGACAAUCAGAAUGUCUGGCAUUGAAUGUCCUGUUUGGAUCAAUGUGCAAGUGAAUCAAAAAUUGUCUGCCUUUGAAUAUCCCCUUCGGAUCAAUGUGCAUCCGUGUCGAGGAAGUUUAAUACUGUGACAUUGCCGAAUAUGACGUACAAGUUGAAGUCUAGCCGAAAUCAUUCCAUGACUCAAUUACUCACCAAAAAAAAAGCUAAACCAACUAAAAUUGUCGUACUCGUACUGCCUGAUUUCAUAGCUUGCUUGGCGUGGUAAGUAGCUGGUAUUUAUUUGGAUGUAGUGGUUGACUUGUGUUGCCUCUGUACAAGGAAAUGUAGCCACAUACCUAUGUUGCUUCUGUGGAGGUUGACUAUGUUGCCUCCGUAGAGGUUGACUAUAGUAAUUGUGACUGGCAUCCACAUUCUUCUAUGCCUUUUUCUGCAUGCCUACCACUUCAUUUUCCUGUUCCCAAGUCUGUACAUAGUCAACAGAAGUAGACGUGCAUUGUUUUACUUCUCGAACCUAACUGACUGUGUGACUCUGUUUAUACCAGCUAAAAGCUGCUGCUGAAGCCGUUGGGGAGGUAAACCUUGAGAAGAAGUUUGGGUUGGCGAGCGAGAGCUUGCGCCGGGGUAUCAUGUUUGCCAACUCAUUGUACCUGUGAUCAGUGGAGCUCCAGCAGUUGUACCAUACGGGGUAUAUGUUAGCAUAUCAAAUGUAGCUGUCUUGUAUUUUGUCUUUGACAUGGCAUGGAGAUGUAGCCCUCAUCUGUCGCAGCGUAGGAUGUAACCUUCUACUUUAGUAAACCCUUAGGCCGCAACCGUUUCAUCAGAAGAUUAGAAGCAAUCUGCUAUACAUCAACAUUUUUACAAGUGGUCCGAUGCCUGAAAUGGCACCAAGUUAUAUUAUACCUGUCUCAUUUUAGACAUUAUUAUGUGAUGCUGUGGUUAGCAGGUUUUGGAUGUGUUGUCAUCAAGCAAUCCUCUUUACAUCGCCGUGGCAUGUGUUAUGGAGUCUAGUUAGCUACUGAAAGAUUAUGCCCUGAAGACACUUCAGGGAGUUCUUUUUUUAUGCAUUUAGAAACGAGUUAUUCGAAAAUUACUGCAUUGCUGAAUGAAUGUGAUAUAUCAGUCCAUAGCGUUAUGUUCAUAACAAACAUGAAUGAGUCUAGUUAUUGAAGUAAGAGAUCGCCAUAUUUUUUGAAAAUGCAGCAGAUGUUGUUAUAGCAGAAUUGUUGAAUUACUGGUCCUUGCGUGUGCAGUUUGAAAUGUUAAAUUAAAUUUUAUUUGCAAGUUAAAGAAAUGCAUGAUCAAACUGUGACCUUGUCAUUGUAUUGUACAGCUAUACAAUAUAAGUAAUUUUGCCCCCCACACUCUCACAAGCCCUUUAAUUUAAGAAUGCCUUAAUGUUUCAAACAUUCCAAGCUGAACUGGCCUUCAGAGGUGAGUGACGACACUAAAGCGGUUUAAGAAACAACAGCAAACAAAUAUUAUAUGUCAGGAACUUUGUACAUAGCCAAACUUCUCAAAUGAUCGCCUCCAGAAUUACGAACUGGCUACAUAAUCUAGUUUCUGACGAUGUUCAAUACCAUCAUGCUGCCAAUAUCUGGAGCAUCUACAUAUUGCCAUGACACAGUACAGUUCAACCAGAUACACUACACUAGUUCAUCCACUGGAUUUAAGAAAUAUCUACAAAGGCCAGAGUCCGCCGUGCAGCUCCUAGAAUUCCAGCAGAAUCUUGAUCCCUUGAAGCACUGCAGUUCAUACCAAGUUAGACCAUGGACAGAUUAGCGACGGGCUCUGCUACACAAACCACAUGACAGCAUAUGUUCAUCAUAAAGUUCAGUAUCUAGCCAAGAAGAUGCUAUGCACGGAAACUAAUAGACUUCGUAUGGAAAAUGCUUAUGAUUUUAUGAAAAACAUGAUAGUGAAUAAUGAUCACUAUUGACGAGCACAAGAUUUAUCCUAACAGCAUUUUUGGGUGUUUGUAUGCUGCAUUAAUGAAUCAUUGUACCAUGUCAGCUUGCGCUUAAACCAGCAAUGUUCUUACCUUGUACUAGAUCAUAAGCAGUUAGAUAUUCUCCAAGGCAAAAUCCCUCCAUACGUCCCCUUGUGCUGGCUGGCUUUCCUGAUCUGUUUGGUAUGAAAUAAUUCCUAUCAAGAAUUGCAAUAUUAUACCAGCUGUUGAGUAUUGACCAUAAAGAUAGGAAAGAUUUUACAUUUCAAAUUUCUAAAAGAUACCAUAAUAGUGUAAGGCAUUCGACUUCAACCAUUUGUAUUGCUCAAAAAUGUAAUACAGUGGUACUUAUGCCUAGCAAUCAAGCAGACAUUCAUAUUACAAAAAUUGAGUUCAAGGUGUUUUUACGCUCCAAGUUUCGUCAAAGAGUAAAGAUGCAAGCAUACAGUCAACAUUUCAUCACGGGGAGACAAUUUGAAAUUGCAUUAGAAAUAAUAUUACUUGAUCAAUUGAAAUAGGUUAUAAAGAAAAUUUGCUAACAGAAACCAUGAACUCCAGUCGGGCUUGGGCCAAGCGUUUGAUCGUGGUUAAUAGUUUACUGCUAAAUAAAUCAACAAACUUAAACAUCCAUGUUAAACGCCAAUGUGAGUGCAAUAAGGCAGCCCAGAAAAUCCUGGUGUGAGAGUAGAUGGUUACAAGUGAUAAAUAAUUCAAUCUUAACUCCACACUCAAUUGCAUAGAGCGCUAGAACUAACAGCAUUUUUAUGAUGUGGCUCUAGUGAAAAAAGGCAGCUCACUUCUGUUAUAUAUUUCCCCGUUCCAAAAUAAGUGAUGUGGUUUUAGUUCAAAUUUCAAGGAAAUCCACGUCACUUGUUUUUGAAUGGAGGGAGUAGAUAUAAGACGUUUUUUGUCACUGUCAUGGACUUCAAAAACGUCUUACUCAAAAGUUACAGAGGGAGUAUCAUGCUGCUAUUGGGAUUUGGGAAUCUAAGGGCGCACACCAGCAAGAGCGGAACAGUAGCGUAUCACUGGUGUAAUGGAAGUUUCAUCAGUAAGAUGCCCUACAACAGACACAUUUCCCUAACAAGCAGCCACAGCAUGAUGCAACCCCAUGACCUAAUGCCUUCAAUUUGUUUGGGAAGCUAUGGGCUAAUGGCAGUUCUAGGAGUCUAGUUGCACAAAUUAAACCUAGCAUCGCAAUCUGGGAGCUCGGUGGCUGUGCCUACUGCCUAACCUAGAACACCAUCAAUCAACUGUCCAAGCGCAAGCGGGGUUCGCAUCCCGGAUGCAGAUCGGGAUUGAUUGAUUCAAAACUCAUCACCACAGGCCACGGACUGCGCAGGAGAAGGCGAUAGAGAGGGAGGCGGAGCGCGGGCGUACUUGCGGGCGCUGGGUCCUCGGUGUCCUCGGUCUUCACGGCCAUCGCCGGCGGCACGGGGAUAUCUGCAACACCAAUGGGUGAGCGGAUCGAUUUGGUCUACUCGGUUAGGUCGCCGGGCGCGGAAAGGGAGGGGAGGGCGCGCGUACCGUCGGCGGGGAGGGUGUCGCGCAUCCACUGCUCGUCGACGAUGUCGAUGAGGAUGCCCAGGCUCAGGCUCUGGUCGCCCAUCUUCUCCUCCGCCGCGUCGUCUCCUCUGCUCUCCCGUCGGCCGCCGCUACCUGGCCACCGGAGCCGUGUCGUUCGGUCGGAAUGGGGGCCUGCAGUUUCGACCAAACGAAGGGGCUUUAUUUAGCCGGCCCGUGUGGUUUUGGGCCGGAAUUCGGCUCAGACUGGGAACUGGCUAGUGGCCUAGCCCCGUAUUUUCGCGAUCCCCACUUGUGAAAAAAUAAUUGAAUACGCCCCUUUGAUUCAUACGAUUUUUUCUUCAUAUGGUGAUAAUUUUUUUUUGCGAAGAAUAUGGUGAUAAUUUUGAUUUGCGUGACUAGAAAUUUUGUAAAAUCCUUAUGAUUCAUUUCCACUCUGUUUUGGAGAAAACUCUUCAUCCACUCAAACUAUGGUAAUAUUUCUUUAUUUUUCAUGUGCCGACAAAACACUCUUUGGUCAUUAUUCAUGUAGUUUUCUAAUCCUAUAGAAUCCCACUUCAAUUACAUAGUACUUUCUUUUAUCUAUAAUGUAUUUUGGGAAUCAUUUGAUUCAACAGGUCAUAAAUGUUUGCUCUCUAAUCAAAGGGAGUGAAUGCAUGAUACCCAUCCAAUCCAGAGGAGCAGUGGGAGGGAAGCCGGCGCGGGGUGGGGAGAAAGAGGGGCCGAAAAUAAGCGGGAAAGGGUAGAAUUGGAGGAGGGUACCCGACUAUUACAAGCUCAAGAAUACAUAUAGCGGGAAAAAAAUAAUCUAAGUGGCAAGAAAGACACUUGGUGGCUGAUCUGAGACCGGUCGAGGUAACACUUUUGGCUUUGGACUUAAAAGGGGAUGUUUGAACAAGGCGAUGACACCCGCCUCAAGAAAUGUUCAUGGUAGGAUGAGACCAGAAAGCCUACAAUGGGGUGAAAAUGAAACACAACAUAAGGAGAGCUUGAGAGUAGCAAAAUGGGAAAGGAUAAUGGCGGAGGCAACUAUUCAGCGGGAUUGAAGUAGAUAACGAGCUGGGGGACAAGACUAACGUACCACGAACGCCAGAGAGGUAUCACCUAGCUUCAGCUUCAAGAAAAAAAGAAAAAAGGGAAGAAAAAACAGCGCUCCAAACGGACUUGAAAUGUUUGAUUAAAUUCAUGGUUUUGCAUUUCAAAGGAAGCACAGUGUUUUUUUAUAUCUUUUUAGAAUGCAUCGUGUUCCCAACCCUUUUACUUCUUGUCCCGUUUGGCGUACUCUGUACACCGUCGACGUGCACUCCUCUCUCCUUCCUUGCCGGUGAACUCGUCGGCGGUGAGGACGAGGUCACAGAGAAGGAAGACGGAGACGAUCGUACGCACCACUCAGCAGUGACAGUGACUGACGCGUCCAUACCCACCUCUCGGCAAGAAGAGCAGGGAAGACGACUGACCAGCGCCGUGCGUGCGUGUGCGAUCUCCUUUCUCCCCCUCCUAAAAACUCGAUCUUUCUUCCUCCUAAAACUAAAAAAUUACUCCGGCGCCGACACACACCACGCAACGCAAAGGAAGGAAGACAGCCGAGCACGACAGUGCCACCCCACCGCACUCCCUUUCUCUCCCCCACUCCAACUCCACCUGCAACAUCGCAUCCCCAUUCCCAUUCCUACCUCUCCCACUCUCACUCCCCCUCCCGNNNNNNNNNNNNNNNNNNNNNNNNNNNNNNNNNNNNNNNNNNNNNNNNNNNNNNNNNNNNNNNNNNNNNNNNNNNNNNNNNNNNNNNNNNNNNNNNNNNNNNNNNNNNNNNNNNNNNNNNNNNNNNNNNNNNNNNNNNNNNNNNNNNNNNNNNNNNNNNNNNNNNNNNNNNNNNNNNNNNNNNNNNNNNNNNNNNNNNNNNNNNNNNNNNNNNNNNNNNNNNNNNNNNNNNNNNNNNNNNNNNNNNNNNNNNNNNNNNNNNNNNNNNNNNNNNNNNNNNNNNNNNNNNNNNNNNNNNNNNNNNNNNNNNNNNNNNNNNNNNNNNNNNNNNNNNNNNNNNNNNNNNNNNNNNNNNNNNNNNNNNNNNNNNNNNNNNNNNNNNNNNNNNNNNNNNNNNNNNNNNNNNNNNNNNNNNNNNNNNNNNNNNNNNNGGAGGACCACGACGAGGACGCCCCCCUUGUCCGCGACCCGUCCCCCUCCUCCUCCCGCCACCCCUCCCGCGCCUCCGCCUCCGCCGUCGGCGAGGUGCCCGUCUCGCAGUCGCUCAUCAAGGCGGCCAGCAACGUGUGCUUCUCCUUCUUCGUGCUCGCCGUGCUCGCCGUCACCGUCGUCGCCGUCACCUACCAGCCGCCCGACCCCUGGCUCCAGUCCUCCGCCGCCAUCACCACCUCCCUCGCCCGCGUCCUCCCCAACUCCUCCUUCCUCCAGCCCGACGACUCGCUCCUCCCCACUGGCGAGGACUUCCCCUCCCCCUCCGCUGCCCCCGGCGCCGCCGCCGCCGCCCAGCGCGACGCCGCCGACCAGGCCCUCACCUCGGCGGGCGGCAACGCCACCGCGGGGACCUGCGACCCGGACGCCCCGCUCAACUGCACCGACCCGCGCGUGCUCGCCGCCGUCAAGGCCUUCAACGCCAAGGCCUUCUUCCGCAGGUCCAUCGUCUUCCUCAGCUACGAGGCGCCCGUGCGCGGCCCCAAGCCCGGCCAGUGCGACGUGGCCUGGCGCUUCCGGAACCGCCGCGAGAAGUCCUGGCGCCGGUACAGGGACUACCGCCGCUUCGAGCUCACCCCCGGCGACGGAUGCGCGCUCGACAUCACCAAGGUCGGCAAGUUCAGGUCCGGGAAGAACGCGGCUCGCCCGCCCCGCCCCAAGGGUCCCAAGAAACCGCGCGUCGCGGCGCCGCCGGUGGAUGCGGAGAUCAACGACACGAUCCCCCUCGUCGGGUCGGAGGCAGAGUUCAGGAGAGGCAAGUACCUCUACUACAUGAGAGGCGGUGACCACUGCAAGAGCAUGAACCAGUUCAUUUGGAGCUUCCUGUGCGGGCUCGGCGAGGCCAAGUUCCUGAACCGGACGUUCGUGAUGGAUUUGAACAUGUGCUUGUCCGGGGCUCACACAGAGGACGGCAAGGAUGUGGAUGGCAAGGACUUUAGGUACUAUUUUGAUUUCGAGCACCUCAAGGAGUCGGUGUCUCUGGUGGAGGAAGGGAAUUUCUUGAAGGAUUGGCGGCGCUGGGACAAGAAGAAGGGCCCGGGCCGGAUCUCGGUGCGCAAGGUGCCCACAUACAAGGUGACCCCAAUGCAGCUGAAGAGGGACAAGAGCAACAUCAUUUGGAGGCAGUUUGAUGGGCAUGAGCCCGAGAACUACUGGUACAGGGUCUGCGAGGGGCGAGCUGCCAAGGUCAUCCAGAGGCCUUGGUAUGCCAUUUGGAAGUCCAAGAGGCUGAUGAACAUUGUAACUGAGAUUGCAGGCAGGAUGGAUUGGGACUACGAUGGUUUGCAUGUGGUCCGAGGGUGGAAGGCAAUGAACAAGAAGAUGUAUCCGAACUUGGACGCGGACACAUCACCCGACGCGAUCGUAGAUAAGGUGACCAAGCUUAUCAAGCCGUGGCGGAACCUCUACAUCGCAACCAAUGAGCCAUUCUACAACUACUUCGACAAGCUCAGGUCACACUACCAUGUGCAUUUGCUUGAUGAUUAUAAGGAGCUUUGGUCGAAUACGAGCGAGUGGUACAACAAGACGACAGCAAUCAAUAAUGGGAAGGACGUGCCGUUCGAUGCGUACAUGAAGGUGAUUGUGGACACUGAGGUAUUCUACAGAUCAAAGGCAAAGGUUGAAACGUUUAACAACCUGACGAGAGAUUGCAAAGAUGGAAUCAACACGUGCAAUUUGUGACACAUGGGUUCAUGGUGUGAUAAUUACCGGUGUCCAUAUACUCCUACUGGCUGGCGCAAUGGAACUUGGGCGGACUUCAUCCAGGGUUUGUCAUAUUAGGCAUAAUAUCUUGAUGCCGCUUGUCAGUCAUAGCAUGCUCAGUUGAUUGCAUUACAUGUGCAUCUAAAUUAUGUGCCCUCCAUUCUUUUUGUAUAAUUUACCACUGUGCUCAAACCUGCAAAAUCCAAAAUAGUAACACUCAGUGAGCAUUUUGCAGUGCCUCUACUUCUUAGUGUCUGGACUUCUGCAGUAUCUCUGAGUCCCCAUUAAUUAGCUUGGGGUUUCUCUUCAUUUAUUGUAUGUUUCCAUAUGUGUGUUGCUAAAUAUUCUCUAGUCGGAAAUGAACUUUCAGAAAAUUAUACAUUUUACUGUCAAAAGUCAGAACAGAGGUCACUAUGGCCAUCAGAUUACCAUGUAUGCCGUGUUCGUUGUCAUAAGUAACUUACUUACCUUGAAUGAUGCUUGCUCUGUGAGAAUUGCAGACUAUCAGUUGUGUUUCUCUUGUGUAUAAAUGGUAACAUGUUGGAAGCUGUGACAUAAUAUUGGAAGCUAUGACAUAACAGUGAACUUCUAGAAUAGUGCGUUUGCAGUUGUCAGCUGCCCAGUGUUAAGUUGUGGACAUUCAUGCGAUGUAGAGAAAAGAGAGGAGACCAGGCCAGUCUAGUCCAAAUGAAUUAACAUAUGUUGUAUCCUAUUGCAUGAUACUCCCUCCGUCCCAAAAUGUAAGAUGUUUUUUUGACACUAUCAUAGUAUCAAAAAACGUCUUACAUUUCGGGACGGAGGGAGUACAUUGGUGCAUAUUUGAGGUUAUGUAAUUUCAUUAUGUUCGUUUGAGUAUUUGUCACAGUGGGUUUUCUUUUUUGUUUUUGUUAAAAAUGAACAUCACAUCAGUAUUAUUAUAAUCAGAUUUCACAGUGGAAACCAAUCAAUCUAAGUCAUUAGUUCAGACUUUGCCCUCAAGAAAGAUGGUAGGUGGCAUAAGUCCUUCACAAUCGGUCGUCACACUAGUAGUUAAGUUUGAUCAGCUGUUGUUUUCAGUGUGUUUGUUAUCACCUCUUUGAGUGGCCGUACUUCAAGGAAUGUUUCAACUGGCUGUUUUCGACUUGAGGAUGUUGAGUAUUGAAGCCAUUCUGCGCAUUUAUCUCAGGCUGCUUUUUUGGACAUGUUGGCCUACCUUUCUGAGCUUGAUGAAUUCACAAUGAUGCUUAUGAUUAAAUUUAUUUCUGCGCAUUCAUCUCAGGCUGCUUAUUUUGGAUAUGUUGGCUGACCUUUCUGAGCUUGCUGAAUUCAUAAUGAUGGUUAUGGUUAAAUUUGUACCAUCAUGCAUGUAUGGUUCAGAGGUCUUAUAUUUACUGCCUACUUACUAUUACUUCCACUACCUCUGGUAGACGGACUGAUCAGUGAUAUUUGAACUGCAAAAACAUCUUUAUAUUGAGUUACAGAGGUAGUAGGAAGUAAGCAAGUAAGCAGCUUGCUGUGGCCAACAAACCAGAGACAUAUAUUGUUGGAGGAAUGUUAAGGUGCCACACAGCAGGCUACAUAAACCUGCUGCCCUGCCCUGAAAUUGACAGUGGCAUGCAUACAAAGAUGAGAGAAUUCCUUAUUUAACACUGUCCAAAAAAUUUAUUCCCUAUUUGACACUGAAAAAAUAUUUCUUCCCUAUCUAACACAUCCUUUAAAUUUUAUUCCCAAUAUAACACUUCCAUCCAUUUUUUGUGCAAACAGUGUUAAAUGGCACAUGAAAUGACAAUUCUGCCCUUGAACGUCUAUUCAAUCAUUUUCUUUAUAUUAGACUUAGGUUUCCUAGUUCUAAUCAAGUCUCUCGUCGUGCAUAACGUGUAUAUAAGCACCGCCAAGACUUCUUUGUACGAUAGAAAAAAAGAUUGAGAAGUACUGUAUAAUAAAAAUGCAGGAGCGACAUGACCAGCAAAUCUCUCUGCCAUGUUUGUUCUAUUCGCCAAGCUAGCACAAGCAAGACUCAAGGCUCAAGUACGUCCAUACAUACGCGGCUAGAGAUGAUCACGUUUUGCUUCUAGGGAAAAAAUAAUCAAGCUGCAUGUGUUUGAGCUAGCAUUGCACGUACGUGCGCUGCUUGGGUGAAUGGAUCUGGCAUUCUAAGAGCAUCUCCAGCCGUUGCCCCCUCCCUUCCAGGACGCAUAAAAAUCGCCCCUGGGGGCGAGCCGGCGAUACAAUCGGCGCCGGGGGCGGUUUUGCGCCCAGUCGUCGCCCCCAGGCGUCGAAAUUGGCCCACUUUUCAGCCCAAUUUCGGCGAAUAAAAGGCCCAUAUGGGCGAGAAUAUGCCCAUAUUCGGCGUGGUUCGCCGUGUCUCCGCGUUCAAUUGUCAACACAAUUUUUCUUAUCACAUAUUUCAUCACAGAAAAAUCAAAUACUUCAGCAAAAUAGUACAACAACAAAUAGUUCAAUACAAAUUAUAUAGUUCAACAAAUAAAAACUCAUAUUUCAUCACACGGCGUCCCCCUUGAGCCUCCAUAGGUGCUCAAUCAGAUCUUUCUGCAGUUGAUGAUGCACCUGUGGGUUUCGGAUCUCCUGACGCAUACUGAGAUAGGCAGUCCAGGUUGCCGGUAGCUGGUGAUCGACUUCGGCUAGAGGACCCUGCCUGUAGUAUGGUUCAGUGUCAAACAAUGGGUCUUCUUGCUCGCUCUCGAUGAUCAUGUUGUGCAAGAUGACACAGCAAGUCAUAAUCUCCCACAUUUGAUCUUUGGACCAGGUCUGAGCGGGGUACCGGACAACAGCAAAUCGAGAUUGGAGCACACCAAAUGCCCGCUCGACAUCCUUCCUGCAAGCCUCCUGAAUCUUCGCAAACCAGGAUUUCUUGCCUCCUGCCACAGGGUUUGAGAUCGUCUUCACAAAUGUCGACCAUCUCGGAUAGACGCCAUCAGCUAGAUAGUACCCCUUGUUGUAGUGCCGCCCAUUGAUCUCGAAGUUCACCGGAGGAGAAUGACCUUCAACAAGCUUGGCAAAGACAGGAGAGCACUGCAGCACGUUGAUGUCAUUGUGAGUUCCUGGCAUACCAAAGAAGGAGUGCCAAAUCCAGAGGUCCUGUGUGGCCACCGCCUCAAGUACCACACUGCAACCGCCUUUGGCGCCUUUGUACAUCCCCUGCCAAGCAAAUGGGCAAUUCUUCCAUUUCCAAUGCAUGCAGUCGAUGCUUCCAAGCAUCCCAGGGAAUCCUCUUGCUGUAUUCCGUGCUAGGAUCCGAGAAGUGUCUUCCGCAUUGGGUGUUCUCAAGUAUUGUGGUCCAAACACUGCCACCACUGCCCGACAGAACUUGUAGAAACACUCUAUGCUGGUGGACUCGGCCAUGCGCCCAUAGUCGUCGAGUGAAUCACCGGGAGCUCCGUAUGCAAGCAUCCUCAUCGUUGUCGUGCACUUCUGGAUGGAGGUGAAUCCAAGGGCGCCGGUGCAAUCCAUCUUGCACUUGAAGUAGUUGUCAAACUCCCGGAUGGAAUUCACAGUCCUGAGGAAGAGCUUUCGGCUCAUCCGAUAACGGCGCCGAAAUGUUUUCUCGCCGUGAAGUGGAGCAUCGGCGAAGUAGUCGGAGUAGAGCAUGCAGUAGCCUUCGAGACGAUGCCGGUUCUUUGCUUUCACCCGCCCCGGCGCCGACCCACCUCGCCGCGGCUUUUCAUUGCUCGCCAGCAGCUGGGCGAGGGCGGCGAGCACCAUGAGAUGCUCUUCUUCCUGGACGUCGGCCUCGGCUUCCUCCUCCAGCAGCGCGGCGAGCGCUUCCUCGUCAUCCGAGUCCAUCGCCGAGGCAGGCAAAUCGCCGAACACCUUGCGCCCGGUGGGCGUGUACCCGCCGCUAAACUGCCCCUCCGCGGCCGGAAACGCCCAGCUGCUGUUGGAGGGGCUGCCGCGGCGAAGCUCUGCUAUUUUUCCGGUGGGGAAUGGCUAUCUAGCGGUGAAGGCCGGCGGGUGGCGCCGGGAUAUAGCUAGUGGCGGCCGAGGGCGCGGGGGGUGGGAGACGAGUCGGGGAAGAAAACCUUGACUUUUCCCCUAACGGUGUGGGCCAGCCGCGCUUUUCCCUUGCGCCGGAGCCCCCAAUUGCCCCCCAGUGCGCCGGGUUCAGCCUGUGACCGCCGGGCGGAAAAAACGGCCGAAUCGGCGAUUUUCGGCGUCCUGGGGCCGCGACUGGGGCGUUUUUUGGCGCCGGCGCCCAAAAAAUGGCCUAGGGGGCCCUGUUGGGGGCGCGGCUGGAGAUGCUUUAAAACCAACACUACACCACGGCCUCGCGCAACACUCGUCCGCUCCCAUCCACUGCGCCUUGAUUGUUGUUGGCUCAGACCCGGUGUCGAGUACUUUCCAGCGACAAUGAUGAACGACGACUAAACGAACCAACAUUGACUGGCUUGGUUCCUGCCCCAAGUCGGCUCAACCCGACGAGAUACUUUACAUCGAGACACACCUUACAGUGCAAAGCUGACCUCAGCUUGCUGAUCUAGUGAUCUCCAAGCCUAAACACAUACCGACCUAUGUACAACCCGCAAAAAAUAAAAAAUAAACACGUACGUACACAACAACCUUUGGCUGGAUACUCAAACGCACGCACGCAUUGGAGACUUCGGCUGAUUGCCACACGUACGUAUCGUGCGUUGUGAUUUUACUUGGUCUACAAAGUUUACGUAAAUAUAGCAGCAGCUAGGACACGAACCACGUACAUACAACUACAACUUGGUGAUUGAACGUGUACAAACGGGACACUAACCACGUACGUCGUGGUUAUUUCAAACUGUCCCCGCCACCCUGCCUCGAGGAAUUUUUGCAGCCGGAACCAGGGGUAAACUUGUCUUUCACGUUUCAUUUAACACCGUUAGGUCAAAAAAUGAACCAAAGUGUUAUAUUGGAAACAAAAUUUAAAGUUGGUGUUAGAUAGGGAAAAAACAUUUUUCCAGUGUUAAAUAAGGAAACAAAAUUUAAAAUAGUGUUAAAUAAGGAAUUCUUUCUACAAAGUUUGGACAUCAUACAAACCAAACCAAAGCAUCUUCAAUUUCUUCAUCUAUAUUAGAUUAAGCUAUGCAGGAAGCAAUUUGUACAAGUUCCGCCCGUUUCGACAGCAGCUUGUUUGGAGGUUGGUUUCAUAUGGUACCCAUCCCAAAUUUCUCCUGCCAAAAUUGACCACAAAGUUAUCAAAAUGUGCUUACAGCUAGUUUGUGCGUACGUUCUUGGAUACCUAUACCUAUUAGAGAAUAAUCCCGUAUUCCUCUUCUCUGUUUUUUCUUCAGAAAAUCUAGUGACCAGAUACUUUGGAGAGCCAUCUGUAUCAACUAGGACGUGCUUGUGUUCUCGAGUCAUGAGUAGCGGAAUUUUGUCGCGGACAUUGCAAACAUUUGAAUCCUCGUUGAGUAUGUGUUUUCGGAACUAGAUAUUGUCCUGAAGAUUAUCAAUGAAUAUGAAUGUGAAUGAUCUUGCACGUGAUCUUCUCAUGGAGCAUCAGAGCAUUUGUCAAAUAUUUCUCGCAAAAAAAGAGAGCAUUUAUCAAAUAGAAAAUAUCACCGAUUGUCUUGGUUCAACUGUUCAAGUAUACAAAGCCGGCCCCAACAGCGAAGGUCCGUCCCGCUGGGUGACGGUUAGCGUAUCGCUCCGGUGAUUGCGGAGGCGAUUAGGGUUUCGUGGGUUCUUGCUCGCUGUUCUGUGUCCAGAUCGAGUCCCCGUCACCGUAACUGAGACUGCCGGCGCGUCUACUCUCCGUCGUGUGCCCAGUCUUCAAUCCAUCCACCUUCCCCCAGCCUUCCGUGUGUUUCCUGGGGCGCACGGUCGUAAAACACUUCUAACCCUAGGCGGCGGCGUUCUGGUGGAGGUGCGGAGGAUGGAAGGAGUGGCCGGCAUGAUGCGGAGUCUGAAGCUGUCGGAGGAGGAAAGGAAGGGGGUCAAGAUCCGGCUGUCUGCGAAGGAGAAGGGGAAGGGAGUUGAACCCCAAGCAGUGGGGAAGGUGCUAUCGGAGAAACUUGCCAAUCAAGAUGCGAUCAGCCUGUCUUUAGGGAAGGUGUGGUGUCCGAUCAAAGGAACUGAUUGCAGGGAGGUGGGAGACAAUCUGUUUGUAUUUACGUUCAAACAGGAAUCGGGGAGAAGAAAGGCCAUUGAAGAUGGCCCGUGGAUGUUUGAUAAAGAUCUAGUGAUAGUGGAGGAGUAUGAUCCAGGGAAGAGAUUCGAAGAUUAUGAGUUCAAUGAUAUUCCAAUCUGGGUGAGGAUCUUUAACCUCCCGAUGGGGAUGAUGAACGAGGAGUCGGCGGAGGAAAUAGGGAAUAUCAUUGGGCGGUUCGUGGAGGCAGAUGCAGGGAUGGACGGGAAAGCAAUAGCAAAGUAUAUGCGAGUGAAGAUUAGAAUGAAGAUAGACAAGCCUAUUAUGAGGGGAAUUACACUGGAUGAGGAGAGUAUGAAGCAGAGGAGAAAGAAAAAUAUGAACAUAGAUGGGAAGGAGGAAGAGGAGGAUGAAGGGCUUUGGUGCCGGUUCGAGUACGAGUUCCUGCCCGACUUUUGUUAUAGCUGCGGGAUGAUUGGUCAUGGAGAGAAAGACUGUUCCACACAGCUGAAGAGAGGGGAAAACCCCCAGUUUGGGCGAUGGCUAAAGGCGGAUGUGGGUAGAAGGAGGGGCUAUGAUGAUGAAGACUGGAGUUGGAAGGGUAAUGGGAGGAAUGGCGGGAGCCACGGAAGCUUGGGGUUUAGUCGCUCGAACGGACGAUCGGGGAGUGGUAGUGAUGGCCCGACAUGGAGGAAGGAUGGAUCGCGUAACAGGGGAGGGACGAAUAGUUGGACAGAGAAAGGAGAAGAAGUGACCAGCCCAGCAAAAACAGCAAAGGAACCACCGAAGAAGGGGAUACAGAAGAAACUAGACAUGAGUGCAGAGGUCCCGUACAGGAACAACGUUGGUGAUGACAAGGAGGGCGCUGAAGGAAAACAACUGGUGGCCGCUGGGCAGGUAGAUAAGGUAGGAACUGGUCCGGUGCCUCACUCAUCGGAUAUGAUCUCAGCGGAUGGAGGGGAGACGGAGAAGGGGGCAACUCGGCAAGUUAAGAAGCAGGAUGGUGGUUCGGGAGAGGGAGGACAGCAGCCCACCAAGGGUAGUGGAAGGAAGUAUAAGAAGGUGGAGAGACGCAAAACGGGAGGGCAGAAGAGCAGUGUAGAAAGGGAGCAAGUCUUGGGGAGGAAGAGAGGGCAUGUGCAGGAGAGGGAAGAAGAGGAUGAAGCCAAGAAGGGGAGGGUGGAGGAGAAAGAACUCAAGGAAGGAGACGUAGCAGUGGAGCUUGGAGGUACUACAACAGUUAGCACAUCGGCCGGCUGUCCAAGCAGCCCCGCCGGGCACAUUGAAAAUCAUCAGUUGGAACUGCCGGGGACUCGGGAAUGGCCCGGCAGUUCGCUCCCUCCUCGAGAUGGGGAGGGUGGAGGAUGAUGGGAAUCGUAGCAUAAUUUUAAAAUUUUCCUACGCUCACCAAGAUCCAUCUAUGGAGUAUACUAGCAACGAGGGGAAAGGAGUGCAUCUACAUACCCUUGUAGAUCGCGAGCGGAAGCGUUCCAAUGAACGUUGUUGACGGAGUCGUACUCGCCGUGAUUCAAAUCACCGAUGACCGAGUGCCGAACGGACGACACCUCAGCGUUCAACACACGUACGGUGCAGCGACGUCUCCUCCUUCUUGAUCCAGCAAGGGGAAGGAGAGGUUGAUGGAGAUCCAGCAGCACGACGGCGUGGUGGUGGAUGUAGCGGGUCUCGGCAGGGCUUCGUCGAGCUUCUGCGAGAGGGAGAGGUGUAGCAGGGGAGGAGGGAGGCGCCCAAGGCUGUGAUGUUGCUGCCCUCCCUCCCCCCUUUAUAUAGGCCCCCUGGGAGGGGGGCGCCGGCCAAAAACCCAUCNNNNNNNNNNNNNNNNNNNNNNNNNNNNNNNNNNNNNNNNNNNNNNNNNNNNNNNNNNNNNNNNNNNNNNNNNNNNNNNNNNNNNNNNNNNNNNNNNNNNNNNNNNNNNNNNNNNNNNNNNNNNNNNNNNNNNNNNNNNNNNNNNNNNNNNNNNNNNNNNNNNNNNNNNNNNNNNNNNNNNNNNNNNNNNNNNNNNNNNNNNNNNNNNNNNNNNNNNNNNNNNNNNNNNNNNNNNNNNNNNNNNNNNNNNNNNNNNNNCCCCCCCCCCCACCCUAGGGUUUGCAACCCUAGGCGCAUGGGGGGAGGCCCAUGGGGGGCGCCCAGCCCACUAGGGGCUGGUUCCCUUCCCACUUCAGCCCACGGGGCCCUCCGGGAUAGGUGGCCCCACCCGGUGGACCCCCGGGACCCUUCCGGUGGUCCCAGUACAAUACCGGUAACCCCCGAAACUUUCCCGGUGGCCGAAACUUGACUUCCUAUAUAUAAUUCUUUACCUCCGGACCAUUCCGGAACUCCUCGUGACGUCCGGGAUCUCAUCCGGGACUCCGAACAACUUUCGGGUUUCCGCAUACACAUAUCUCUACAACCCUAGCGUCACCGAACCUUAAGUGUGUAGACCCUACGGGUUCGGGAGACAUGCAGACAUGACCGAGACGCCUCUCCGGUCAAUAACCAACAGCGGGAUCUGGAUACCCAUGUUGGCUCCCACAUGUUCCACGAUGAUCUCAUCGAAUGAACCACGAUGUCGAGGAUUCAAUCAAUCCUGUAUACAAUUCCCUUUGUCAAUCGGUAUGUUACUUGCCCGAGAUUCGAUCGUCGGUAUCCCAAUACCUUGUUCAAUCUCGUUACCGGCAAGUCUCUUUACUCGUACCGCAAUGCAUGAUCCCGUGACUAACGCCUUAGUCACAUUGAGCUCAUUAUGAUGAUGCAUUACCGAGUGGGCCCAGAGAUACCUCUCCGUCACACGGAGUGACAAAUCCCAGUCUCGAUCCGUGCCAACCCAACAGACACUUUCGGAGAUACCCGUAGUGCACCUUUAUAGUCACCCAGUUACGUUGUGACGUUUGGCACACCCAAAGCACUCCUACGGUAUCCGGGAGUUGCACGAGCUAAGGAAAAGAUACUUGACAUUGGAAAAGCUCUAGCAAACGAAACUACACGAUCUUUUAUGCUAUGCUUAGGAUUGGGUCUUGUCCAUCACAUCAUUCUCCUAAUGAUGUGAUCCCGUUAUCAAUGACAUCCAAUGUCCAUAGUCAGGAAACCAUGACUAUCUGUUGAUCAACGAGCUAGUCAACUAGAGGCUUACUAGGGACACGUUGUGGUCUAUGCAUUCACACAUGUAUUACGAUUUCCGGACAAUACAAUUAUAGCAUGAACAAUAGACGAUUAUCAUGAACAAAGAAAUAUAAUAAUAACCAUUUAUUAUUGCCUCUAGGGCAUAUUUCCAACAGAGGAUCCCGACAUUAUAUUUCUUUCAGAGACAAGAUUAACGUCGAAGGAGUUGGAUAGGUUCAGGUGGAUGCUGGGGCUUGCGAACAUGUCAGUUUGGGACCCGGUGGGGAGAAGCAGGGGUGUUGCCAUGCUCUGGAGGAGGGGUAUUGAUGUGUCCCUGAGGUCGUAUGGCAGGAGGCAUGUGGAUGUCGAUGUAACAGAGGAUGAUGGGUCGGUGUGGCAUUUAACAGGGAUGUAUGGAGAAUCGGCCACGGAGAGGAAGAAAGAAACCUGGCGGACACUCAAAAUUCUAAAGCAGCAGCAUCAACAGGACCGCCCAUGGCUAUGCCUUGGGGACUUCAAUGAAAUCUUGUCAAAUGUGGAGAAGGUUGGAGGGGUGGACCGACCCCAACAUAUGAUGGACAGCCUCAGAGAAGCGCUACAAUUCUGUGAGCUAGGCGAUCUUGGGUUCGAGGGUGACAUCUUCACUUGGAGGAAUCACAGCAAGGAUCUGAGCUCGUACAUAUGUGAGAGGCUUGAUAGGGCAACCGCAAAUGACAGGUGGCGAGAGAAGUUCCCAGAUUUUACAGUUGUGAAUGGUGCACCACGGCACUCGGACCACAGGCCGGUGAUUGUGUGGACGCAAGGGGCGGAUAGGAGCUGGAAAGGUGGAGACCGUGGAUUCCGUUUUGAAGCCCGUUGGUUACAGGAGGAGGGAUGUGAGGAUGUAAUCAGAGAAGCAUGGGAGCAAAGCUGGGGAAGGAGAGACGGAGGGGUAGCGCAUGCUUUAAGAGAAGUGGCUGGGAAGCUGCGGACUUGGGACAGAGAAGUGGUCGGGGCAGUGGAGGGCCGGCUGAAAAAAGCUAAAGCGGAGCUGGAACGGUGUAUGGCGGCGAGAGUUUCGCAGGAAAAAAUAGAGGAGGAAGCUAGACUUAGGUGUGUGGUGGAUGAGCUGGAGGAGAAGAAGAACACGAUGUGGAAGCAGAGAGCACAUGUUUGGUGGCUGCUAGAUGGAGAUAGGAACACACGGUUCUAUCAUACUGUCGCUUCGGCGAGGAAAAAGCGAACCGUAUUAAGGAGUUGAGGAGGGAGGAUGGAACCGUGGUGGCGGAGGAGGAUUUAACUAACUAUGUGUUGGGAAUCGUAGCAUAAUUUUAAAAUUUUCCUAUGCUCACCAAGAUGCAUCUAUGGAGUAUACUAGCAACGAGGGGAAAGGAGUGCAUCUACAUACCCUUGUAGAUCGCGAGCGGAAGCGUUCCAAUGAACGUGGAUGACGGAGUCGUACUCGCCGUGAUCCAAAUCACCGAUGACCGAGUGCCGAACGGACGGCACCUCCGCGUUCAACACACGUACGGUGCAGCGACGUCUCCUCCUUCUUGAUCCAGCAAGGGGAAGGAGAGGUUGAUGGAGAUCCAGCAGCACGACGGCAUGGUGGUGGAUGUAGCGGGUCUCGGCAGGGCUUCGCCGAGCUUCUGCGAGAGGGAGAGGUGUUGCAGGGGAGGAGGGAGGCGCCCAAGGCUGUGAUGUAGCUGCCCUCCCUCCCCCCCUUUAUAUAGGCCCCCUUGGGAGGGGGGCGCCGGCCAAACCCAUCUAGGGUGGGGGCGGCGGCCAAGGGGGGUGCCUUGCCCCCCAAGGCAAGUGGGAAGCCCCCCCACCCUAGGGUUUGCAACCCUAGGCGCAUGGGGGGAGGCCCAUGGGGGGGGCGCCCAGCCCACUAGGGGCUGGUUCCCUUCCCACUUCAGCCCACGGGGCCCUCCGGGAUAGGUGGCCCCACCCGGUGGACCCCCGGGACCCUUCCGGUGGUCCCGGUACAAUACCGGUAACCUCCGAAACUUUCCCGGUGGCCGAAACUUGACUUCCUAUAUAUAAUUCUUCACCUACGGACCAUUCCGGAACCUCUCGUGACGUCCGGGAUCUCAUCCGGGACUCCGAACAACUUUCGGGUUUCCGCAUACACAUAUCUCUACAACCCUAGCGUCACCGAACCUUAAGUGUGUAGACCCUACGGGUUCGGGAGACAUGCAGACAUGACCGAGACGCCUCUCCGGUCAAUAACCAACAGCGGGAUCUGGAUACCCAUGUUGGCUCCCACAUGUUCCACGAUGAUCUCAUCAGAAGAACCACGAUGUCGAGGAUUCAAUCAAUCCCGUAUACAAUUCGCUUUGUCAAUCGGUAUGUUACUUGCCCGAGAUUCGAUCGUCGGUAUCCCAAUACCUUGUUCAAUCUCGUUACCGGCAAGUCUCUUUACUCGUACCGCAAUGCAUGAUCCCGUGACUAACGCCUUAGUCACAUAGAGCUCAUUAUGAUGAUGCAUUACCGAGUGGGCCCAGAGAUACCUCACCGUCACACGGAGUGACAAAUCCCAGUCUCAAUCCGUGCCAACCCAAUAGACACUUUCGGAGAUACCCGUAGUGCACCUUUAUAGUCACCCAGUUACGUUGUGAUGUUUGGCACACCCAAAGUACUCCUACGGUAUCCGGGAGUUGCACGAUCUCAUGGUCUAAGGAAAAGAUACUUGACAUUGGAAAAGCUCUAGCAAACGAAACUACACGAUCUUUUAUGCUAUGCUUAGGAUUGGGUCUUGUCCAUCACAUCAUUCUCCUAAUGAUGUGAUCCCGUUAUCAACGACAUCCCAUGUCCAUAGUCAGGAAACCAUGACUAUCUGUUGAUCAACGAGCUAGUCAACUAGAGGCUUACUAGGGACACGUUGUGGUCUAUGUAUUCACACAUGUAUUACGAUUUCCGGACAAUACAAUUAUAGCAUGAACAAUAGACAAUUACCAUGAACAAAGAAAUAUAAUAAUAACCAUUUAUUAUUGCCUCUAGGGCAUAUUUCCAAUAGUCUCCCACUUGCACUAGAGUCAAUAAUCUAGUUACAUUGUGAUGAAUCGAACACCCAUUGCGUCCUGGUGUUGAUCAUGUUUUGCUCUAGGGAGAGGUUUAGUCAACGGAUCUGCUACAUUCAGGUCCGUAUGUACUUUACAAAUAUCUAUGUCCCCAUUUUGAACACUUUCACGAAUGGAGUUGAAGCGACGCUUGAUAUGCCUGGUCUUCGUGUGAAACCUGGGCUCCUUCGCAAGGGCAAUAGCUCCAGCGUUGUCACAGAAGAGAGUCAUUGGGCCCGACGCAUUGGGAAUCACCCCUAGGUCGGUAAUGAACUCCUUCAUCCAGACUGCUUCCCGUGCUGCCUCCGAGGCUGCCAUGUACUCCGCUUCACAUGUAGAUCCCGCCACGACGCUUUGCUUGCAACUCCACCAGCUUACUGCUCCUCCAUUCAAAAUAUACACGUAUCCGGUUUGUGACUUCGAGUCAUCCAGAUCUGUGUUGAAGCUAGCGUCGACGUAACCCUUUACGACGAGCUCUUCGUCCCCUCCAUAAACGAGAAACAUAUCCUUAGUCCUUUUCAGGUACUUCAGGAUAUUCUUGACCGCUGUCCAGUGUUCCAUGCCGGGAUUACUUUGGUAUCUUCCUACCAAACUUACGGCAAGGUUUACAUCAGGUCUGGUACACAGCAUGGCAUACAUAAUAGACCCUAUGGCCGAGGCAUAGGGGAUGACACUCAUCUUUUCUAUAUCUUCUGCCGUGGUCGGGCAUUGAGCCGUGCUCAAUUGCACACCUUGCAAUACAGGCAAGAACCCCUUCUUGGACUGAUCCAUACUGAACUUCUUCAAUAUCUUGUCAAGGUAUGUACUCUGUGAAAGACCAAUGAGGCGUCUUGAUCUAUCUCUAUAGAUCUUGAUGCCUAAUAUAUAAGCAGCUUCUCCAAGGUCCUUCAUUGAAAAACACUUAUUCAAAUAGGCCUUUAUACUUUCCAGGAAUUCUAUAUCAUUUCCCAUCAAUAGUAUGUCAUCCACAUAUAAUAUGAGAAAUGCUACAGAGCUCCCACUCACUUUCUUGUAAACACAGGCUUCUCCAUAAGUCUGUGUAAACCCAAACGCUUUGAUCAUCUCAUCAAAGCGAAUGUUCCAACUCCGAGAUGCUUGCACCAGCCCAUAGAUUGAGCACUGGAGCUUGCAUACUUUGUUAGCAUUCUUAGGAUUGACAAAACCUUCCGGCUGCAUCAUAUACAACUCUUCCUUAAGGAGGCCGUUAAGGAAUGCCGUUUUGACAUCCAUCUGCCAUAUCUCAUAAUCAUAGUAUGCGGCAAUUGCUAACAUGAUUUGGACGGACUUCAGCUUUGCUACGGGUGAGAAAGUCUCAUCGUAGUCAACCCCUUGAACUUGUCGAUAACCUUUAGCGACAAGUCGAGCUUUGUAGAUGGUCACAUUACCAUCUGCGUCCGUCUUCUUCUUAAAGAUCCAUUUGUUUUCUAUGGCUCGCCGCUCAUCGGGCAAGUCAGUCAAAGUCCAUACUUUGUUUUCAUACAUGGAUUCUAUCUCGGAUUUCAUGGCUUCUAGCCAUUUGUCGGAAUCCGGGCCCGCCAUCGCUUCUUCAUAGUUCGAAGGUUCACCGUUGUCUAACAACAUGAUUUCCAGGACAGGGUUGCCGUACCACUCUGGUGCGGAACGUGUCCUUGUGGACCUACGAAGUUCAGUAACUUGAUCCGAAGCUUCAUGAUCAUCAUCAUUAACUUCCUCCCUAGUCGGUGUAGGCACCACAGGAACAUUUUCCCGCGCCGCGCUACUUUCCGGUUCGGAAGGGGUGACUAUCACCUCAUCAAGUUCCACUUUCCUCCCACUCAAUUCUUUCGAGAGAAACUCCUUCUCUAGAAAGGAUCCGUUCUUGGCAACGAAGAUCUUGCCUUCGGAUCUGAGGUAGAAGGUAUACCCAAUAGUUUCCUUAGGGUAUCCUAUGAAGAUGCAUUUUUCCGAUUUGGGUUCGAGCUUUUCAGGUUGAAGUUUCUUGACAUAAGCAUCGCAUCCCCAAACUUUUAGAAACGACAGCUUAGGUUUCUUCCCAAACCAUAAUUCAUACGGUGUCGUCUCAACGGAUCUAGACGGAGCCCUAUUUAAAGUGAAUGCGGCAGUCUCUAAAGCAUAACCCCAAAAUGAGAGCGGUAAUCGGUAAGAGAUAUCAUAGAUCGCACCAUAUCCAAUAGAGUGCGAUUACGACGUUCGGACACACCAUUUCUCUGAGGUGUUCCAGGCGGCGUGAGUUGUGAAACUAUUCCACAUUUCCUUAAGUGUGCACCAAACUCGUGACUUAGAUAUUCUCCAUCACGAUCUGAUCGUAAGAAUUUUAUUUUCCUGUCACAUUGAUUCUCAACUUCACUCUGAAAUUCCUUGAACUUUUCAAAGGUUUCAGACUUGUGUUUCAUUAGGUAGACAUACCCAUAUCUACUUAAAUCAUCAGUGAGAGUGAGAACAUAACGAUAUCCUCCGCGAGCCUCAACACUCAUUGGACCACACACAUCGGUAUGUAUGAUUUCCAAUAAGUUGGUUGCUCGCUCCAUUGUUCCGGAGAACGGAGUCUUGGUCAUCUUACCCAUGAGGCAUGGUUCGCACGUGUCAAAUGAUUCGUAAUCAAGAGACUCCAAAAGUCCAUCUGCAUGGAGCUUCUUCAUGCGCUUGACACCAAUGUGACCAAGGCGGCAGUGCCACAAGUAUGUGGGACUAUCGUUAUCAACUUUACAUCUUUUGGUAUUCACACUAUGAACAUGUGUAACAUCACGUUCGAGAUUCAUCAAAAAUAAACCAUUGGCCAGCGGGGCAUGACCAUAAAACAUAUCUCUCAAAUAAAUAGAACAACCAUUAUUCUCGGAUUUAAAUGAGUAGCCAUCUCGAAUUAAACGAGAUCCAGAUACAAUGUUCAUGCUCAAAGCUGGCACUAAAUAACAAUUAUUGAGGUUUAAAACUAAUCCCGUGGGUAGAUGCAGAGGUAGCGUGCCGACGGCGAUCACAUCGACCUUGGAACCAUUCCCGACGCGCAUCGUCACCUCGUCCUUUGCCAGUCUCCGUUUAUUCCGUAGUACCUGUUUUGAGUUACAAAUAUGAGCAACCGCACCGGUAUCAAAUACCCAGGAGCUACUACGAGUACUGGUAAGGUACACAUCAAUUACAUGUAUAUCACAUAUACCUUUGGUGUUGCCGGCCUUCUUCUUGUCCGCUAAGUAUUUGGGGCAGUUCCGCUUCCAGUGACCACUUCCCUUGCAAUAAAAGCACUCAGUCUCGGGCUUGGGUCCAUUCUUUGACUUCUUGCCAGUAACUGGUUUACCGGGCGCGGCAACUCCCUUGCCGUCCUUCUUGAAGUUCUUCUUACCCUUGCCCUUCUUGAACUUAGUGGUUUUAUUCACCAUCAACACUUGAUGUUCUUUUCUGAUCUCCCCUUCCGCUGAUUUCAGCAUUGAAUAUACCUCAGGAAUGGUCUUUUCCACCCCCUGCAUAUUGAAGUUCAUCACAAAGCUCUUGUAGCUUGGUGGAAGCGACUGGAGGAUUCUGUCAAUGACCGCGUCAUCCGGGAGAUUGACUCCCAGCUGGGAUAAGCGGUUGUGUAACCCAGACAUUCUGAGUAUGUGCUCACUAACAGAACUGUUCUCCUCCAUUUUACGGCUGAAGAAUUUGUCGGAGACUUCAUACCUCUCGACCCAGGCAUGAGCUUGGAAAACCAUUUUCAGCUCCUCGAACAUCUCAUAUGCUCCAUGUUUCUCAAAACGCUUUUGGAGACCCGGUUCUAAGCUGUAAAGCAUGCCGCACUGAACGAGGGAGUAAUCAUCAGCACGCUGCUGCCAAGCGUUCAUAACGUCUUGGUUCUCUGGGAUUGGUGCUUCACCUAGCGGUGCUUCUAAGACAUAAUCUUUCUUGGCUGCUAUGAGGAUGAUCCUUAGGUUCCGGACCCAGUCCGUAUAGUUGCUGCCAUCAUCUUUCAGCUUGGUUUUCUCUAGGAACGCGUUGAAAUUGAGGACAACGUUGGCCAUUUGAUCUACAAGACAUAGUGUAAAGAUUUUAGACUAAGUUCAUGAUAAUUAAGUUCAUCUAAUCAAAUUAUUUAAUGAACUCCCACUCAGAUAGACAUCCCUCUAGUCAUCUAAGUGAAACAUGAUCCGAGUUUAACUAGGCCGUGUCCGAUCAUCACGUGAGACGGGCUAGUCAAGAUCGGUGAACAUCUCCAUGUUGAUCGUAUCUUCUAUACGACUCAUGCUCGACCUUUCGGUCCUCCGUGUUCCGAGGCCAUGUAUGUACAUGCUAGGCUCGUCAAGUCAACCUAAGUGUAUUGCGUGUGUUCCGAGGCCAUGUUUGUACAUGCUAGGCUCGUCAACACCCGUUGUAUUCGAACGUUAGAAUCUAUCACACCCGAUCAUCAUGUGUUGCUUCGAAACAACGAACCUUCGCAACGGUGCACAGUUAGGGUGAACACUUUCUUGAAAUUAUUAUAAGGGAUCAUCUUACUUACUACCGUCGUUCUAAGCAAAUAAGAUGCAAAAACAUGAUAAACAUCACAUGCAAUCAAAUAGUGACAUGAUAUGGCCAAUAUCAUUAUGCUCCUUUGAUCUCCAUCUUCGGGGCACCAUGAUCAUCUUCGUCACCGGCAUGACACCAUGAUCUCCAUCAUUGUGUCUUCAUGAAGUCGUCACGCCAAUGAUUACUUCCACUUCUAUGGCUAACGCGUUUAGCAACAAAGUAAAGUAAAUUACAUGGCGUUAUUCAAUGACACGCAGGUCAUACAAAAUAAUAAAGACAACUCCUAUGGCUCCUGCCGGUUGUCAUACUCAUCGACAUGCAAGUCGUGAUUCCUAUUACAAGAAUAUGAUCAAUCUCAUACAUCACAUAUAUCAUUCAUCACAUCUUCUGGCCAUAUCACAUCACAUAGCACUUGCUGCAAAAACAAGUUAGACGUCCUCUAAUUGUUGUUGCAAGUUUUUACGUGGUUUGUAGGUUUCUAGCAAGAACGUUUCUUACCUACGUAUGACCACAACGUGAUUUGCCAAUUUCUAUUUACCCUUCAUAAGGACCCUUUUCAUCGAAUCCGUUCCGACUAAAGUAGGAGAGACAGACACCCGCUAGCCACCUUAUGCAACUAGUGCAUGUCAGUCGGUGGAACCUAUCUCACGUAAGCGUACGUGUAAGGUCGGUCCGGGCCGCUUCAUCCUACAAUGCCGCCGAAACAAGAAACGACUAGUAGCUGCAAGAAGAAUUGGCAACAUCAACGCCCACAACUGCUUUGUGUUCUACUCGUGCAUAGUAACUACGCAUAGGCCUAGCUCAUGAUGCCACUGUUGGGAAUCGUAGCAUAAUUUUAAAAUUUUCCUACGCUCACCAAGAUGCAUCUAUGGAGUAUACUAGCAACGAGGGGAAUGGAGUGCAUCUACAUACCCUUGUAGAUCGCGAGCGGAAGCGUUCCAAUGAACGUGGAUGACGGAGUCGUACUCGCCGUGAUCCAAAUCACCGAUGACCGAGUGCCGAACGGACGGCAUCUCCGCAUUCAACACACGUACGAUGCAGCGAUGUCUCCUCCUUCUUGAUCCAGCAAGGGGAAGGAGAGGUUGAUGGAGAUCCAGCAGCACGACGGCGUGGUGGUGGAUGUAGCGGGUCUCGGCAGGGCUUCGCCGAGCUUCUGCGAGAGGGAGAGGUGUUGCAGGGGAGGAGGGAGGCGCCCAAGGCUGUGAUGUAGCUGCCCUCCCUCCCCCCCUUUAUAUAGGCCCCCUUGGGAGGGGGGGCGCCGGCCAAACCCAUCUAGGGUGGGGGCGGCGGCCAAGGGGGGUGCCUUGCCCCCCAAGGCAAGUGGGAAGCCCCCCCACCCUAGGGUUUGCAACCCUAGGCGCAUGGGGGGAGGCCCAUGGGGGGGCGCCCAGCCCACUAGGGGCUGGUUCCCUUCCCACUUCAGCCCACGGGGCCCUCCGGGAUAGGUGGCCCCACCCGGUGGACCCCCGGGACCCUUCCGGUGGUCCCGGUACAAUACCGGUAACCUCCGAAACUUUCCCGGUGGCCGAAACUUGACUUCCUAUAUAUAAUUCUUCACCUCUGGACCAUUCCGGAACCUCUCGUGACGUCCGGGAUCUCAUCCGGGACUCCGAAAAACUUUCGGGUUUCCGCAUACACAUAUCUCUACAACCCUAGCGUCACCGAACCUUAAGUGUGUAGACCCUACGGGUUCGGGAGACAUGCAGACAUGACCGAGACGCCUCUCCGGUCAAUAACCAACAGCGGGAUCUGGAUACCCAUGUUGGCUCCCACAUGUUCCACGAUGAUCUCAUCGGAUGAACCACGAUGUCGAGGAUUCAAUCAAUUUCGUAUACAAUUCCCUUUGUCAAUCGGUAUGUUACUUGCCCGAGAUUCGAUCGUCGUUAUCCCAAUACCUUGUUCAAUCUCGUUACCGGCAAGUCUCUUUACUCGUACCGCAAUGCAUGAUCCCGUGACUAACGCCUUAGUCACAUAGAGCUCAUUAUGAUGAUGCAUUACCGAGUGGGCCCAGAGAUACCUCACCGUCACACGGAGUGACAAAUCCCAGUCUCGAUCCGUGCCAACCCAACAGACACUUUCGGAGAUACCCGUAGUGCACCUUUAUAGUCACCCAGUUACGUUGUGACGUUUGGCACACCCAAAGUACUCCUACGGUAUCCGGGAGUUGCACGAUAUCAUGGUCUAAGGAAAAGAUACUUGACAUUGGAAAAGCUCUAGCAAACGAAACUACACGAUCUUUUAUGCUAUGCUUAGGAUUGGGUCUUGUCCAUCACAUCAUUCUCCUAAUGAUGUGAUCCCGUUAUCAACGACAUCCCAUGUCCAUAGUCAGGAAACCAUGACUAUCUGUUGAUCAACGAGCUAGUCAACUAGAGGCUUACUAGGGACACGUUGUGGUCUAUGUAUUCACACAUGUAUUACGAUUUCCGGACAAUACAAUUAUAGCAUGAACAAUAGACAAUUACCAUGAACAAAGAAAUAUAAUAAUAACCAUUUAUUAUUGCCUCUAGGGCAUAUUUCCAACACUAUGUGUCCUCUUUUUUUCAGGAUCUUUUCACCACCUCGGUAGGCAACCGCGUUGAUGAACUCAUCGCGAAGGUCCAGCCACGUGUGACAGCUGAAAUGGCAAACUUUCUUGAUGCUGUAUUCACACGAGAGGAGGUGAAGGCAGCUCUAGACCACAUCGGCGAUCUUAAAGCUCCGGGGCCUGACGGCAUGCCUUCUAUUGUGUUCAAGCGUCAUUGGCAUUUCAUGGGGGAUUAUGUGGUUGACGAGGUCUUGGCCGUGCUUAAUGGAGGGGACAUGCCGGCAGGGUGGAAUGACACAUUGGUAGUUCUUAUUCCCAAGGUCAGGAACCCGAACAGAAUCAAGGACCUAAGACCAAUCAGCCUCUGUAAUGUUUUGUACAAGUUGGUGUCCAAGGUUCUUGCAAAUAGACUAAAAGUGAUCUUGCCGGAAGUUAUCUCUGAAAAUCAAAGUGCAUUCUUUCCUGGACGGCUAAUCACGGAUAAUGUGCUCAUUGCCUUUGAGGUCUCGCACUAUCUCAGGAACAAGAAGCAUGGCCGAGAAGGAGUUGCAGCAGUGAAAGCGGAUAUGAGUAAGGCCUAUGACCGAGUAGAGUGGACAUUCCUUGAAGCCAUGCUAAGAAAACUGGGAUUUAGGAGAAGAUGGGUGACCCUGAUAAUGAAAUGUGUAACCACUGUGAGGUACCAGGUUAAAGUUAAUGGCGCCCUAACGCAGCAGUUCAGUCCAUCUCGAGGAUUAAGACAAGGGGAUCCGCUUUCCCCUUACCUGUUCGUGAUCUGUGCUGAAGGGUUGUCAGCGUUGUUACACGAGGCCGAGGAGACGGGGAAGGUUAGUGGUGUCCAGAUUUGCCGAGCUGCACCAACUGUUUCACAUCUGUUCUUUGCAGAUGAUUCCAUGAUUUUGCUAAAGGCAACACAACAGGAAGCCACGACCCUUCGAGAUAUCCUUGAUCUUUAUGAAAAUUGAUCUGGCCAAAGUGUCAACAUGGAGAAAUCGGCGAUCAUGUUCUCGCCCAAUACUAGUACAGAGGCAAAAAGUUCAGUCAAAGGGUCGCUCAAAAUAUACAGUGAGAACUGGAACGAUCGCUAUUUGGGGCUACCUGUACAUGUAGGCAGAUCAAAACGGCGAGUCUUUGGCUACAUAAAGAAUAACAUUUGUGGCCGAAUGCAUGGAUGGCAGGAGAGACUGCUUGCGAAAGCCGGGAAGGAGACGCUCGUGAAAUCUGUGGCGCAGGCGAUACCGGCCUUUGCCAUGUCGUGUUUCGACCUGACGAAAGGUUUUUGCAAGGAACUGAAUACGCUCAUAGGGAAAUUUUGGUGGAGCCAACAGGAUAAAGAAAACACCAUGCACUGGCUAAGUUGGGAAACCUUGUCACUUCCGAAAGGUAUGGGUGGACUAGGCUUCAGGGAUAUGCACAGUUUCAAUAUGGCAAUGCUGUCUCGACAGGGGUGGAGACUGCUGCAAAAUCCGGAGUCCCUUUGUGGACGCAUCAUGAAAGCGAGAUACUUCCCUCAUUGUCAUCUGUUGGAUGCAGAACCUAGGGAUUGAAUAUCGUAUACAUGGCGGAGUAUUCUUCGUGGCCUCGAGCUAAUCAAGGAGGGUUAUAUCUGGCGAAUCGGCGAUGGGAUGGGAGUUAACAUCUGGUCCGAUCCCUGGAUUCCAAGGGCUUGGUCACGCCGUGUUAUUACACCCAAAGGACAGAACCUGAUUACACAGGUCAGCGAGCUUAUUUGCCCGAUUACAGGAGCAUGGGAUGAGCAGCUUGUUAAGGACACUUUCUGGCCGGAUGAUGUACGACACAUUCUCCAGAUUCCAUUGCGUGAAGGAGUCAGUGAUUUCAUGGCAUGGCAUUUUGACUCUAAAGGGAACCAUACUGUGAAAAGCGCCUACAAGCUAUUUGUACAGUUGCAGAAACAAGCAAGGAAUGGGGCCCCUGGCAGUAGCACAAUGGUGGCGGGAAACUUUGAUAGGUGGGAUAACCAGGCAUGGCAUAGGAUAUGGAAACUACCCUCCCACACAAGAUUCAGAUGUUCGCUUGGCGAGUCAAACACGAGUCACUGGCUUUCUGUACUAACCUGACGAGAAGAGGGGUCAGGCUCGAGAACUCCAAGUGCUUCUUUUGCGGGAGAGUGGAUGAAGACGGGGCUCAUCUUUUUGUCAAAUGCAAGGCUGUCAAGGAAGUGUGGAGGGCGAUGAGCCUGGAGAGGGUACGCUUGGAGAUGGAAGAGCUAUCGUCAGUACAUGCAAUCAUGGACCUGCUUUGGAGGCUAGAUGAAAAUGUGUGUGUCCAAAUCCUCACCUUCUGGUGGAACUGGUGGAACAAGAGGAAUAAAAUACGAGAAGGGGAAUUACCAAUCACGGAUGACGAGCUAAUUCGCCGAGUCCAAUGCAGUACCUUGGAGUUCAUGCAACUGUUUAGAACGAGUAAAAAGAAGCAAGCGGAGAGCAAGUGGGCACCGCCGGGUGAAGGAAUUCUAAAGAUCAAUGUGGAUGGAGCGUAUACGCCGGGCGAGACUUUUGCUGCAUGGGGAGCGGUUGUCCGUGACGAGGCGGGGGAUGUGCUGCUGGCCCGAGCUGGUAGGAAGGAGCAGAUAAAUGACCCAUUCACUACAGGAAUCAGCUAUUUUGCCGUUUGCCACGGCGGACGGCAAAGGCAUGAACGGCGGACGGCAAAAGGCUCCGGCAAAGUAGGCUACGGUAAAGAGCUACUUUGCCGUCUGCUUCCGGGCGGCUGACGGCAAAGGGCCUUCGCCGUCUGCAGCGGACGGCAAAGAGAGCAGACGACAAUAAUUGCGCUGGCAGUCCGUUAAGUGGCUAACGGCAGGCCUUUGCCGUCCGCCGCUGACGGCAAACUUUCUAGUGUCUUUGUCGUCUGCCACUGUAGGCAAACUCUCUAGUGUCUUUGCCGUCCGCCGCUGACAGCAAACUUUCUAGUGUCUUUGCCGUCUGCCACUGUAGGCAAACUGACCAAAUGGGUCAGCUCCCAGGAAGCACAGUUGGCUGCCACGUGGCUUCUUUGCCGUCUGCGGCUGACGGCAAAGAGCCCGUUGCCGUCGGUGGCAGACGGCAAAGAGCCUGCAUAUUGGCUCUUUUUCUGUUUUUUAUUAAAUCCAACAAUUUUCACAGCAAAUAUAUAUGACAUAUAUAGAUAUAUUUCACAGGCCUAUUUAACAGCAAACAUAUCACAUAUAUCCAGCACAUAAGUUCCAUCCAUUUAUACAUAAGCAAGUUCCAUCCAUUCAUACAUAAGCAAGUUCCAUCCAUACAUAUUACAUAAGCAAGUUCCAUCCAUCCAUUCAUACAUAAGCAAGUUCCAUCCAUACAUAAACAAGCACUCCAUAGCAAGCUAGCUUCCAUGAAGUGAAUGAAAUCUGCAAAAUGGCAAAAUAAGAAAGUUAGAAAUAGGUGACUAGAAUAAGAAGACUAGAACAAGAAGAGUAGAACAAGAAGAAGACUAGAACAAGAAGAGUAGAACAAGAAGAAGACUAGAACAAGAAGUAUAUGUCAUUUAUGAGCUAACUUACGUGAAAUGGAUCAUAUAUGAGCUAACUAAGUUGAAAUGGGUCGUUUAUGAGCUAGCUAAGGUGAAAUGGAUCAUUUAUGAGCUAACUUAGUUGAAAUGGGUCGUUUAUGAGCUAACUAAGGUCAAAUGGAUCGUUUUUGAGGUAACUAAGGUGAAAUGGAUCGUUUUUUAGCUAACGUAGGUGAAAUGGAUCAUGUAUGAGCUAACUUAGUUGAAAUGGAUCGUUUUUGAGCUAACUUAGGUGAAAUGGAUCAUUUAUGAGCUAAUUUAGUUGAAAUGGAUCUUUUUGAGCUAACUUAGGUGAAAUGGAUCAUUUAAGAGCUAAUUUAGGUGAAAUGGAUCGUUUUUUGAGCUAACUUGGUGAAAUGGAUUGUUUAUGAGCUAAAUUAGUUGAAAUGGAUCGUUUAUGAGAUAACCUAGGUAAGAUGGGUCAUUUUGGAGCUAACCUAGGUGAAAUGGGUCAUUUUAAAGCUAACGUAGGUAAAAUGGAUCAUUUAGGAGCUAAUCUAGGUAAAAUGGGUCAUUUUUGAGCUAACUUGGAUGAACUGGAUCAUUUAUAAGCUAACCAAGGUAAAAUGGGUCAUUUUAGAGCUAACUUAGGUAAAAUGGAUCGUUUAUGAGCUAACUAAGCUAAUUAUGCAAUUUUUGACAUAAGUAAGCUAAGUAUAGAUCGUUUUAGAGCUAACUUAGGUAAAAUGGAUGGUUUUGAAGGUCAGUAAGCUUAUUAAGUCAUUUUGGAGGAGAAGAAGCUAAGUCUAGGUCAUUAUGGUAAGCAUUGGAGGAAAUAAAGCUAAGUCUAGGUCUUUAUGGAUGGCGGCGAGGAAGGCACCGUAGCAGUCACCCUACCUCCUCUCCCGCGACCACGUGCCCCACCUCCUCUCUUCCUACCUCGUCCCCUGCUGGGCACCGCGGUCGACGAAGAAGGGCACGGCGGUGUCGCCAUACUGUCCAGCAACGCUCGGCGGAGAGGUGCAUGUGGAAUGGAAGACCUCACACCACGCUCCCGACCAGCGCCCGCCAUCUUUCAACACCUGCCAUGACAAACAAUAAACGAAAUUAGUACAACAUAAAAAAAGACCGACAUGAAUAAUAAUAUGUGUAUCACUUAAGUGUAUCAUCAUCAAGUACAACAUAAAAAAAA
rnacentral:lncRNA from 1 species